rnacentral:lncRNA from 1 species
GGUAGGGUGGAGUGAGUAGAUGGCUCGUGUUGCUUUAUUUCCUCCAUUGUAGCUAUUCAUUCAUUUGGAUGCGGUCGUAGCGCGAUUAUUAUUAUUCUUGGUUGUAGAAAGAAAGAGAAUGAAGGAGGAUUAGGUAUGUAGUAGUACUAGUAGGUGGCUAACUCGCUAUAUAGUAUCUGGGUUCUCAUUCCUGUGAAUGAUGUAUUAUAUUUAUGUUGUUGCAUUUAUAUGUACUAUAUCUAUCUAUCUAUCUAUCAAUCAUAUGUCAGUUUGCCUUUCUGUGUAAAGGAAGGAACAAAUAUAGGUAUGGAUGAAUUGUCUUUUUUUGGUAGAUCUUAACGGAUGGCUACUGAAUUUUGUUAGCAACCUAUAAACUGUGUACGGCCAACAGUUUCUCGUUAUAUAUACCGUGCCGCUCGUCCCACCUGUAUCCUCGUCUGCGCAUUCUCUCUCGCUCGCCUUCUCAAUUUCUCUCACUCUAUCUCUGCAUCAUCGCCAAUGGCGCCGCCGGUGAGCCAACACGCCAAGGAGAAGGUGCCGCUCUGCAACGACGACCUCGCCCCAAGCAGCGACGACGAGGACCCCUACGCGCCACCGGACUUGGUCGCGCCUGAUCCCCCCACCGAGGAGUGGUUUUGGAGUCAGUUCGACCUCGCUCUGUGGAAGACGUUGCCGCCGGCUGAAAAAGCCAGGCGUGUGGCGGUCAUGAAGGCGGACGAGAAGAAGCGCGAGGAGGAAGAGGCGGCUAAGGCCGCCCGGAAGGUGGAGGAGUUGGAGCUCUGGCGGGAGGCGCGUUGGCACGCGCAGGAGGUUGAUGAAGACGGCCGCUUCAACGCCAAGAGGGCCAGAGGCUCUUUGCGCCUCCUCGUUGCAUGGAGGUGGGCAGAUCGCGUCGAGAAGGCCACCGAUGAAGAGCUCACCUACGCGUCGUCUACAAUGGCCAGGGCGGAGGCCUACGCCCGCCGGGAAGCUGCCGAUGCGCAUGUUGCGGAGUGCGAGGCGGAGGAGGAGGCUAUCUCCCUCCGCGCUGGGAAGCCGGUGCGCACCAGGGAGUCCGUGGCCAAACGCAAGGAAAGGGCCCUUAGGAGGGACUAUUGAUUUUUAGUUAAUUUAUUACUUGUCUUUAAAUUUAAUGUAUUUAUAGCACAACAAUUAUCAUCACACACGUAUGUGUGUGAUAAUAUAUAUUAUGUAAUGAACUGGAUUGUGGAGUAUUAUUGAUGAAUUUCUAUCUUAUUUACCUACUCGAUGUCUCAUUUUUUUAGUAAAACUACCUAUUCUGAGAAUAUAUUUACACUGAUGUCAAUCAGGCAUGUUUUCGAAGAGUUAAUUAUCUGUGAUUUGGGCUAAAAAACACAUGAGGUGGCAUGAUCUGUACAGAUGUUCUAUGCAAAAUAGUUGUUUUUGAAACUUCAAACAUCACACACAAUUGCUUUCUAACAAUUGUGUGAAUUGUAUUGCAUGCGGAGUACCUAACGAAGUUCUAUGUGACUUGUUGUUAUCAUCACACAUAAUUCCAUAACUCGACCCCAACCAGGUUUAGCCCACGACCUCUCAAAACGGACUGUGUGUAACGUCAUUGAUGCGGCUAUAUCUCCUACGUGUCGAAGCAUGACUUAGAGGCAUAACCGCAUUGAAAGCAAUGUCGCAAGUAAGGCAAUCUUCACAACAUCCCAUGUAAAUAAAUAAUAAAAGGGGAAGCUAUAUAGUUGGCUUACACUCGCCACGUCAAACAAAGUACAUAUAUAGUAUUACAUCAUCCAAUCACUCAUGGCCCGACUACGGUGCCAAAAUAAAAGACCAACCCAACAUGCGACACGGUCCCGAUCGCCCCAACUGGGCACCACUACUGAUCAUCAGGGAAAGACACAUAGUAACGGCAUGAGUCCUCGUUGAACUCCCACUUGAGCUCAAGCGCGUCAUUUGGAACGGAGUCGUCUGGCCCUGCAUCUGGUUUGGAAGUAAUCUGUGAGCCACAGGGACUCAGCAAUCUCGCACCCUCGCAAUCAAGACUAUUUAAGCUUAUAGGUAAGGCAAGGUAAAAAUGUGGAGCUGCAGCAAGCGACUAGCAUAUAUGGUGGCUAACAUGUUCGCAAAAGAGAGCGAGAAGAGAAGGCAAAGCGCGAACGCAUACCUAGAGAACAACCUGCGGCAAGCAUUACUCCAACACCGUGUUCACUUCCUGGACUCCGCCGAGAAGAGACCAUCACGGUAACUCACACAGUUGAUUCAUUUUAAUUAAGUUAAGGUUCAAGUUAUCUACAACCGGACAUUAACAAAUUCCCAUCUGCCCAUAACCGCGGGCACGGCUUUCGAAAGUUCAAAUCCCUGCAGGGGGUCCCAACUUAGCCCAUGACAAGCUCUCACGGUCAACGAAGGAUAUUCCUUCUAGCGGGAAGACCCGAUCAGACUCGGAAUCCCGGUUACAAGACAUUUCGAUAAGGUAAAACUAAACCAGCAACACCGCCCGAAUGUGCCGACAAAUCCCGAUAGGAGCUGCACAUAUCUCGUUCUUAGGGCACACUCAGAUUGUCUUACGUACGGGUAGGCCAGCCCAAAGUUGCCCCUGGUGGCCACCGGUAGCUGACAGGUUGGACCAACACUCAGAGGAGCACUGGCCCGGGGGGGGGGGGUUAAAAUAAGAUGACCCUCGGGCUCCGGAAACCCAAGGGAAAAAGAGGCUAGGUGGCAAAUGGUAAAACCAAGGUUGGGCAUUGCUGGAAGAGAUUUAUUCAAGGCGAACUGUCAAGGGGUUCCCGUUAUCACCCAACCGCGUAAGGAACGCAAAAUCCGGGAACAUAACACCGAUAUGACGGAAACUAGGGCAGCAAGAGUGGAACAAAACACUAGGCGAGAGGCCGAGCCUUCCACCCUUUACCAAGUAUAUAGAUGCAUUAAGAUAACAAGAUAAUAUAAUGAUAUCCCAACAAGAAAAUAAUGUUCCAACAAGGAACGGUCUCCAAUCUUCACCUGCAACUAGCAACGCUGUAAGAGGGGCUGAGCAAAGCGGUAACAUAGCCAAUCAACGGUUUGCUAGGACAUGGUGGGUUAGAGGUUUGACAUGGCAAUUUGAGAGGCAUGAUAAGCAAGUGGUAGGCAUCGUAGCAUAGGCAUAGCAAAAGAGCGAGCAUCUAGCAAAGCAAAGAUAGAAGUGAUUUCGAGGGUAUGAUCAUCUUGCCUGCAAAGUUGUUAGAGUUGACUGGAUCCUCGAAAGCAAACUCAACGGGCUCCUCGUUAGCGAACUCGUCUCCCGGCUCUACCCAAAGAAGACAAACAAGCAAACGGAACACAAUCAACCACGUGCAAACUCAAACAACAUGAUGCAAACAUGGUAUGCUAUGCGGGAUGCGACAUGUGAUGCAUAUGCAAGAUUUUACAAGAGAUGAAUGAACCUGGCCUCAACUUGGAAAUCCAAGUGUGCCACUGGAAAGGUGAGGUGAUUUCGGUUGAAAUCGAUAUAAAGAACGCCGGAAUCGGAUGUAUGGUUUGGAAAUGGCAAGCAAUUCAAAUAUGGCACCGGUCUGCGAUAUACAGCAAGUAGCCAUCUAAAUGCAACAAGUUAAACAUGCUACAACACCCAAACAUGGCAACAAAAUACAUGGCAGGGGUCCAUUCAUGAUGCUUAACAAAAUAUGAACACUAAGCUACGGCCAAUUCAUCCAUUAACAGGUUCAAACAAGCAUGGCAAAAAUGCAAUUGGUAAACAGAUUUCAGACUUAGUGAAAUUAACACUUGUCUGGAAUUUGAGAUCAGGUAGCACACUUUGGAGCAUGAAAAUUAGAUGCUACAGGAACUUAACAUGGCAAAGUAAAGCAUGGCAUGGAUCUACUCAAAGAGCUUAACAAAAGUCCCUUAGUGAUCUUGAGUCAAAAGGGAUCCGAAAAUAUAAUUGCAAGCAUGUGAACAUGGCAAAAACAUAAUCAGAUCACAGACUUAGAGAAAAACUGGAGCAUGCAAAUCAGAUAUCAAGUAGGCAUAUUUACGAGCUCGAUGCACUCACUACAGAGCAAGGCAUGACAAUCUAAGCAUACACCCACCAAGAAUACACAUUAUACAAGCUAGACAUGACAAGAACAAUGACAUAGCAUGCAUGGAUCAACUACAACAUCCUCGGCAGAAUCGCUAACAAGUAGACAAUCUGCCCAGAUUCACGAAAUAGCAAAAGUAGAGCUCGAUUGACUCAAUCUAGGGUGCUCCAUAAUUGCAAACAAAUACAUGGAUGGAUAGAGCACUACAAGAUUAACAAAUCAUCCUUAUUGGUCAUCCUCAAAAGAGGCACGGAUCACUAGGAAACAACAUGAACAUAUGGCAUAUUGAUCAAAACAGUCCAAGGACUUAGUGGAAUUGCUAAGUCCCUGAAAUCAGCAUUAACGAAUGCACCACUUUGCAAGCUUGUGCUAGUCACCACACACACCACAAAAAUACAUGGGGAAAGAUGACAAGACAUAUAACAAAAUACAUGUAGAGCUCAGGGGCAUAUCAUGCACACAAUAAUCAUGGCAAACAUGACAAAUAGCUAUUUGGAGCAGCAGAUCUGACAAUUAACUCAAAUAGCACUCUUCCAACAACAUUUCGGGCAUCAAGAUGAACUCAGAUGAAAAUGAUGCAAUGAGAUGAAAUGAUAUACUCUCUGAGAUGAACAUUUUGAUAUGCUAUAUGCCCAAAACGGAUAUACGGAUGCAAAGUUACAGCACGAUGAACAUGGCAAUAUAAUUAGGGUUUUCUGAGAAAAAGUCAACCGAGGAGAGAUUCUCAGAUCUGGAUCCGGAUCGGUGCGGAAGUCGAGGUUGGCCGGAAAAUACUGUAGCUUACCGGAGUUCUUCGUGGAGGAGGCCGGAGCUCGCCGGAGGAGCUUGCCGGCUGGAUCUGGGCGAGGGGACGGCGACGGCGAGGCCGGUCGGCGCCGUAGCAAUGGGCGGCGAGGGCGUCUGCGGCAGGGCGGCGACNNNNNNNNNNNNNNNNNNNNNNNNNNNNNNNNNNNNNNNNNNNNNNNNNNNNNNNNNNNNNNNNNNNNNNNNNNNNNNNNNNNNNNNNNNNNNNNNNNNNNNNNNNNNNNNNNNNNNNNNNNNNNNNNNNNNNNNNNNNNNNNNNNNNNNNNNNNNNNNNNNNNNNNNNNNNNNNNNNNNNNNNNNNNNNNNNNNNNNNNNNNNNNNNNNNNNNNNNNNNNNNNNNNNNNNNNNNNNNNNNNNNNNNNNNNNNNNNNNNNNNNNNNNNNNNNNNNNNNNNNNNNNNNNNNNNNNNNNNNNNNNNNNNNNNNNNNNNNNNNNNNNNNNNNNNNNNNNNNNNNNNNNNNNNNNNNNNNNNNNNNNNNNNNNNNNNNNNNNNNNNNNNNNNNNNNNNGGCGAUGUGGGGCUCAGGGCGACACAUGGCGCGCAGCGGUAGGUCCGGGCGAGCGGCGGACAGUGUCCGGCCGGCACGGACGUGUCCGGCGCGGCGCGGUAGACUUUUUAGGGUUUGAGACGAGGGGAAUCCGGGAUAUCGGAAGAGGGGCUAUUUAUAGGCAUAGAGGGAGCUAGAAGUGUCCAAACGAGGUGCGGUUUUCGGCCACGCGAUCGUGAUCGAACGCUCUAGAUGAUGAAGAGGGUUUUGGGCCAAAAUGGAGGGGUGUUGGGCUGCAACACACACGAGGCCUUCUCGGUCCCUCGGUUAACCGUUGGAACAUCAAACGAAGUCCAAAUGGUACGAAACUUGACAGGCGGUCUACCGGUAGUAAACCAAGUCCACUUGGCAAGUCUCGGUCCAAUCCGGAAAUGUUUAACCCCCACACACGAAAGAAAGGUAGAAAUAACCACCGGAGGAGAACGGAGCGCCGGAAUGCAAAACGGACAACGGGGAAAAUGCUCGGAUGCAUGAGAUGAACACGUAUGCAAAUGCAAUGCACAUGAUGACAUGAUAUGAGAUGCAUGACAAUGACAACAACACACGGAGACAAAAACCCGAACCCGAGAAAAUAAAAUAACUUAACGCCGGAAACGGCAAGAGUUGGAUUACAUAUUAGGUAAAUCAUAUCCGGGGUGUUACAACACUCCACCACUAUGAGAGGAUCUCGUCCCGAGAUCUAGGACUGGAAGAACGUCGGGUACUCAGAACGGAGGUGAUCCUCGCGUUCCCAGGUGGCUUCACAGUCGGAAUGGUGUGACCACUUGACUUUGAGGAAUUUGAUUGACUUAUUGCGAGUCUUGCGUUCGGUCUAUUCAAGAGUAGCAACGGGGUGCUCACGAUAAGAGAGAUCUUCUUGGAGAUCAAUGUCUUCGAAGUUGACGGUGCGUUCAGGAGUCUUGAAGCACUUGCGGAGCUGAGAGACAUGGAACACGUCAUGCACAUUUGCAAAGUUUGAAGGAAGCUUGAGUUGAUAGGCGAGAUCGCCUCUCUUGUUGACGAUCUUGAAAGGUCCCACGUAUUUAGGGGCAAGCUUCCCUUUGAUACCGAAGCGACGAGUACCUUUUGUAGGAGAGACGCGGAGGUAAACAUGAUCUCCGAUCUCGAAAGCCAAAUCACGGUGCUUACUAUCAUAGUAGCUCUUCUGGCGCGAUUGUGCUGCUUUGAGGUUAUCUCGAAUGACUUUGCACAUUUCCUCUGCCUCUGUGAUUAAGUCAUUUCCGAGAAGUUGACGUUCACCGGUUUCAGACCAGUUGAGAGGGGUACGGCACUUCCUGCCAUACAGAAUUUCGAAUGGGGCCUUUCCCGAACUUGCUUGAAAACUGUUGUUGUAGGAGAAUUCAGCAUAUGGAAGACAAUCUUCCCACUUCAUGCCGAAGGAAAUCACACAAGCCCUGAGCAUAUCUUCGAGAAUCUGGUUGACACGCUCAACUUGACCGCUAGUUUGAGGAUGGAAAGCUGUGCUGAAGCGGAUGUUGGUGCCCAUGGCCUUCUGAAAAGAAUCUCAAAACUUGGAGGUAAAGAUGCUGCCACGGUCUGAAGAGAUCACCUAUGGAAUACCAUGCAGCGAGACAAUCUGAGAGGUGUACAGCUCCGCCAAUUGAGCUGCAGUGAUUGACUCUUUGAUAGGCAGAAAGUGAGCCACUUUAGUGAGUUUGUCGAUAACAACGAAUAUAGCAUCAUUGCCACGCUUGGACUUUGGAAACCCAGUCACGAAGUCCAUCUCAAUGUGCUCAAACUUCCAUUUUGAAAUGGCAAGAGGUUGGAGGAGACCCGCUGGCCUUUGGUGUUCUGCCUUCACUCUUCUGCAGACAUCACACUCAUUCACGAACUGAGCAAUCUCGCGCUUCAUUCGAGUCCACCAAUAAGCUUGCUUGAGGUCCUGAUACAUCUUCGUGCUCCCAGGGUGGAUGGAGAUGAGUGAAUUGUGAGCCUCGUUCAUGUUAACCUUACGAAGAUCACCUUUGGGCACAACAAUACGAUCCUCGAAGAAGAGAGUAUCCUUGUCAUCAAGGCGGUAGCACUUGUACUUGGGUUGGCUCUUGGCAAUCCCAAUCUUCACCUUCUUCACCAUAGCGUCAACAAGCUGGGCUUGGCGAAUCAGGUCUUCCAAGGUAGGAGAGACUUGAAGGUUGGCGAGGAAACCUUGAGGAACAACUUACAAAUUGAGUUUGCGGAAAGCUUCACAAAGCUCGGGUUGGUAAGGCUUGAGAAUCAGACUGUUGCAAUAAGCCUUCCUGCUCAAAGCGUCAGCAAUCACAUUGGCCUUGCCUGGAGUAUACUCGAUACUCUUGAAUCAUUUCGACCCAUCGAGUCUGCCUGAGGUUGAGAUUAGGCUGAGUGAAGAUGUGCUUGAGACUCUUGUGGUCAGUGAAGAUGUCCACUUUUCUUCCCAAUAAGAGAUGUCUCCAAGUCAAAAGAGCAUGCACAACUGCCGCCAACUCGAGGUCAUGAGUGGGGUAGUUCUUCUCGUUGGGCUUCAACUGGCGCGAGGUAUAAGCCACAACUUUCUUCUCUUGCAUCAACACUGCACCGAGACCUUGAAGAGAGGCAUCGCAGAAGACCUCGAACGGUUUGGAUUCAUCAGGAGGAGUUUCUCUUUCAAAGUGUUGAAAGCAAUGUCACAUUCCGGAGACCAAACGUACUUGACGUGCUUCUGGAGAAGAUUUGAGAGAGGCUUCGCGAUCUUUGAAAAGUUUUCAACGAACCUUCGAUAGUAGCUUGCGAGACCGAGGAAGCUACGGAGUUGCUUCACGUUCUGAGGUGGUUCCGAAUUCACAAUUGCAGACACCUUCUCAGGAUUCACCGCAAUGCCCUUGGCAGAGAUGAUAUGCCCAAGAUAAAGAAUGUCAUCGAGCCAAAAUUCACACUUUGAGAACUUGGCGUAGAACUGGUGUUCCCUGAGCUUAUCAAGCACCAAACACAAGUGCUUGGCAUGAUCUUCCUUGUUCUUCGAAAAGACCAGAAUGUCGUCGAGAUAGACCAAAACGAAGUCAUUGGUGUAGGCGUUGAAGAUGAAGUUCAUCAUGCGAGAGAAAGUCGGAGGAGCGUUGAUGAGGCCAAAAGACAUGACAGUGUAUUCAUAUGAACCAUAGCUUGUUUUGAAAGCCGUCUUGGGAAUAUCUUGCUCACGGAUUCAAAUCCGGUGAUAACCCAUGCGGAGAUCAAGCUUGGAGAAUACUUGGGCACCUUUGAGUUGUUCGAACAGCUCGUUGAUGUUGGGAAGUGGGUACUUGUUCUUGAUAGUCUUCUUGUUCAAUGGACGGUAGUCAACACAAAGUCGGUCCGUUCCAUCCUUCUUCUUCACAAAAAGAACUCCACAACACCACGGAGAGGAACUAGGUCGAAUGAGACCCAUUUGCUCUUCAAUAUCGAGUUGCUUCUUCAGCUCCUUCAACUCUUCAGGUCCGAGCUUGUAGGGACGCUUGCAAACCGGUUCCGUGCCAGGCUCAAGAUCGAUGGCGAAUUCAACUGGCCGGUGCGGAGGCAUUCCUGGAAGCUCUUCUGAAAAGACGUCUUGAUAUUCGCAAACGACUGAAAUUUGCGAGAUGGCAUACAGUUCACCCUUCUCGUUGAGAGAAAACUUUGGCAACAUGAGCAGGAUUCGUUCACGCUAACACAUACAUAGUAACAAUGAGUGUCUCUCAGCCGAGAACAAUCUAAGGAUUUGGCAAUGGAACAUGGUCUCACGGGAGGAUAAUUGAAGAAGGGGCAACACGAGCGUCGAAGAAGUUGGCAACAUGAGCAGUGUCAUUUUACAUAGAAUUGACACUUUGAAGCUGGAAAUGAUGGAGAUUAAUCACAAGAUGGCAAAGAUAUCUAGUUUAUCAAGACGUGGUGGCUCCUAAUGAUCUUUGUAUUGAUGUUGUUUGUGCUUGUUGGUUUUGUCCCUCAUAAGUGGUGUUAGUUAUCAGCAGUACCUUAUAAGUGUCACAUGUUAUUGGCCUGCAAUAGUAAGCUACAGUGUGCCUACAGGGCCCAAAAUGCUACAUUGGCCGAAGAAAGCAUUGUGCACGCUCCAAGCCUAACCAGAAGCAUUGUGCGACCCCAGUUUUGACAUGCUACGUGCUCAAACUAGCAGGAUCAAGGCGACACGACCCCAAUUUUGACAUGUGACGUGCUCAAACUAGCAGAAUCAAGGCGACACGACCCCAAUUUUGCAUUCUGAUGGAAUCUUGUGUUAAUAAUGGUCAACUGAUGGAAUCUUGCAUUCUGCAGGUCACGGGAUAGCAUCGUGCUCAUACUGCGGCUCUUCAGAAUGAAGGUGCGGGCAUUUUUGUUUUAUCUCUUUAACGUGCUUCGGUUUGUGUUUGCUACACCGAAUCGAGGCACACUUGAAGUUAAUGCUGGCAUGUGCUUUUUUUGUGUGGCAUGUGAUGGAACUGAAAUGAAGAUGUUGACGCGUUCUGUUUGUGUGCAGGCCGUCGAGAAGAGCAAAGGAAGGAAGAAGGGCAUCUUCUUCAAGUAGCUAUUCAUUGUAGCUAUUCAUUCAUUUGGAUGCGGUCGUAGCGCGAUUAUUAUUAUUCUUGGUUGUAGAAAGAAAGAGAAUGAAGGAGGAUUAGGUAUGUAGUAGUACUAGUAGGUGGCUAACUAGCUAUAUAGUAUCUGGGUUCUCAUUCCUGUGAAUGAUGUAUUAUAUUUAUGUUGUUGCAUUUAUAUGUACUAUAUCUAUCUAUCUAUCUAUCAAUCAUAUGUCAGUUUGCCUUUCUGUGUAAAGGAAGGUACAAAUAUAGGUAUGGAUGAAUUUUGUCUUUUUUUUGGUAGAUCUUAACGGAUGGCUACUGAAUUUUGUUAGCAACCUAUAAACUGUGUACGGCCAACAGUUUCUCGUUAUAUAUACCGUGCCGCUCGUCCCACCUGUAUCCUCGUCUGUGCAUUCUCUCUCGCUCGCCUUCUCAAUUUCUCUCCCUCUAUCUCUGCAUCAUCGCCAAUGGCGCCGCCGGUGAGCCAACACGCCGAGGAGAAGGUGCCGCUCUGCAACGACGACCUCGCCCCAAGCAGCGGCGAGGAGGACCCCUACGCGCCACCGGACUUGGUCACGCCUGAUCCCCCCACCGAGGAGUGGUUUUGGAGUCAGUUCGACCUCGCUCUGUGGAAGACGUUGCCGCCGGCUGAAAAAGCCAGGCGUGUGGCGGUCAUGAAGGCGGACGAGAAGAAGCGCGAGGAGGAAGAGGCGGCUAAGGCCGCCUGGAAGGUGGAGGAGUUGGAGCUCUGGCGGGAGGCGCGUUGGCACGCGCAGGAGGUCGAUGAAGACGGCUGCUUCAACGCCAAGAGGGCCAGAGGCGCUUUGCGCCUCCUCGCUGCAUGGAGGUGGGCAGAUCGCGUCGAGAAGGCCACCGAUGAAGAGCUCACCUACGCGUCGUCUACAAUGGCCAGGGCGGAGGCCUAUGCCCGCCGGGAAGCUGCCGAUGCGCAUGCUGCGGAGUGCGAGGCGGAGGAGGAGGCUAUCUCCCUCCGCGCUGGGAAGCCGGUGCGCACCAGGGAGUCCGUGGCCAAACGCAAGGAAACGGCCCUUAGAAGGGACUAUUGAUUUUUAGUUAAUUUAUUACUUGUCUUUAAAUUUAAUGUAUUUAUAGCACAACAAUUCACACACAUAUGUGUGUGAUAAUAUAUAUUAUGUAAUGAACUGGAUUGUGGAGUAUUAUUGAUGAAUUUCUAUCUUAUUUACCUACUCGAUGUCUCAUUUUUUUUUAGUAAAACUACCUAUUCUAAGAAUAUAUUUACACUGAUGUCAAUCAGGCAUGUUUUCGAAGAGUUAACUAUCUGUGAUUUGGGCUAAAAAAACACAUGAGGUGGCAUGAUCUGUACAGAUGUUCUAUGCAAAAUAGCUGUUUGUGAAACUUCAAACAUCACACACAAUUGCUAUCUAAUAAUUGUGUGAAUUGUAUUGCAUGCGGAGUAACUACUGAAGUUUUAUGUGAAGUGUUGUUAUCAUCACACACAAUUCCAUAACUCGACCCCAACCAGGUUUAGCCCACGACCUCUCAAAACGGACUGUGUGCAAUGGAUUAAGUCAUUGCAUACGUUUUAUUUCGAAGAACUAUAUGCACGCUAACGCAUACAUACGUUUUAUUUCGAAGAACUGUAUGCACGCCAACGCAUACAUAGUAACCCCAAUUUUGCCAUGUGACGUGCUCAAACUAGCAGAAUCAAGGCGACACGACCCCAAUUUUGACAUGCGACGUGCUCAAACUAGUAGGAUCAAGGCGACGCGACGCCGGAAAUGAAGCAUAUACAACGCCGGAAAUGAAUUUUGGGGGGAAACCAAGAUUGCCGGCGGGUGAAUUUCACAUCGGGUCAGAGUAGAAGCAAGUUUGUUGUUUGGUGACACACCUCAUACACCAUACACGAGAAGAGAGAAAAGAGAGAGGGGGGAAACAAACAAAGACAAAGGGGAUUGAAUUGGGUUUGGAUUCAUACCACAACUUGGGUCCCCCGGCGGUUUCCUCCUUCCUCUCGGACAAAACCAAACGAACCAAGAGACAAACUUCUUCUUCUUCUUCUUCUUCCUCCGGCGGAUCUCAUCUUCAGAUCACAUCCAAGCAGCGCAAGCAGGAGACGAGACGCGCUCCCUCGCUCGCUCCACCGUCCACAACCAAACCAGGUACGUCCGCACUCGGUCCCCUCCCCUGGAAGAUCGAUCUGAGCUCUCGCUAUCUGACUCGGAGCUCAGAUCGGAUCGGACCAGAUCUUGUUUCUUUCUUUCUUCAAGAUCCCGAUCCCCACCGCCCUGAUUCGAUGCCCGAUUCCUCUGAUCACGAUCCCGUCCAUCGGUUUCCCGUGUCCAGGCAAAGGGCAGCGAUGACGUUCGACAAGGUGGAGGAGCUGCGGCCGGGCACCUACGGCCACAACCUCCAGCUCCGGGUGCUCAGCUCCAAGCCCGUCGUCCUCCACAGGCCGCAGGGCGGCAGGGCCGGCGGCAACAUGCGCAUCGCCGAGUGCAUCGUCGGCGACGACACCGGCGUCGUCGUAUUCACCGCCCGCAACGAGCAAGGUACUCAUCUCCGUUUCCUUCUUCUCUUGCCUGAUUCAUUCACUUGAAGAAAUUUACUAUGCUUCUUCUUUUGUCUGAUUGAUUGAUUGCUUGCUUGUAAACUAUACAUACAUAAUUGGGAUCUUAUCUAUCAUAGUUUGGUUUCCGUCAUAUCAGAAAUUCUACUGCAUUUAAACAAAGUCACGGUACUAGAUCGGCACUCAUCGGUGCUAUAAUGACGCACUGGCUAAUGUUGAAAUCGUGAUGCUCUGCUGCUGCUGCUGCUGCCGCAUACAUGUUUCAUGUUCACUCAUUGCUGGCUUAUUAACUCAAUUGCCCUGUUUCUUCUUUUGCCUGCGUAAUUGCACGGUCCACAAACGUUUCCCCCUUUGUGAUCAGGGUUUAACUAACUUUCAGGCUUUGCAGAAUCAACCUCCUUCCGAUCGUCGUAGCCUUCAUCCCUGUAUUUAUCCUUGAUGAUGCAACCAUGAGCUUACUCUCUAGUUUUGCAAAAUUUCCUGGACCUGGGCAGGUUUACAGUGACUUGCCUGUCUGGUUUGCAACAAAUUUGUUUUUCCUUACCUUAAUAUAGAUCUGUGCUGGUCUUCAUCUAUCAUGUUAGACAUUCUACUAGUUCUGACACGCCCAGCAUUUAAACUAGCUGGGAGUAUGAGAUCGUCAUCCAUGGGUGCUUGCUAGAAUGUCCGCCUGGCACCUGUGGAAUGAUCUUAAGUCGAAAUCAUAAUACUCUGCUGCAGAUAUGUUUCAGUACAAACACCCUGCCUAUAUGUUCUCUCAUUGCUUGCUGGCUUAACUUGAUUGCUCUCUUGGUUAAUUCGCCUGACUGGAAUUUAUCUUGCGUUUUCUUGCUCCAGUGGACGUCAUGAAGCCCGGGGCUGUCGUGGAGGCGAGGAAGGCGAGGGUGGACAUGUACAAGGGGUCGAUGCGCCUGGCCGUGGACAAGUGGGGGACGCUCAAGGCCGCCGAGAGCCCUGCGGACUUCAAGGUGAAGGAGGACAACAAUGUGUCCUUGGUCGAGUUUGAGCUCAUCACUGUGAUGCAGUGAUUGAAGAGGGCUCCUCCUCCCCCUUGCCUAGGAGGAGGAGGAGGAGGAGGAGGCAGAGGAGGCUCAGCAGCUGUUAGGCUGAGCACAAAGCAAUAAGUCGGCCAAUCAUGGCUCAUGUUCUUCACCCCCUCCCCCCUCUCUCUGUUUACUCUUUAUUUGCUGAAAGUUUUGCUAGUCCUGCUACCUUGGAUUAAUUGUCGUUAGUAAUACCAUAUAUGUUUGUGAGGAGUUGCAUCCAGAUUGUUGUGAGUGAGCCCUGCCAUCUCUUUGUGUUAGACCUGGUAUAUCAAUUAACUAAUUAUGUUAAGCACUGGUGACAUAUAUCUAUGAAACUCCUUCACAGGCGACAUUUUGCUGAACGACAUGCGCACGAUGGCUUGCCCAUGGAUGGUACGAUAUGACAUGUCGUGCGUCUUUUGGUUGGCAACUGUGGUCCGUGUAGCCACGCUCUAUAUCCAUGAGCUGCUUGUGUUGCCUUGGUGAGCGAAGUGAUGUUUUGCUUGCCUGAAUGUUGAGUGUUAACUGAUCAUCAUGAUGAUGAUAAUGAUUUUGUAGUGCAACAGCCACACCACUAUGUUGUGUUGUGGUCUGGUCUUUGUUCUUGUGCAUUAUGAUGGGUCAGCCAAAGAAGAGAGAAGCAUGCCAUGGUGGCUGUCUGUUGUUGCAGUGGUUGCAAAUGUUGUGCUGUCUUGCUAGCUGGUAAUAAUUGUAGUAAUGUGUUGUGCUUGUGAUUGGGCCACCCACAUCAUCACCUUGAUUUAUCUUGUUGGAUGUGGAUAAUGUAAAGUAACAACAAGGUGACCCAUAAUGCCGCGGUGGGCGGUACCACGGUGUUUUGUGCAGUACACCAAAAAAAUAACAGUGAUAAUGAUGUAGGUUUUGUUUCCUGAGCUACGGCAAACCCUCCAUUUAGGCCCUUUUUUGGACAGAAAAAGAAAGAAACGGCGGUAAUAUAUGCACAUAUGACUAUAAUUUUCCGUAAAUCCAAAACAGUAAUGAUGAAAAAAUACGAUUUCAUUUUGCCAGACCAUAUUCUUUGCUAUGGUAGGUCAUUUAGGGUGCUACGUCUAGUCGAACCCCUAUGGUGUUGUAUGGGUCAUGCCUUCGCGGUGUUGAAGCAUCAUUCUUUAACAAAUUCAGCUACAUCUUCCGCAUGGUUCUGAAAAUAAAAAGUAAAGAAUGGGCCAGUUGUUUUUUCAUUGUUAACCCCAAAGAAUAUGGCUUCUUUGCCUUUUAAUUACUACUAGCAAAGCACACAUAAAAAAGGCAUGAUUGAUUACUUGGAAUGAGCAGGCUGGUUGUUUUUUCCUUGAACUCUAAAAAAAUGGGUGGUUUACCCUUUUAGCAAAGCACACAAAAAGGCAGCGUUACUUACUUUUAUGGAAUGGAAAACUCCUAAAAAUCCCAGCAGUCGACUGAUGUUUGUUAACCAAAACAAGAAAGGAGUAUAGCGGUCACGCAUAUGACAAAUUUAAACAGAGUACUUCACGCUAAAAACAUCUCGCCGGAGUUCAUCAACUCAACACACCAUAGUUCACCACACAUAGCAUAGGGGAACCGAAACAUAGCAUAUAGGGGAUCUACUAGUCGUCGAAGCCGGGGGUGGGCGGGGGACUACUUCACCGAGGUUCUACUCAUCCGAGUCAGAGUCAUCCGAGUCGGAGUCAUCGUCCUCAUCGUCUUCGUCACUGGAGAUGACCUCGGUGGGCAGCGGCUUCCCUCCGUGAAUGGUGUCGUAGAUGAGGUCGUCGUAGAUCUGGCUUUGGAGGUCAUACUCCUCCCAUAGCACACAAGAAGGCAGGGUUACUUACUUUUUUUUUUGGAAUGAAAAACUCUUAAAAAUUCCAGCGGUUGACUGGUGUUUGUUAAUAAAAAGAAGAAAGGAGUAUGAAAGUAGGAAGGUGGGAGGGGGAAGCGAAGGAAGCGAGUGAGCGGUUUACUUUUGUAGUUCCCUUCCCUACACACUCAUGCAAGCGGUUUAUUCUUGCGGUGUCCCCAUGACGCUUGUGCUUCAGUCGAUGUUGUUGUCAUCGUUGUCACGGUGGUCGAGUUUGGGUUGCGUUUGUGACGGUACUCAUAUUUUUUUCCGUUGUUAACCGAAAGAAUAUGGCUCGUCUGCCUUUUAAUUGCUAGCAAAGCACACAUAGAAAGGCAUGACUGAUUACUUGGGAUGAGCAGGCUGGUUGUUUUUGUCCUGAACCCCAGAAAAUCGCCCUUUUAGCAAAGCAGAAGAAAAGGCAGGGUUACUUACUUUUUUUGGAAAUGGGAAACUCUUAAAAAUUCCAGCAGUUGACUGGUGUUUGUUAAUCAAAAGAAUAAAAGAAAAGAAAAAAGAAGAACAAAGAAGUAUGAGAGCAGGAAGGUGGGAGGGGAAAGCGAGUGAGCAGUUUAUUCUUGCGGUUCCCUUUCCCACACGCUCAUGCAAGCGGUUUAUUCUUGCAGUGUCUCCGCGACACUUGUGCUUCGUUGAUGUUGUCGUCAUCGUAGUCAAGUUUGGGUUGCUUUUGUUGCGGAUUGGGUGCUGGGUUUCGCAUCCAUGCCUUGCGAUGUCAUGUUGUUUAGAGUUCUUCGGCGAGGCACGCCCCUGUGGCGUGACAGGGGGCGUGCCUUUUUACCCUUUUAGUGUACUAGCACACUAAUGAAAAAGGCAUGUGUUACUUACUUUGGAGUGAAAAAAGUCUUGAUUACAUAUGAUUGAUAAUGUCAGUCGACCGGUGUGUGUUUGUUUGUUAAUUAUAUUAGUAUAUAUAAAUAAAAUAAGAAAAGGAAAGGAAAAGGAAUAUGAAAGCAGUAAGGUGGAAGGGGAAAGCGAAGGGUUUAUUCUUCCAUUUGUGUUGUAGAAAGAAGUCGUCAUUUUCUUCCGUUGCCUUGCCUACGCACGCGCCUCCUUCUUCUUUCUUUCUUGUGCCGACACACAGAGAGAGAGAACCCAUUGUCUAUCAUCAUCAGCAUCCAUCCAUCCACCAAAACAAAUAUUCCACCUUUCCUUUUUGUUUCCAGAUUACCGGAGGAAUGAUGAGUUGAUUCAUUCUCACUAUCCACUCCAAAAUCUACUCGAGCUCACCUCAUCCAUCCACCAAAAAGGCAGGGUUACUUACUUUUAUGGAAUGGAAAACUCUUAAAAAUUCCAGCAAUUGACUUGUGUUUAUUAAUCAAAAGAAGAAAGGAGGAUAGCGAUCCCGCAUAUGAUAGAAAUUUAAACAAAGUACUUCGCGCUAGAAACAUCUCGCAGGAGUUCAUCAACCCAACACAUCAUAGUUCACCACGCAUAGCAUAGGGGAGUUUUUGCAAACCAUAAUAAUUAUACAUAGCAUAGGGGCACCGAAACAUAGCAUAGGGGAUCUACUAGUCGCCGGAGCUGGGGGUGGGCGGGGUCUACUUCACCGGGGUUCUACUCAUCGGAGUCAGAGUCAUCGCCCUCGUCAUUGUCGUCGCUGGAGAUGACCUCGGCGGGUAGCGGCUUCCCUCCAUAAAUGGUGUCGUAGAUGAGGUCGCAGUAGAUCCGGCUUUGGAGUUGGUACUCAUCCCAGAGCGUCAGCAGCCGCACAGCCGCAACCGCAUCUUUGGCAUCGGCGGCGGUCCUCGCCUGAAACCACGCCCACUCGGCCUCCCACUGGCACUCCCACUGGCACUGGAUCGCCGAGUCGAAGAGCCGGUCGCAGCGCCGGGAGGUCUUCCACGCACGCGACCUCGAUCCAGCACUGCGGGACUUGGCGCCACGCGUGCACGCCGCCGCCCGUUGCUUCUUCGACACCGGAGAGCGGAGGCCAGAGUCGCCGGCCUCGUCGUCGUUCUGGCGCUUGCGGGCGAAGAAGCCGCCGCGCGCACCGCCUCCACCGCGACACCCGAAGCCACCGCGAUCGCCGAACCCCCUUCCGCCGCCACGCCCCGCACCGGCGGACGCCAUGGUAGCUUCGAUCCGGCAGAAAACAGGCCGCAAAAGGCCGUCGCUCGAUUUCUCACUGGAGUACACGAAAGGCGGCGGAGAGGGCUAGAGGAAAUGGAGGGCGGAUACCCUAAAUUGGCCGGAAGCCGGCAUAUAUACCGGAUUGGGGGAGGGGGGGGGGAGGGGGCUUUUCAUGGGCCAGGACUUUUUUGGGGUAUCUGCUCGGGCCGAUUAUUUGGGUCGUCCCGUAUAACGGCCGGAAAAGCGUAGUUUACCGGCCUUAUGCGGGAUCUGCUAGAGAUGUUUCAAUAAUUAAUAAUAUAACGUUUGUUUACCGAGCUACGGCGAGCCCUCCAUUUAGGCCAUUUUUUGGACAGAAAAAGAAAGAAAUGGCGGUAAUAUAUGCACAUAUAACUACAAUUUUCUGUUAAUCCAAAAUAGUAAUGAUGAAAAUAUAAUUUCAUUUUGCCAGACCAUAUUUGUCUUCGUGUAGCCUACAUGUGAUGAUUUUAAGAUACUUAUACCCAUGAUAUCCACUCCUUUCGUUCCUAAAUAUUUGUCUUUUUAGAGAUUUCAACAAAUGACUACAUACGGAACAAAAUGAGUGAGUCUACACUCUAAAAUAUGUCUAUAUACAUCCGUAUGUGGUAGUCCAUUUGAAAUCUCUGAAAAGACAAAUAUUUAGCAAUGGAGGGAGUAGUAGACUAGAUUUGUUGUGCAUGCCAACAUGCAAAUGUUAAUUUUUUUUAAGAAAAAAAACCCAAUGAACCCCAAGUAAAUUCACUGCGUUCCUUUUUUUUACAAGUAUUUGAGAUAAAUUCCAAAUUGUUAGGUGCAUUUUCUUUUUACACUAGUAAAAGCAGGCAAUUAUACUCGUGUAAUCAUUGUUGUGACAUGUGGCAUUUCAACCCAAAAUUGCGCUCAAAUCAAUAUAUUGCUCAAUAAUGUUGUGCCUAUACUUUGUAUCAGUUUGGCUCAAGGUUACUAUCCCCGUGGCACUUGUGCUUCAGUGGUGGUCGUCAUUGUAGGCGAGCUUGGGUCGUGUUGUUGUGGAUCGUGCUGUAACUUUCGCAGUGUAAGAAUUUCGGUUCCAUCCCUUGUGAUUUUUGGCCAUUUAGGGUGCUGUACCUAGUCGUGCCUCUAUGACGUGGUAUGGGUCAUGCCUUCUUGGUGUUGUAGCAUCGUUUUUUCUUAACGAAUUCACGUGGGGCUAGAUCUUCUGCAUGGUUCUGAAAGAAAAAAAGGAAAAACCUAAAGAAUGGGUCCUUUUUCUUUUACUUCCUCCGUCUCUCUCAUAAUGUAAGAUGUUUUUUUGACACUUUUUGACACCUGGUGUCAAAAAACACCUUACAUUAUGGGACGGAGGGAGUAGUAAUUAGAAAAGCACACAUAAAAAGUCAUGCUUACUGGAAAUGCGCAGGCUAUUGUUUUGUCUUGAACUCCAAAAAAAUGGCCCUUUUAGCAAAGCACACAGAAAGGCAAGGUCACUUACUUUUUUAGAAUGAAAGACUCUAAAAGAUCCCAGCAUUGACCGGUGUUUGUUAAUGAAAAGAAGAAGAAAUGAGUGUGAAAGCAGGAAGGUGGGAGAGGGGAAAGCGAAGGAAGUGAGUGAGCGGUUUAUCCUUGCGCUCAUGCAAGCAAGCGGUUUAUUCUUGCAGUGCUUGGGUCGUCAUGGUAGUCAAGUUUGGGUUGUGUUUGUUGUGGAGUGGGUGAUGGGUUUAACAUCCUCUAUGCCUCUUGUGAUGUUGUGCCGUCUUGGGUUUUCCAUGGAUCUCUAUGGGGGCAUAGUAUGAAGCGUGCCUUACUGUGGUUGUGUAAAUAAAGUUGUACCAUUUGAGCAUAGUAGCAGAGUAAUAAAAAGAUGUGUUACUUAGUUUGGAGUGAAAAAAUGUUGAUUAUUAUACGUAUAAGAUUGAUAUAUAAUGUGAGCAGUUGACCGGUGUGUGUUUGUUUGUUAAUAAAAAUGUAAUAAAAGGAGAAGAAAAAGGAAAGAAAAAGGAGUAUGAAUUCCGAAAGUGCCAUUGUGAUCCCGAGCACCUGUGAUCUUGUUAUCUGCACCACGCAGUUCUCUCGUGAUGUGCACUGCCAGUUGUAUAGGCCCAGCUCCAAUUUAUGUAUUUCAUAUUUUAUUAUGGCCCAUGGCCCACUAGUCAGGUGUAGCUCCCGCUACGCCACAAUAUGAGCCGUCCCGACUCAUAUUCUGUACUAACGCCCCCCUUAUGUACACAACUAUGCCUGAUAUUCUGCCUAUCCGAUUCAAAUUUUGAACGCAGGGGCGCACAGAAGGAUGGCUGCGUCAUACUAGUGUGACUGCCUACUCACAUUAAAUUAACCACUAGCGCAGCUAGCAACCUUAGCCGGCGGGUUGUAUCUGAACAUUUCUUCAGACACCACCUCCCAGCAUGCGUCUUCAGAUUCAUGCUGAUAGGCAACCCACAGAAAUUUAUUAAUCACAGAGUCACAAAACAUACUUAAACUACAUACAGAUUAGUUAACCCAUUAUACUGACAUAACAGUCUCUACAAAUUAUCACGCUGGUGACAUGAUAUUCUAUACAGAUUAUCACUCUGAAGCUGCACACUUAGAGAUCACUCCAAGAAAGCUUUUCCUGUUCCAGAUUGUGGCAAUAAAACCUAAACCACCAUUUCAUAAGUAUAUAUUUCUUUUGUAUAGAUAGCUCCAAAUAGAAAUUUAAACAAGAAGCACUUCCCCGGAUAGAAUUUGAGUACUCAGUUUAUGAACUGAUUUUUUCUGUUAGUUUAUACUAUUACUAAUUCAAACAGAUCAUUAUAGUUCUCGAGAAGUAUGCUCUUGUGCAUGGCCUGAGUGGAUAAUUUAGUACUUCCUCUUCCUCAUAGCUCAUUUUUUUUUUGAAAAGGGGGGAUCCCCGGCCUCUGCAUCAGCACGAUGCAUACGGCCAUCUUAUUAAUAAUAAAACAUCCACAAGGUCUCGAAGUCUCAGUAGUAGCAAACUAAAAAACAAACGACAAGGCUCACACAGAGCCCAAAGGCCUCCUCAUAGCUCAUGCCUCUUGCAUCUUUUGUUCCACCAGCCCCUGCCUCCUGCAAAAACCACAACAGAAUCCAACCAUCACAGUUAAAACUUACUCCUAGAGAACUAUAAUACUUUUUUCCUAGACCAGAAUAAAAAACAAAUGGAACAAGGCAAAAAAUACAGGGGAAACAACCGACCUGCAGCACGGUACCACGGAAGCAGAGAUACAUAUGGAUAAACGCGCCCAGCCUGCCAGCCGGCGAGCUGAGAUGAUAACUCAGCAUCUCGCUAGUGAAAUAUUGGAUCCUGCAAUUAGGCUGCUGAUGAACUGAAGGUGAUUCCCAAAUCCCCUCAAGUCCGAACUCUAAAAUUUCAUACUCAUUUGGCACUCUCAGAUCCCUAUCAUGAACUCUCUGUGUUUUGCCCAAAAUAUAAUAUAUCCACUAAUGAACAUCAGGGCCAGUCUACCAACUUCGAAAUAAGAAAGUUCAGUUUGACACUGGUCGACUGAGUUGCUGCAGAGUAAACAUUUACUAAUACUGUGAUACAGCUUUGGUUCUAUCUUGGCAUUAGUUGUCAAUAAUAGCCAAGAUUGCACAACCCUGAAGCAGAGUAGAUCAAUGAUACAGAAAAAAGUACUUGUCGCCCCAAGUGUCACACAUGCUAGAGUUGGCCAGGACUAUAAUUCUGUUGCUCUUACUGAAUGGAAUACUUCAUAUGAUUCCACUCAACACCUACAGGGGCAAUUUGCUCCAUUGCAGAAUCCUAUGAUUUUUUUUCUGAUCAAUGCACAUUGUCGACUAAUUUGACGUGCUACAUCUGCAUGUCAGUAGCUGUUAAAACAUUUAGUAUGUAAAUGUGUUUUCUUGUAGCUAAUUUUCAACGGUGAAUCAUGACUGAUCUGGCUGAACCGGUUAUGUCCGGUUGUCCACCUAAUAAAUUUUUCACUGUUGCUCUCUAGAAUAUAUGACUGCUCAAGCUGUUAUCCUUCGUUAAUCGUUGAUAGGUUGAACCCAGGAAAUCAGGCUAAAAAGUGCGUGAAUAAAGAUUUAAGUUUUCACGUAAAUCACUGCUUGAUACUUAAUCAUACGUAUGAAUCACUACCUAAUCUUGUGUCCUGCCACCCGAUUCUGUAGUAGGUUGGAAUGUGUGGAUACAUGAGAUCGAACGAGGAGUACCUUGCUUAGCUGAACUUCCAUUUAGGCACGGUCCAGCAGCCAGCCCUCGCGCACCGGCAACCACCUUAUGAUAGCAGGGCAUUCACACUGGCAAGAACGAGUAUGUUCCCCUAUUGGCUUCCCCUACAAAUAAUUUAAGUAGCCAAACCAAGUUAAUUGCAACACAAACACACAGCGAUCGGAAUGCAAAAUGCAGAAAAUUAGGCACAAAUGGGCAAUACCAUGCAGCCGCACAAUAUCUCUUGCAUGCAUUUUGUACGGUUGACAUUUAGCCUGCUCUUUCCAUAUCCAAUGUCGAAACCUUUCUCCCAUGAAUACAGAUUGUAAAAUCAUAGGCUUGUCCGAGUGUGUCAAAGCUUGUUCCUAAUUUCGGCACGAUGACGUUAUCACCAGGAUCUUCGGCAAAUCCCUGGAUUGAUUUCUCCAUAGCUGAAAUCUCAUUAGGGCAUGGGGCUCUGCCUACCUCGGCAGCCCCAAUCAGCACUCUGCUAGCCCAUGAAAAUAUGUGCAAAGCAUCGGUUCAUCCAUAGUGAAAUCGAGCACAAGCAUGACGCACACAUCAAAUUCGACAAGAUAUAAUGAUUCCCCAAAAUAAAACCUUCCAAUAUAGUUAUCAUAUUUACAAUAGAAGCGAGAAUAAUCCCUAACAGGGGAACCCAGACUAACAGGUUCAGUAAUCAGGCUAAGCUACUAAUAUACAGUCUAGCUUUUCUUGCAUCCAACUCAAUCUUUACAUAUUGUUCUGCUUGUAAAUCAUUUGACAACUAAAGUAAAUGAUUCUAAUUAGUACAGGUCCUACGUACACGUUUGCUUAAAUCAAUUCCAUCAAUUAACAGAUGGUGCUGGUGAUACGAUACGUGAGGUGCUCCCGUGAUACAAGACUAGGUGGGCCGUUCGAUCUGGACUGGUGGUACAGGAUUGAGAGGGGUCUCUUGGCGUUGCAAUGUAUGCAAAAAACACCCUGGUCUAUUCCGUAAUUCAGCGACGAAGUGCAUAUCCAUUCUCUGUUCGCUUCUUCCCUGAUACAGUUCGCACCGCCGCCGCCGCCGCCGCCUAGGGCAUGUCUCCUGCCGCCGCCGCCGCGAGCAUGCCCCAUCCACUGUUGAUAGCCCAAAUCCAGCACAUCCUAUAGAGCUCGCGCGCGUGCUGAUUCCUUGGCUCAGAUCUGGUCGGUUUCAUAGGAGCCGAGAUGGACCUUCCCCUGCCGUCGCGGGAUCCGGAGACCCUCGGCAAGGACGAUCAGGUAAGAGGCAGCGCCUCCUUCGCCUUAUGCAUCUGGUCCGUUUUCUCGCAAAUGAAUUUUUGAUUUUGCUUAUUAUUUGAUUUUAGGACUGGAUGUCCGCGCUGCGGGAGUCGGUGUCGUUCGGUCGAUUCCUAUCCGAGUCACUCGAGUGGGAUACGAUGAGGCAUGCCUUGCCGGCACCGACGGCUACCAUAUUGCAUGACCAAUCGCUGCCGGCAGCUGGCCUCAAUCAAGAUGUACAUGUCAAUUUCUUGGUGCCGACCACAAUGGUCGGAGCUCAAUCUGCCUCCUCCAAUUGUGGUGUUGCAUGCAUUGGCGAAUCUGGAGCAGGCGUGAGUUGUAGUCCAUGCUUGCCUGCUGCCCGGUCCUCAACUAAUGUUGAAGGAGCUGCAUUGCAUUUGGUUAGUUCAUCCCCCAAUUUCAUAGUAUCAUGUAUUGCUCUCCAUAAUGUAGUCCUGGAAGUCUGCUAUGAUGUGCCUAAAACUAUGAACUGAAACUAGUUGCAACUGUAUGACAACAAACGAAAGAAGCGAAAAAAUUAUGGAAGUACAGCUACAUCUAAUGUUAGUUGUGGUUAUGGAAAUUUCAUGUCUCACCAUGCAAUACCAGUAGAUGUUUAAGUUCAGAGCAGAUAUAUGCAUCAGUAUUUUAAUCUUUGCAGAAUUAGAAAAUUGCUUGCCAUGUGGACAAAAGUUCUUGUUCAGUCACUCUGUUACAACAUAUUGCUAAACAUGAAAUCUAGCAGUGUUUAAAUGUUGUCUGUGGCUUCCUCUCCUUAGCUGAAUUAUACACAUAAUCUUUCUUAUAGAGUGUAAUAGAAUCUUUCUACAUAUAGUAUAGUUGAAAAUCACAUGUACAGACUAGCACAAGUUCAGACCAAAAUGUAUUAUUAGUCGAGUAAGUGAACAUUUAGACUAUUGCUAGGUACUGUCUAUAGAUUGAGUGAUUCACUGAAUUCAUACCAGACGAGGCCCAAGAAUGUUUGGCUAACAAAAAUCCCAGUUGAAUUCUAUGUCAGCCUGAGACAACUGAGUACUAGAAAUCUAUGCAGCUGUAAUAAACUAGCUUACUGACCAUUUAUAUUCAGCUGGGAUUUAACAAAUGUUAUGGGUAAAUACGCUAUUAGCACUGUUUAUAUUCCUAACAAAUAGAACAAUGACAUGGAGGGUGAGUAACAAACUAUUCGUACUUAGCACACUGAACAAUGACGGAUACUUUCUUGGUUAUCUAUGUACCAAUAGUGUAAUACUCACAUACAGGUUAUUGCCAUUUCGAAUUUAUGUCACUGCUGCACGUAGCGUCACAUGCCUUUAUGUCACUGUUACUGGCUGACAUCCAUAUUUCAUUUGCACCAAGUAGUCGAUGAUGGAGCCAAUGGAGAGCAUUGGUCAGAGCGUAGGAUCUACUACUCCAGUUUUGCUUGAAGAUGAUGCCAAUACCAAUUUCAAGGUACAUAAUUUGGUCAAUUAAAUAAUUAUUCCUUGCUGUACCGUAUCAUUUAUUUGUUAAUAGCCUGAUAGGGCAGGAAAAGUGCUUAGUUAUAAUGUAUCUAAAUUUAUUUGUUUUUCCUUCUUUGGCAGGAUGGAAAUGAAUUGGCUUCAUGCAGUGGAGAUAGUUACACUACACCAAGGAAAACAAGAAGCAUGCCGAUCCGCGUAAGUAUUGUUUAAUGUUCAAUAUAGAAUUAGCAAGUUUUAUCUUCCAAAAUGAUAAUUGUGUUGUUUUGGUCCAGGGUUCAACAUAUGAGCCAGAGUGUGAUGAAAGCUUGCAGCCCACAAUUGGCAUGGUCUUUGAUAAAUGGGAGGAUGGUGAGAUUUUCUACAAACAUUAUGCUCAUGAGGCUGGUUUUUCGGUUCGGAUAUUUACACAGCAUAAAGGGGAUGGUGGUGUACCAGUGUGGAAGCGAUUUGUUUGUGCAAGGCAAGGAUGGAGGAAGGAGAAAUGUGUACCGAAUGAUCAUGUCAAGAAGUCCAAUAGGAAAGUGAAGAUAACUAGGUGUGGUUGUGAGGCUAUGAUUGGCUUAAAGAGAAGAGGUGAUGGCAAGUAUGUAGUCGCCCGAUUCGUGCUUCAACACACACAUCAGCUUGUCUCGCCGAGUAAGAAAUAGUUCCUGCGAUCUAAUAGAGAAGUCAGUAGUGAAUUGAGGAGCACAUUUUUCACUUGUCGCAAAGCAUUGAUGGGCCCUUGCCAAACAUAUCGCUUAUUGAGUGCACAAAACGGCGGGCAGGCAAAUAUUGGAUGCACGAAGCGUGAUUUACAGAAUUAUGGUCAUGAUAUCGCUGAGAUAAUUAAAGAUGCAGAUGCACAAACAAUCAUUGAUGCUAUGAAGAGUAAGCAAAGUAUCAAUCCAACUUUCUUCUUUGAUUAUGAACGAGAUGAAGAGGACAAGUUAACCCACAUUUUUUGGGCUGAUGGUACAUGCAGAAAGAACUAUGCACUAUUUGGUGAGGUGAUGUCCUUUGAUUCCACAUAUAGUACUAAUCAAUACAACCUAGUUUUUUCCCCUUUCACUGGUGUGAACCAUCACAAGGCAUGUGUUACAUUUGGUGCUGCAUUUGUAUGCCAUGAAAAGGUUUGGUCGUACAAAUGGUUAUUCAAGACCUUUCUAAAGGCAAUGGGAGGUGUUGCACCUAAACUUAUCAUUACCGAUGAGGACCAAAGCAUGAAAGCUGCAAUCAAAGAAGUAUUCCCUCAAACUGUACACAGACUUUGCAUGUGGCAUAUUCUCUACAAAGUACGACAGUAUGUCGGUCAUGAUUUAUUCAAUGAUGAAGAUUUCCGUAAGCAAUUUAGUGCAUGUGAUUUUUUACAUGGUCUUAUAGGUCAAGAAGCUUUAAAAUAGAUCAGAGGGAUAAGAAGGUGCACCAGUCUCGAAGGUUAUUUGGCAUUUCCCAUAUUUAAUGUCGUAUUGUUUUCUUGAAAUGUUUUUAGGUCCUAGUUUUUAUUUUAUCAUGUAGUUGUGCUUUUGUACCUUCCACUCGAUGGUGUAGGAAUAGGAAUUCAUCAAGUGAUCUGUAGCAAUAUUGUUUCAUUUAGCUAUGUUAAUUUGUGAACUAUAUCAUCUUGUGAACUAUAUUAAGUUCAUGUUAAUUCCAAGACAAAGAUGCCAGUGUAUAAAGCUGCUCAAUUUUUUUGAAGGUAUAUGUUGCUGUUUCCUUUGAUAUGAAUUUUUAUACACUGUUUUUGCUAGGGACAUCUUAACUUUUCAUGUAACCAGCUCGUACUAAUUUGGACAUAUUUCUGAAUGCAGGAUAAAANNNNNNNNNNNNNNNNNNNNNNNNNNNNNNNNNNNNNNNNNNNNNNNNNNNNNNNNNNNNNNNNNNNNNNNNNNNNNNNNNNNNNNNNNNNNNNNNNNNNNNNNNNNNNNNNNNNNNNNNNNNNNNNNNNNNNNNNNNNNNNNNNNNNNNNNNNNNNNNNNNNNNNNNNNNNNNNNNNNNNNNNNNNNNNNNNNNNNNNNNNNNNNNNNNNNNNNNNNNNNNNNNNNNNNNNNNNNNNNNNNNNNNNNNNNNNNNNNNNNNNNNNNNNNNNNNNNNNNNNNNNNNNNNNNNNNNNNNNNNNNNNNNNNNNNNNNNNNNNNNNNNNNNNNNNNNNNNNNNNNNNNNNNNNNNNNNNNNNNNNNNNNNNNNNNNNNNNNNNNNNNNNNNNNNNNNNNNNNNNNNNNNNNNGGGGGGAAUGUUCCAAUCUAUGAUGUGCAUGCUUUCAACAUUGAGAAACAUGCAAAAUGACCAAAUGGCUAGGUCUAGCGAUUCCGGAGCAGAAACAGCUUCCUUUUAGUGUUCUUGCUGUGUAAUUAGGGGAAUCGUCUGCGUUAGCAGUUGACAAGAGUUGUAAUAUAUGCCUUUUAGGUUUAGGAGUAGCACCCUGUUUAACUUAGCAAAUCUGAACUAUAACUGUUACAUAUAUGUGCAAUUUCAUGGCAAGCGUUGCACUGUGUUUUGUCAAUCUGGAAGAUUGUACCGCUCUGGUUUGCUUUACUGGACAACAACAAGCUUUUAUAUCUGAAGGCAUUACUAGUAUUGUGGAAUCUCUUUUAUUUUGCCAAGUUUUGUUUCUUAUAUUUGGAACCAGAACAGUUAGUUUUGCUUCACUUUGUAAUAGAACAAACUGUAGAAUGUGGCAAAGGGAUGUUUGUUCUACUGUGUUGGAACUUUGGAAAAUUUUAUGAGUGUUGCUUGCUUGUAGGAAUAUGUGCUGAAAGUGAAUACCGUUGAUUUUACUGGUUAUAUCUAUAUGUUCUGACGAUCAUUCUCACCUGGGGUUAGUGAUUGCAUUCUUUAACAACAUAUUUCCUAAGAAACGGUGGCUUGAAAGAGAGACAUGUGACAGGAGUUUUGACCGACACAUACUUCUUUUGGGGGCCAAGAUGCAAAUGUUACUGGGGCCAUAUGUAAACAGCUGAGCAAACUGAUCCAGUCCAUUCCUGUAUAUCUAACGCUCCAUACAGCCUUGUAUCACCGUAUCACCUAAUAGAUGGUAGCACUAGAUAUUUUCCCGUGUACCUCAUAGGGGGGUAACAGCUACCAACCUGGUAACUGAAUUCUACCAUAAACGUUUACAAUCCCAUAGACCUUUUACAUUUUGAGAGUUAUUGCAACUGAAUAUAUGUGCGUACUAAUUUCACCUACAGAUUCAGUUGCUAUCUAAUAAUAUACUCCCUCCGUCCGGAAAAGCUUGUCCCAAACAUGUCUAUCAAAUGGAUGUAUUUAGCACUAACCUGGUGCUAGAUACAUUCAUUUGAGGGACAAGUUUUUUCUGGACGAAGGGAGUAGGUAGGAGAAUUCAUUUCCAACUGAACUUGUGGUAGCCCAAAAUGCAUACCUUGGCGUCCACCCAGAAGCCUUGGGGUCAAUCUUUUCUAUGUCCCUGUCGUUCACCUCCUCCAAAAGCGUUCUGCUGCACGCAUACAACGCCGGCAUAAAAAGUUAGAUCUUUAGGAAAUCCGAAGCGAAAAUGCGGGCGAACAACCACAUCCACAGCCAGAUCCGCUGCAUCAAGAAGUCCAUGUUCGUCGAAGCAGAGAGGAGCUAACCCUAAAGAGAUCACCGCUCUCAACAAAACAAGAACAGCAGCCGGGCAGUAGUAGGCAGCUGCAUUUACUCCAUCCUACUGCCUACGCUGCCGGAAAGCAUCACAACUGAUCCACGGAUCAGGACGUGGAUGACGGCUCUGACCCGGACUCCCGACGGCGUGAUCCUGGCCCUCUCUCUCUGUGAAUAAAGAGAGGAGUGUAGGCAGGGGAAAGAAAGAGAGGAGUGUGUCUGUAAAUAAUAAAGCAGCAGCGGCGGCAAAAGAAGGGAAUGGGAUUGGAUUCAUCUUCCUCCCUCUCUCUUUCUCUCUCUCUCUCCCUCUGAUUCCAUGGCGCACUGAAAAGGAUUGGGUGCUGCCCGCCGGAUCUAUCCCCCCGCUUCCCUCUUCCUCAUCUUCUUCUUCCCAACCUCAGAGCAGCAGCACUCCCUCACCUCCGAUUUCAGAGAACCUACCCACCUUCCUUCCAUCCUUCCGUGUCAAAUCCCCCAACCUAGAUAGAUAGACAUACACACAGACAGACAGACAGAUGGCGGCCUCCGCGCCCGCGCCGGCCACCUCCAGGCGCCCCAAUGCCACUCCCGCAGCAGACGCCGCCGCGCCCUCCACCUCCACCUCCACGACAUCCCCUCCUCCUUCCUCCCCGCCGUCCGCUCCACCUCCAAAGCUCGCCGCCUCGCCGCCUGCCGCGCUCCCACCUCCAAAGCCCGCGCCUUCCACUUCCACGCCGCCUCCAACCACCACAAGCCCACCUUCCCCGCCUCCCAAGCNNNNNNNNNNNNNNNNNNNNNNNNNNNNNNNNNNNNNNNNNNNNNNNNNNNNNNNNNNNNNNNNNNNNNNNNNNNNNNNNNNNNNNNNNNNNNNNNNNNNNNNNNNNNNNNNNNNNNNNNNNNNNNNNNNNNNNNNNNNNNNNNNNNNNNNNNNNNNNNNNNNNNNNNNNNNNNNNNNNNNNNNNNNNNNNNNNNNNNNNNNNNNNNNNNNNNNNNNNNNNNNNNNNNNNNNCAACCACGGCUCCUGCGCCAAGACCCACGCCGGCCGCUCCAGCUCCAAGAACCGAGCCGACCUCCCCCUCCCCCACUGCCUCGCCCCCCGCCCACGCCCCGCCGCACGCCAAGCCAUCGCCCCCUCCCUCGGCCGGCCACCGCCCGCAGCUGCCGACGCCGGCCACGGCCGUCGACCCGGCCAACCAGCACGGCAGGAGCCCCAACAAGUCCUCCACGCAGUCCGCCGGGGAGCGGGGCAAGGCCUCCGCCACGCCGAGCAACAACGGGGGGGCCAGCAACAGCGUCGUCAUCGCCGUCGGCGCCGUGCUCGCCUUCCUGGUGGUCACCCUCAUAGCGGCCGCCGUUCUCUACACCAAGAAGCGCCGGAGGGGGAGGGACGACUACCGCCCCGGGUUCAGGUCGCCGCCGUACUCUUCUUCAGAGCUACCACCCUCAGGUUCAGGUAAUACUUCAAGUUCAACCUCAAUGUGCUGAAUGUGAAUUCAGUGCACACUCACUAAUUCAGUCAAUCUUAUAUGUAAGUACAUUUUUCACAGUUCCUUCGGGCGGCGGCUCGGCGAACGCGGCAAUGUUGUCGUCGGCCGACCCCUCCGUCCACACCAACUACAGCGCCGGGAGCCCGAGACUGAAAGCGUGCCUGUCCGACAUGAGCGUGGGCAACUCGCGCUUCUUCACGUACCAAGAAAUGUACCAGAUCACCGACGGCUUCUCGCCGCGCAAUUUGCUCGGCCAAGGAGGGUUCGGGUCGGUGUACAAGGGCCGGCUGCCCGAAGGGAAAGACGUGGCUGUCAAGCAGCUGAGGGAUGGCAGUGGGCAAGGGGAGCGCGAGUUCCAAGCCGAGGUGGAGAUAAUCAGUCGGGUGCAUCACCGGCAUUUGGUGUCUCUCGUGGGGUACUGCAUUGACAAUAGCCAAAGGCUGCUCGUCUACGAUUUCGUGUCGAAUGACACCCUGCAUUAUCAUCUCCACGGUACGCUUGUUAACAUUUUGCAAUAUUUGUGCAAAAACCAUUGCCAUAUGUAACUUCUGGCUGUACAACAAACUGAGGUUGUUCUGAACUGUAUGCGUUCGCAGGACAGGGAAGGCCUGUUUUAGAGUGGUCGGCUAGGGUUAAAAUUGCUGCCGGUGCUGCUCGUGGAAUAGCAUACCUGCAUGAAGAUUGUAAUGCUCUUUCUUACCUUUUCAUCAUCUUUCCCAUUCUCAUUCUGCUUUCUGUUAACCCGGCUGCCUUCUUUGCCCUUUCACAGGCCAUCCAAGGAUAAUCCACCGAGACAUCAAAUCCUCAAACAUUUUGUUGGAUAAUAACUUUGACGCACUGGUAAUUGCAUUCCCUAUACGAGCCUGAGAGUAUCUCAUGAUCUAGUUCAUUUACUGAUUACAUGAUAUUCGUGAACUCCAGGUGGCCGAUUUUGGUCUUGCAAGACUGGCUUUGGAUGCUGUAACACAUGUAACUACACGGGUUAUGGGGACAUUUGGGUGAGCAAAGUACUGCCGAAUUCAGAAGCAUAUACUGUGAUCAUAUAGAGUUGAUGGCUAAAAUGUUCUCCUUUUCUUGCAGAUACAUGGCUCCAGAGUAUGCAUCGAGUGGCAAAUUGACUGAGAAAUCUGAUGUGUUCUCUUUUGGUGUUGUACUUUUAGAGCUUAUGACUGGUCGAAAGCCUGUUGAUUCAUCCAGACCAUUGGGUGAUGAGAGCCUUGUUGAGUGGGUGAGUUAUAGCACUCAACUUAUUGCCUAAAUUUGUUUUCACUUAGGGAUCAUCGAGCAUAUGUAGCCGAUGCUUGAUUGCAUGUGCGUAUCAUAUUGAAGGUCUCCUAUUUGUUAUUUGUUCACUAGGAUAAUCAUUGUAGAAGUUAUAAGUUGAAAAUUUAAUUCAGAUGGGUAGUUUGUCUUUUGUUCACUAGGAUAGUCAUGCAGUACAGACUUGUUUCAUCAGAUGGAUUUGUCAUUGUAGAGGUUGUAAGUUGAAAAUUUCACCUUAAAUGCCCGGUUCCCGUAUUUUGAGUAAUAACUUACUAGGCAUAGAAGUACAUAUGUUGGAAAUACCACUCUUCAUUCUUCGGAUAUGAAGUUACGGUGUCUAAGCCUGUGGCAUGUCAUAGUUGCUGCAGGCCUAGACCUGCUUCCUGUAGCAUGAUGAUUUAUCAUGUACAGAAAUAUCCUGAUAUUCCUUCCUUACAACAUUAAUUUGGGUGCUUAUUUGGUCUCUAUUAAAAUGAACUUGUAAUUCCUCCCACAUGUUCCUUCAUUUAGUUGGUUUGUUCCUUUCCUUUUUCUUCUUCAAAACUAUGCAAACUGACAUUAUUUGCAGGCUAGACCAUUGCUUAGUCGAGCUCUUGAGACGGGAAAGCUGGAAGGGUUAGUCGACCCCAGGCUUGAGAGGAAUUUCAAUGAGGUCGAAAUGUUCCGUAUGAUUGAGUCUGCAGCAGCCUGCAUUCGACACUCGUCAUCAAAGAGGCCCAGAAUGAGCCAGGUACGCAUGGCCAUUGUCUAUCUGACCACCUUACAUUACUAUAUCAUGUGGACAUUCCUAGAGCCAAUCAAAUGAGAUGCAUGCUUGGGUUGGAGGCACAAACCACUGUUUGAUAAACAAGGUUGAUUUAGGUAGUCCUGUCCUUGUCAAAUCCUUCUGCCAUCAAGAAUAAAUUGUCCUUGUUAACGAAACAUCGACAUCUUAACUUCUGAGCCUUGUGGUGAAUCUCGCACCACAUCCAAUGCACACACAGACAAAAUUGUAUGCCUUGCCAACUUUGCUUCCUAAUCAUGUAGAAGGAAAAUUACACCAUUUUAUUUUAUUUUAUUUGGCCAGAGGAUUAACAACUUGUCAAUCAUCUCACACUCCUUUCAGGUGGUGCGGGUCCUCGAUAGCUUAGCGGAUAUUGACCUAACAAACGGUGUCCAGCCAGGGCAAAGCGAGCUCUUCAACGUGGCAAACACCGCGGAUAUCAGGAUGUUCCAGCAGAUGGUGCAGGGCAACCAGGACGACAGUUCCGCCUUCAGCCAAUAUAGCUGGAUCAGUCGCAGUAGGGCCGACGCCGAAGCGACCUCCUCAAACUCCCGGAUCUUGUGAUCAUCUUUGUUUCUGUGCUCCACGUGUACGUAGCCAUUCUUCUCGACCCACUGAUUCGGCCGGGCUGUGUCGACCAUCGAAAAAAGUCUGGUGUAAUUCUUGCCUUGUUACGAUGAUUGCUCGUGUGUAGAUCACACGAGGAAGAUGUACUCUUGUUUGACAAAUUAUUAAGCUAGCUGUUGUUGUGGUUGUUGACUAACUUGUUAGGCUGCCUGCUCCUGUUGCUGUUGCCUAACUGAAAGAGCACAAUGUCUGAACUUGUGUAGUCUUUCCUUUUGUGUUGUUGGCUUGACAAUGAUGUUGAGGCCACAUCUAAGGGAGAAAAGAAAGAGGAUACUGAUGAUGACUUGUUCAAGUCUAUUUGACUGACAACAUAGUCUUGCUUUCUUCCAAUAUAUUACCAGCAUAUGUAUUGUAUGAUUUGCAUGGUCAAGACGACGUUGAUGUUUCGCUAACCCUAAAGAUGAUGAUUCAUUCAUCUUCUAGAUACAUUGAAGUCUGGGGAGAGGCUACAUUCUAAGACCAAGAAACCCUUGAAAUUAUUCUUUAUGACCUCUCAAGCUGAAAUAUCUUUCAUGAUGGCGAUUUCAGAUCAACAUCAGCUACUAUGAUACAGCAGCUAACAUAUACUCCCUCCGUUCCAAAAUAGAUGACCCAACUUUGUAUUAACUUUAGUAUAAAGUUGGGUCAUCUAUUUUGGAACGGAGGGAGUAACUAACAAAUGAAAAAGUUGUCGAAAGGUACAUAAUUAAGAUGUGUUUUUUCACUCAACUGUCAAGACUUCAGGCAAAUCUCGAAACUUUUAACUAUUUCCAAACUUCAACUCUACCUUCAUGUAAACGAUACACUGUUGAUAACCAGCAGGAAUCACAAAAUUACCUUCAAAUUCGCUCACUUUUAUGUCACUCACCAGUGACAACCCAAGUUUGCACAGAAAAUCUGAAGAGAAAUAUUAAUCUUUUUAUGUCUAUCGUGAUCACAAUAAAGUGCUAUUCUCUCAGUGUCCUCUUCAGAUUCUGCCUGAGCAGAGGCAAUCUGCAUACACUAUCUAAUUAUCUAUGGGGAGGUUGAGGGAGUAAGACAUACAAUCUAAGUGAAACCUACAUCCAUACAUCACAGUCUACAAUCACUUAUGCACCGUACAGUCCGGAUUUAAUCCGUGUGAAGUAUUGCAUUCUUCAUUCCCAGCAGCCAUUGACUGCAACUCCGCUACCGCUACCGCUGCGCAGCAAGCAGAGCAUGCAAGGCCAUCAUGUUGUUCAGAUGAUAAUACUUGUAGCGCAAUCACCAGGAGCAUGAGACCACAAUCUUUUCUGAUGAUCGACAUUCAGAGUCAGAGGUAUUGAUCCUUGAUCGUCUUCACAAGCUCUUCAACCCUCUUGAUAAUUUUAGGGUUCAUCAAGUCCCUUGCCUGCCCAAGGAGAGUGCCCUCCCUGCUGCUAUAAUAUGCGUCGAUUAUAGCGCUUGCCCAAGUGUGCAACACCUCAGGACUCCUGCAAUCCACCAGGUUAUGUCAAAUCGGUUUCGAGAUUACACAAAAUAAUCUUUUUUGUGAAAUACUAACAAUACUUACGUGAAUAAGGUAUCGACAUUCUCGCCUUGAAGUUCAGGACCAGGAGUAAAAGCGUCAUUCAACGCACUCAGACGUUCUGCUGGAUCCUCAAUCAUUAUAAGAUGCUUCAGUAUUCUGAUGUCCUUUGGCAUUUGCCUCUGGAGAUUGGCCACAGCAGUCAUGUAUAGAUGGAACAUUAUGUCUUUUGCCUGCAGAAUUUUGGUAGAUCCCCUUAAACUUACGAAUCUGUAAAUGAGACAAAGAUGGGAAAGAAGCAUGAAAGUAUUUGCAGCGCUAGAUCCUUACGUCCGAUUUUGUGAUGUCGGUGCCCUUUGCAGCUGACCAAGCUUUUGAAAGCAUCAACACCAACGCAGAGUCUAGUUCCUUCUUCUCGGCCAAGUCAUCGAUCUUUCGGCAUGCAGCGUCCACUGAAGGUGAAUUGAGUAUGUCCUUUAGCUUUAGUUCCGCAACAUUCAGCGCUUGAAGACUGCCAGACAUGUCAUCAUGAGCUUGCAGAGCAUCCACACAAUCAUUUCCAAGUGUUGCCAACUCUGCAAGCAAACCAAUGAAGAGAGAAAUGAUGAACCAGGGAAACAAUGGUCUGUCAUAAGGACUCAGCAAGGUAGCAAACGACUGUCCUAACCGACACUUUGUGUUUCUCUGUUACAUGACAUCAGGAGUGGAAUAAGCCAUCAAAGGCAACAGUCAAGACAUGAAAGAGGAAAAGAGGUCAAAUUUGCAGAAAAAUGGUAAUCAAAUUCUCAAGUGUCUCACCUUUUUGCUUAGCAGGCUCAUCCUUAUACGACUCUGCGACAUAAUAAAGGUGGUUGAAAAACUCCACCGUGAAAUCUUUACGGCGCUUAGCAACAACAUCACCAAUUUUGCCAGAUGGUGUGGAUUUCACUAAUUCAAAUAGUUCAUUGUGCCUUUGUACGUCCUCGUCUACCUGAAAAGCAUAGAGUGACGUACCAUUAAUAAGUGCUAAGUUAAAUAAUGUGUAUCCUGUAAAUAAGACACACCACUAGCAAGUGCCAAGUUAAAUCAUAAAAAACUGAAUCGUCAAGUGUAUCCUGUAGAUAAGAAAGACAACAACACCUCUUUCAGUUUUCUAGCCAGCCUGAGAAGGCCGUGCUUCAUCUCAGGAUUUGUUUCCGCAUCUGCUCUCUCCUGGCAGCGCUUGAAAAAAUGCGGCCUUAUGUUGUCCCACUCCCUGCUGAACGCCAGCAAUUUCCUCCAAUCCGUCGGUGUAGGCUUAUCGACCAUGAAGACGCCAAUCAACUUAUCAGAUAUCUUGACCAUUUUUUGGUUGAUGUUGGCUGUAGUAGCCUUGUGGUUCUCCUUGCCCGCGCUUCCUUCAGAAGGAUGAUCUUCUUGGUGCGAUGAAGCGGUGGCCAUAUGGCCAUUCGCGUAUCCACUGCUUGACGGCGCGUUCUCUGUGUAAUCGUCGGGCACUGCUGCUGCUGCCACGUCGCCGACCGCUUCCACGUUGGAGCAUCGUGGCUGGGGAAGGCCACGGAACAUGUGUUGUCCUGAGAUGAGGAGAAAUGGCAGGAAUGUUACCGUUCUGUAAAAGGUGUUGUAAUUUUUCAAAAGUAGCUCAAGAGGGACACAAAUACUGUAUACUGCACACAUAUGAGCAGACAGACGUAACGUAAGCCAUGGUUUACGUUUUACAUUCACUGCCAACCGCCUAACAAGUUGAUAAUAUGCAGGAACUCCUGAAGUUCGGUGCACGGGUUAGGCAGGAUGGGUCAAUUAACAGACAAAGUUUUAGCCUUUUGCUGUUUCCAGAGGGACAAGAGGGGGGCAGGUGCCAUAACCAGAUAACCACCUUAACCCAGUAAAUUCUGAACAAGUGGACAUGAGAAUUUCAGGAAACAGUUAUAGCAAAUGGCUGCAGGAAAUCAAAGCAUAUACAACUAGUGACACAGUUAUAGCUAAUUUAGGAGAUUAUCAAACUAAAGAAAGCAUUAUCGUUUGACAAUAACCGUUAGCACAGCUGAAUUGAGAACGAGAGCAGUAAAAUCCACUGCGAAGUUAGCAUAGCAAGCAACCAUGUAUCGGUGGACAGGCAUGAAGAGGGAGCAGAGGAACGUACCAUCGCCGGCGGGGGCGCAGGGAGGAGGGGUGUAAGGGAAGGCGGCGCAGGUGAGGUAUAUGGGCGGAGGGCGGCGGAGAGGGAAGGAGCAGCAGGGGCGGGGUCGCCGGAGCGAGCCGGAGGUGCCGGCGGCGGCGGCGGCGAGGUAGGGUAGGGAGGCGAUAGCAGCAGCAGCGUGGUCGGGAGUCAUGGUGGUCUCUGUCUGUCUGUCUGUCUUUUUUUUUUUUGAGGGAAAGUCUGUCUGUCUGUCUGUCUGUGAGACAAGAGACCGCGCAGCCCACUUCACUUGUCUGCCGCAUGCAGACCCAUCCAAAGCCCAAUGGGCCGCACCCCCCCUGAACGCCUCUUGUAUUUCUGUCCACUCCUAAAUUCUACCUACUUCAAAACGAAAAAAAACCCAACUUAAAAAAAAAUCUUUUAGAUGCUCUCUGAACUUUGAACUCCCCUGUAAGGGCCUCUUUGGAUUGUGAGAUGUACAUACGAAUCUUAGGGUAGGGAUACCUAAUCCUUAUUACGAUAUCAACAACUUUUCUUUUUUUUGCAAUUUUUGAUUGCUCUAUUCAUGUUUUUAAUUACUCUAUGUGUGCCUACCUCUGCCCGCGUCAUAUUCAUCAGGCUAAUAAUUAAUUUGACCGUUUCUUUCUUCCACCACUUCCUCCGUCAAUUGUUAUGCCCUUUUCCUGAGACAUGUUGCCUGCCUCUGCCCGCGUCGCCCCCGCUCGGGCGACUCAGGCAGGAUCUAAAACCCUAGCCGCUGGGGGUCCCCAUCCGUCCUCCCCUCCCUCCGCCGCUGCCGAAGGACGCCGCCGGCUAUAGCCCGGGGCUGAUGGCGGUGGCGGGGGUCUUCCCUCUUGCCCGCGCCGUGCGAGUGGUGCGGAGCCCCGCGGCGUGGGUGGCACGGCCGAUCUGGCCUGGCGGCGCGGCGGGCCUGCCUGUGACGCCCCCGAUUUAAUCGUACACUAAUCAUGCACGCAAAUGUGUACGAUCAAGAUCAGGGACUCACGGGAAGAUAUCACAACACAACUCUACAAAUAAAAUAAGUCAUACAAGCAUCAUAAUACAAGCCAGGGGCCUCGAGGGUUCGAAUACAAGUGCUCGAUCAUAGACGAGUCAGCGGAAGCAACAAUAUCUGAGUACAGACAUAAGUUAAACAAGUUGCCAUAAGAUGGCUAGCACAAACUGGGAUACAGAUCGAAAGAGGCGCAGUCCUCCUGCCUGGGAUCCUCCUAAACUACUCCCGGUCAUCAUCAGCGGGCAGCACGUAGUAGUAGGCACCUCCAGUGUAGUAGGGGUCGUCAUCGACGGUGACGUCUGGCUCCCGGACUCCAGCAUCUGGUUGCGACAACCAGAUAGAAAGGAAAGGGGAAAAAAGGGGGGAGAAAGCAACCGUGAGUACUCAUCCAAAGUACUCGCAAGCAAGGAACUAAACUACAUAUGCAUGGGUAUAUGUGUAAGGAGGCCAUAUCAGUGGACUGAACUGCAGAAAGCCAGAAUAAGAGGGGGAUAGCUAGUCCUAUCGAAGACUACGCUUCUGGCAGCCUCCGCCUUGCAGCAUGUAGAAGAGAGUAGAUGGAAGUCCUCCAUGUAGCAUCUCCAAGUAGCAUCUCGAGUAGCAUAAACCUACCCGGCGAUCCUCUCCUCGUAUCCCUGAGGUAGAGCGACCACCGGUUGUAUCUGGCACUUGGAAGGGUGUGUUUUAUUAAGUAUCCGGUUCUAGUUGUCAUAAGGUCAAGGUACAACUCCAAGUCGUCCUGUUACCGAAGAUCAUGGCUAUUCGAAUAGAUUAACUUCCCUGCAGGGGUGCACCACAUAGCCCAACACGCUCGAUCCCAUUUGGCCGGACACACUUUCCUGGGUCAUGCCCGGCCUCGGAAGAUCAACACGUCGCAGCCCCACCUAGGCACAACAGAGAGGCCAGCACGCCGGUCUAAACCUAAGCGCACAGGGGUCUGGGCCCAUCGCCCAUAGCACACCUGCACGUUGCGAGGGCGGCCGAAAGCAGACCUAGCCUAGUGGCGUUCCAGUCCAAUUCGGCGCGCGCCGCUCCGUCGCUGACGUCUGAAGUGCUUCGGCUGAUACCACGACGUCGGGAUACCCAUAACUACUCCCACGUAGAUGGUUAGUGCGUAUAGGCUCGUAGCCAGACUCAGAUCAAAUACCAAGAUCUCGUUAAGCGUGUUAAGUAUCCGCGAACGCCGAACAGGGCCAGGCCCACCUGUCUCCUAGGUGGUCUCAACCUGCCCUGUCGCUCCGCCACAUAGAUCCACACAGAGGGCCGUCGGGACAAGGUCCUUUCAGCCCCCAAUCCGUGAAUCACUCGCGGGUACUCUUCGAGCUGACCCGACUUUAGUCACCAUCUGUGUAGUAUGUAGUAUGUAUAGUAUAUACCCGUGAUCACCUCCGAGGUGAUCACGGCCCAAUAGUAUAGCAAGGCAGACUGACAAGAAUGUAGGGCCAAUGAUGAUAAACUAGCAUCCUAUACUAAGCAUUUAGGAUUGCAGGUAAGGUAUCAACAGGUGUAGCAUCAAUGUCAGGCUAUGCAUCAGAAUAGGUAUAACAGAAAGCAGUAACAUGCUACACUACUCUAAUGCAAGCAGUAUAGAGUAGAAUAGGCGAUAUCUGGUGAUCAAGGGGGGGGGGGCUUGCCUGGUUGCUCUGGCAAGAGAGAGGGGUCGUCAACUCCGUAGUCGAACUGGGCAGCAGCAGCGUCGGUCUCGUAGUCUACCGGAGAGAAGAGGGGGAAGAAACAAUGAAUACCAAGUAAACAGAUGCAUAUCGAUGCAUGACAUGUCAAGAAGCGAUGCUAGGCGUGCCCUAACGUGGUAUGAGGUGGUACUGGUUAAGGGGGAAUCAUCCGGGAAAGUAUUCCCGGUGUUUCGUGUUUUCGGGCAGAGGAGCCGGAGGGGGAAAGUUGCGGGUUCGAUAGGUUAGGGGGGUGUGGUGGACGAACGGACUGUGUAUCCGGAAUCGUCUCGUCGUUCUGAGCAACUUUCAUGUUGAAAACAUUUUAAUCCGAGUUACAGAUUAAAAGAUAUGAUUUUCUAAAGAUUUUAUUAAUUUCUGAAAUUUAAUUAUUUAUUUAAUUAAUUCGAAAAAAUGUAUUAAUGACGUCAGCAUGAUGUCAUGCUGACGUCAGCAGUCAACAGGGGUUGACUGAGUCAACCCUGACAGGUGGGUCCCGCAUGUCAGUCUCUGUUAUCUAAUUAACCUAAUCAGAUUUAAUUAACAGUGGUUAAUUAGCUUUAAUUAGUGAUUAGGUUAAAUCUAAUCUGAUUUAAUUAAGUUAAUUAAUUCUCUAAUUAAUUAAUUAAUUAAUUAAUAUUUUAAUUAUUAUUUUUAAUAUUUAGUUUUCCCCUUUUUUUUUCAUUUUUGUUUUAACAGUGGGGCCGACCCCACUGGUCAGGGACCCAGCCCAACCGGGGCGGGCGAACGGGGAGAGGCGCAGUUGAGCGCCCGAAUGGGGCGCAGCGGGGGAGGCCGAGGCCACGACGACGGCCGGAGGGGCCGCAGCCACAGUGAGGUUGGCCGGGCUGCGAGCGGCGCCGGCGAGGCGNNNNNNNNNNNNNNNNNNNNNNNNNNNNNNNNNNNNNNNNNNNNNNNNNNNNNNNNNNNNNNNNNNNNNNNNNNNNNNNNNNNNNNNNNNNNNNNNNNNNNNNNNNNNNNNNNNNNNNNNNNNNNNNNNNNNNNNNNNNNNNNNNNNNNNNNNNNNNNNNNNNNNNNNNNNNNNNNNNNNNNNNNNNNNNNNNNNNNNNNNNNNNNNNNNNNNNNNNNNNNNNNNNNNNNNNNNNNNNNNNNNNNNNNNNNNNNNNNNNNNNNNNNNNNNNNNNNNNNNNNNNNNNNNNNNNNNNNNNNNNNNNNNNNNNNNNNNNNNNNNNNNNNNNNNNNNNNNNNNNNNNNNNNNNNNNNNNNNNNNNNNNNNNNNNNNNNNNNNNNNNNNNNNNNNNNNNNNNNNNNNNNNNNNNNNNNNNNNNNNNNNNNNNNNNNNNNNNNNNNNNNNNNNNNNNNNNNNNNNNNNNNNNNNNNNNNNNNNNNNNNNNNNNNNNNNNNNNNNNNNNNNNNNNNNNNNNNNNNNNNNNNNNNNNNNNNNNNNNNNNNNNNNNNNNNNNNNNNNNNNNNNNNNNNNNNNNNNNNNNNNNNNNNNNNNNNNNNNNNNNNNNNNNNNNNNNNNNNNNNNNNNNNNNNNNNNNNNNNNNNNNNNNNNNNNNNNNNNNNNNNNNNNNNNNNNNNNNNNNNNNNNNNNNNNNNNNNNNNNNNNNNNNNNNNNNNNNNNNNNNNNNNNNNNNNNNNNNNNNNNNNNNNNNNNNNNNNNNNNNNNNNNNNNNNNNNNNNNNNNNNNNNNNNNNNNNNNNNNNNNNNNNNNNNNNNNNNNNNNNNNNNNNNNNNNNNNNNNNNNNNNNNNNNNNNNNNNNNNNNNNNNNNNNNNNNNNNNNNNNNNNNNNNNNNNNNNNNNNNNNNNNNNNNNNNNNNNNNNNNNNNNNNNNNNNNNNNNNNNNNNNNNNNNNNNNNNNNNNNNNNNNNNNNNNNNNNNNNNNNNNNNNNNNNNNNNNNNNNNNNNNNNNNNNNNNNNNNNNNNNNNNNNNNNNNNNNNNNNNNNNNNNNNNNNNNNNNNNNNNNNNNNNNNNNNNNNNNNNNNNNNNNNNNNNNNNNNNNNNNNNNNNNNNNNNNNNNNNNNNNNNNNNNNNNNNNNNNNNNNNNNNNNNNNNNNNNNNNNNNNNNNNNNNNNNNNNNNNNNNNNNNNNNNNNNNNNNNNNNNNNNNNNNNNNNNNNNNNNNNNNNNNNNNNNNNNNNNNNNNNNNNNNNNNNNNNNNNNNNNNNNNNNNNNNNNNNNNNNNNNNNNNNNNNNNNNNNNNNNNNNNNNNNNNNNNNNNNNNNNNNNNNNNNNNNNNNNNNNNNNNNNNNNNNNNNNNNNNNNNNNNNNNNNNNNNNNNNNNNNNNNNNNNNNNNNNNNNNNNNNNNNNNNNNNNNNNNNNNNNNNNNNNNNNNNNNNNNNNNNNNNNNNNNNNNNNNNNNNNNNNNNNNNNNNNNNNNNNNNNNNNNNNNNNNNNNNNNNNNNNNNNNNNNNNNNNNNNNNNNNNNNNNNNNNNNNNNNNNNNNNNNNNNNNNNNNNNNNNNNNNNNNNNNNNNNNNNNNNNNNNNNNNNNNNNNNNNNNNNNNNNNNNNNNNNNNNNNNNNNNNNNNNNNNNNNNNNNNNNNNNNUGAGGUGGGCGGCUAGGGUUUCUAGCCGCGGGAGGGCUAAGUGGCCGACCGGCUGGGCCGGCCCAGGGUAGGGGGCUGGGCCAGGGGUGAGGGGGCCAGGUGGGGGGUUCGGGGGGGCUGGCUGGGCCAGGUGGGGAAGGGCUGGCCCAGAUGGGCCAGUGGGGGUUCCUUCCCCCCACCUCUUUUGUUUUAUUUUCCUUUUUUUAUAUUUUUCCCUUUUCUUACUUUCUGUCUUAGAUUAAUUAAAAUGCCAAAACAUUUUACAAAAUUUUGUGCACCCCAUCAUAAUUAGGUUUGCUAUUUUAAACAACCCCCGAACAUUUUAGUUUUAGUUUUUUAAAUCAUAAAGGUUGCACCUAAAUUAGUACCACUAAUUAUACCUCUACUACAAAAAGUUUAGACCUCCAAUUAAAAUAGCUUAACAUUUUAAUAAUUAAAAAAGGCAUUCAAUUAAUUCGUUUGCUGUUGUUUUAUUUAUUUUAGAGCAUUCAAACACUUUUAAAGAUGUUGGUUUCUCCACCAUUACUACUUAUGCAUUAUUUGCCACUACCAUAACAAUUUGGUUUUAAUAUUUGAAAACUUUUAUUUGCUUGCCUUUGUUUUAAAUUUUAACUGGGUUUCAAACAGACACGAGUUUAUCCACACUAACCGAGGUGACGUGGCAUCCUUAGCGAGGGAUCACUGUAGCUUAAUUAUCCGGGCAUCACAAUUCUCCUCCACUACAAGAAAUCUCGUCCCGAGAUUUAAGAGGGGAGUAAGGGGGAAAGUUCUGGUUACGAUAUUCUAACGGAUCUUCUCGAAGAAGUUAAUCCUUUUCGUUGAUGUCUUCAAUUCUUUAUUCCAAUGCAUCAUGAUAAACUUGUCGUCAUUUCUUCGGGAACUCCACCGUACUUACGAAAGGAUAAGGGGCAGCUCUACAACGAUAGGAUGUUACAAGGGAAAUCUUUUAGGGUUUACCCAAGUAUGAACAUACGAGUAUCUCUCGAGUUGAACAAAUGAAACACAUCGAGAGCAAAGUAAGACGGUGCAAUAAGAAGUUUCAAGCGGAUAGGCAAUCGUUCAUUGCCUGAAACAGAGUGUGAAUGGGGUUCAGAGCAACGGGAAUAAGUAUUGUGUCCGAUACCAGAAUAGAGCAUUAGGAAGGUGGCCCGUGAAUUAAAUAUGAAGCCAAGCAUGGGAAAUAACCAUUAGUAACAGGGCUGUACAGGAGAGUCAGGUUUUGAUCCUGUGGAACUGUGGGUUAUGGGCCCACCAUGUGGUUCUUUUUUUUAAUAGGAGCAGUGACAUCUUGCACGGUCAUGAUAGCAAGGCAUGUCAGGGAGUACCAUGUCAGCUAUGUCAGCAACAACGUUGGUACCAAGGGCGAGGGACGAAGAGAACCAUUUUCCUGCUCGUUGAACGAGGCGGACCAGUAGGCAAAGUUCUCGUCCAUCGGUGGUUACCGGAAUGUCAUCGACAAAAGUAACAUGGUCUUACUGACAGAAUUAUACAACAAGAUGUUUACAUAAGCAGGAAAAUAUUACUUCUCAGAUCAUAUAGAUCACAAGAAAGGUUAAACCAACAAUGGAAGGAAAAUAUGAUCAUCAGAUUAAACAGAACAAUGGAAAGGAAAAUGUGUUUAAACACAUAUUUCAGGGGUAUAUCCUUCCCAAUGACAAGCAGAGCAUGAUAUCCAUGACAGGAUAUAAAGUAGAAAACCAUUUAGGUAAGGGGGAAGGAAUCUCAUGAUAUUACCCAUACAACGGUUUUAGGAUAAGUGAUAAAUAAAAUUUAGCAUCGUGCUUCGGAUGUUCUUGUUGAAAAUCAGAGUAUCGCAGACAUGCUUCGAGAUAGCAUUGACAUGGUCUUCAUGUGAAGAUCAGACUUUGGAAACACGAAGGAUCCAUCAGGANNNNNNNNNNGAUAAUACAAUUCAUCGAGGCAAGGAUGGUAUUUCUCAUCAUGAAUCCAAUUGAUAUCCUGGAUGAGCUCAGAAUGAUGAUGAUGAUCACGACACAUUUGUCGAGAGAUUUCACGAAGAUGUAAUCGAUCGACGAUGACAUCAAGUCAAACAAUGAUGAAGUGAAAGGUUAUUGGAACCAAGGGUACGACACCACUCGAAACCAAGCUUGUUGUUCAAGGCGAAAUGAUAUGACGAUGAGGAUCGACGUAAGGUUAGUUCAUCGUCGAAAAUUGGUGCUCCGAGAAUAAGGACCAGGUAGCACAGUUAGAAUCGUCACGACAAUGAUAUAGCCAAACAGGCUAGGAAUGGCGUGAUCGGGUACAAACUCGUACUUAUAGAAGCUUACUGAAGAGUUGUUGAACCGUAGAGCGGACUCGGUUCAGUUAUCGGGGUCUUUGAGUGUUCAAUAACUCAGAGCCUGUGAGAAAUUGGAAUCAGUGGGAAGGUAGUACUUGAUGAACUCAUAAAAAGUUAUGCGGUUCCAUGAUAAUCUCGAGAUACCAGGGGGGUAAUACUCGACAGAAGAUCAAAGUAAAGGUUGGACUGGGGUAUUGAUCCAUAGAAGACAAUUGUUUAACUUGUCCGAGAAAUGGAAUCAAAGAAGAACAAACAUGGUCGGAACCACGGAUGCAAAAGGCCAGAUCCCUGAUAUAAGAAAAACUUAUACCAAGGGAAUAAUUCAUUUAAGAGAAGCUUUAAUGAUAAGAUCUACAUCGUGUCCAUGGGCAUGAACACAAGUUCAAGGUCGACUCCCACUUCUCCAAUGCAUAACCUUUCAUUCACUUCUCACGUUCGAUGAAGUUGCAGUGUUGAAAUUUUAUCUGGUGAAGCACCAGAAGAGUAUGACUCGUGAAAACUUUCGGGUUCACACGGUUUAGAGAAGGCAUAGGUUCAACCCAUCGGGGCAUCUUAGAAUCCUAUACCAGAAUCUUUUAGAAGUAAUUAACUCAAGCUGGAAGGCAGAGCAUGGUUGAGGAAGCAGACGAUACAAUUUACCAAAGGCAUUAUGUAUCCGAGAAAAAGGCUCACAAGUUUAUCGAAUAUGAAGGGCAUUGUCAGAUAAAAUCCAACAUAGGAUCUGGUGGUCCACAAGGGAUCUCACGUGAGCAUCGGUACUCAACUAGAGGAAGCAAAUUAUAGAAACAACUGACUAACUCAAUCGUCAAAUGCAAAGAAAUUAUGAUUUCCCAAUCAAGGGAUCAGAAGCAAUGCUCUGAUUAGGGGUGGAUAAGUUGAAUAGCCGUAGGGUACAAUCAAAGACAAUUGGGUUGGUCGAGAACCAAUUCCAGUAAAAAGAAUGGCAGCUCAGUCGGAAAAGUAAUUUAUAAGGAUCAAUGAUGAUUGCGUGUAUUCGCAAACAUAUUGAGUCAACAGACUCAAAAUGGUAAUGACAAGGAAUGUCAAUAUGACUACGAGACUUAUGGAAUUAUCCAUAAUGCAAGCAAGCAAGAAUUUCAAGAGCCAAAGGCCCCAAAGGAUUUUCGGAAGAUCGAAUAUUAUUUCAAAGACUCUUGUGAAACACAUGAACAACUAGGGAUGAGCGGAUACUCGUCAAGUGCGAGGAUUUAUUCGAAGGGGUAUUCAUGCAGCAAGGAACUGCAGGGCAGUAAGCGUAAGAAUUCUCGGAAUAACGAAGAGUAUUUUAGGACAUCCUGUAAUAACAAGAGCAACUGGGGAUGACAAUAUGAACGAUAGGUGUAAGUAGUUAUCCAGAGGGAUUUAUCGAUGGAAGUGAAUUGCAAAAGCGAUGGCACAUAGUCUCGAGAGCACAUCAUAGAGUAUCUUCGGAAUCUUCUGGUGUAGCAGGCGAUCAUCUGAAGUGAGGGGCUCUCCGGGAAAAAGUACUUGCGAGAACCUAAAGUUAGUUUUGUUUUUAGCAAAAUCGUUUAACCCGAAUAGAAGAGAGUUCAGAAUCCCAGAGUAAAGGUCGAGGAGUAAAAGAUCCUAAUACCACCCAAUGGCGACGUGGGCCCAUGGGCCGCACAGCCAUGUUAGUAAAAGUUUUGUAAAGUCUAGACUCGACUUCGGCCAAGGAGUUGGAAGGGGAAUUCCUACAGGCAGUCGGCUCUGAUACCAACUUGUGACGCCCCCGAUUUAAUCGUACACUAAUCAUGCACGCAAAUGUGUACGAUCAAGAUCAGGGACUCACGGGAAGAUAUCACAACACAACUCUACAAAUAAAAUAAGUCAUACAAGCAUCAUAAUACAAGCCAGGGGCCUCGAGGGCUCGAAUACAAGUGCUCGAUCAUAGACGAGUCAGCGGAAGCAACAAUAUCUGAGUACAGACAUAAGUUAAACAAGUUGCCAUAAGAUGGCUAGCACAAACUGGGAUACAGAUCGAAAGAGGCGCAGGCCUCCUGCCUGGGAUCCUCCUAAACUACUCCCGGUCAUCAUCAGCGGGCAGCACGUAGUAGUAGGCACCUCCAGUGUAGUAGGGGUCGUCAUCGACGGUGACGUCUGGCUCCCGGACUCCAGCAUCUGGUUGCGACAACCAGAUAGAAAGGAAAGGGGAAAAAAGGGGGGAGAAAGCAACCGUGAGUACUCAUCCAAAGUACUCGCAAGCAAGGAACUAAACUACAUAUGCAUGGGUAUAUGUGUAAGGAGGCCAUAUCAGUGGACUGAACUGCAGAAAGCCAGAAUAAGAGGGGGAUAGCUAGUCCUAUCGAAGACUACGCUUCUGGCAGCCUCCGCCUUGCAGCAUGUAGAAGAGAGUAGAUGGAAGUCCUCCAUGUAGCAUCUCCAAGUAGCAUCUCGAGUAGCAUAAACCUACCCGGCGAUCCUCUCCUCGUAUCCCUGAGGUAGAGCGACCACCGGUUGUAUCUGGCACUUGGAAGGGUGUGUUUUAUUAAGUAUCCGGUUCUAGUUGUCAUAAGGUCAAGGUACAACUCCAAGUCGUCCUGUUACCGAAGAUCAUGGCUAUUCGAAUAGAUUAACUUCCCUGCAGGGGUGCACCACAUAGCCCAACACGCUCGAUCCCAUUUGGCCGGACACACUUUCCUGGGUCAUGCCCGGCCUCGGAAGAUCAACACGUCGCAGCCCCACCUAGGCACAACAGAGAGGCCAGCACGCCGGUCUAAACCUAAGCGCACAGGGGUCUGGGCCCAUCGCCCAUAGCACACCUGCACGUUGCGAGGGCGGCCGAAAGCAGACCUAGCCUAGUGGCGUUCCAGUCCAAUUCGGCGCGCGCCGCUCCGUCGCUGACGUCUGAAGUGCUUCGGCUGAUACCACGACGUCGGGAUACCCAUAACUACUCCCACGUAGAUGGUUAGUGCGUAUAGGCUCGUAGCCAGACUCAGAUCAAAUACCAAGAUCUCGUUAAGCGUGUUAAGUAUCCGCGAACGCCGAACAGGGCCAGGCCCACCUGUCUCCUAGGUGGUCUCAACCUGCCCUGCCGCUCCGCCACAAAGAUCCACACAGAGGGCCGUCGGGACAAGGUCCUUUCAGCCCCCAAUCCGUGAAUCACUCGCGGGUACUCUUCGAGCUGACCCGACUUUAGUCACCAUCUGUGUAGUAUGUAGUAUGUAUAGUAUAUACCCGUGAUCACCUCCCAGGUGAUCACGGCCCAAUAGUAUAGCAAGGAAGACUGACAAGAAUGUAGGGCCAAUGAUGAUAAACUAGCAUCCUAUACUAAGCAUUUAGGAUUGCAGGUAAGGUAUCAACAGGUGUAGCAUCAAUGUCAGGCUAUGCAUCAGAAUAGGUAUAACAGAAAGCAGUAACAUGCUACACUACUCUAAUGCAAGCAGUAUAGAGUAGAAUAGGCGAUAUCUGGUGAUCAAGGGGGGGGGCUUGCCUGGUUGCUCUGGCAAGAGAGAGGGGUCGUCAACUCCGUAGUCGAACUGGGCAGCAGCAGCGUCGGUCUCGUAGUCUACCGGAGAGAAGAGGGGGAAGAAACAAUGAAUACCAAGUAAACAGAUGCAUAUCGAUGCAUGACAUGUCAAGAAGCGAUGCUAGGCGUGCCCUAACGUGGUAUGAGGUGGUACUGGUUAAGGGGGAAUCAUCCGGGAAAGUAUUCCCGGUGUUUCGUGUUUUCGGGCAGAGGAGCCGGAGGGGGAAAGUUGCGGGUUCGAUAGGUUAGGGGGUGUGGUGGACGAACGGACUGCGUAUCCGGAAUCGUCUCGUCGUUCUGAGCAACUUUCAUGUUGAAAACAUUUUCAUCCGAGUUACGGAUUAAAAGAUAUGAUUUUCUAAAGAUUUUAUUAAUUUCUGAAAUUUAAUUAUUUAUUUAAUUAAUUCGAAAAAAUGUAUUAAUGACGUCAGCAUGAUGUCAUGCUGACGUCAGCAGUCAACAGGGGUUGACUGAGUCAACCCUGACAGGUGGGUCCCGCAUGUCAGUCUCUGUUAUCUAAUUAACCUAAUCAGAUUUAAUUAACAGUGGUUAAUUAGCUUUAAUUAGUGAUUAGGUUAAAUCUAAUCUGAUUUAAUUAAGUUAAUUAAUUCUCUAAUUAAUUAAUUAAUUAAUUAAUAUUUUAAUUAUUAUUUUUAAUAUUUAGUUUUCCCCUUUUUUUUCAUUUUCGUUUUAACAGUGGGGCCGACCCCACUGGUCAGGGACCCAGCCCAACCGGGGCGGGCGAACGGGGAGAGGCGCAGUUGAGCGCCCGAAUGGGGCGCAGCGGGGGAGACCGAGGCCACGACGACGGCCGGAGGGGCCGCAGCCACAGUGAGGUUGGCCNNNNNNNNNNNNNNNNNNNNNNNNNNNNNNNNNNNNNNNNNNNNNNNNNNNNNNNNNNNNNNNNNNNNNNNNNNNNNNNNNNNNNNNNNNNNNNNNNNNNNNNNNNNNNNNNNNNNNNNNNNNNNNNNNNNNNNNNNNNNNNNNNNNNNNNNNNNNNNNNNNNNNNNNNNNNNNNNNNNNNNNNNNNNNNNNNNNNNNNNNNNNNNNNNNNNNNNNNNNNNNNNNNNNNNNNNNNNNNNNNNNNNNNNNNNNNNNNNNNNNNNNNNNNNNNNNNNNNNNNNNNNNNNNNNNNNNNNNNNNNNNNNGUCAGGGACCCAGCCCAACCGGGGCGGGCGAACGGGGAGAGGCGCAGUUGAGCGCCCGAAUGGGGCGCAGCGGGGGAGGCCGAGGCCACGACGACGGCCGGAGGGGCCGCAGCCACAGUGAGGUUGGCCGGGCUGCGAGCGGCGCCGGCGAGGCGACCGAGCGGUGGACGGGGCCGGCAGCGGCCGGAGCGGCAGGGAGGAGUGGGGCGAGCGCCGUGCGGGGCCGCGGUGGUGGUCGGGGCGGCCGCCGCGGCGAGAGGUGGUGCGGGAGUCGACGGCCGCCGUGGNNNNNNNNNNNNNNNNNNNNNNNNNNNNNNNNNNNNNNNNNNNNNNNNNNNNNNNNNNNNNNNNNNNNNNNNNNNNNNNNNNNNNNNNNNNNNNNNNNNNNNNNNNNNNNNNNNNNNNNNNNNNNNNNNNNNNNNNNNNNNNNNNNNNNNNNNNNNNNNNNNNNNNNNNNNNNNNNNNNNNNNNNNNNNNNNNNNNNNNNNNNNNNNNNNNNNNNNNNNNNNNNNNNNNNNNNNNNNNNNNNNNNNNNNNNNNNNNNNNNNNNNNNNNNNNNNNNNNNNNNNNNNNNNNNNNNNNNNNNNNNNNNNNNNNNNNNNNNNNNNNNNNNNNNNNNNNNNNNNNNNNNNNNNNNNNNNNNNNNNNNNNNNNNNNNNNNNNNNNNNNNNNNNNNNNNNNNNNNNNNNNNNNNNNNNNNNNNNNNNNNNNNNNNNNNNNNNNNNNNNNNNNNNNNNNNNNNNNNNNNNNNNNNNNNNNNNNNNNNNNNNNNNNNNNNNNNNNNNNNNNNNNNNNNNNNNNNNNNNNNNNNNNNNNNNNNNNNNNNNNNNNNNNNNNNNNNNNNNNNNNNNNNNNNNNNNNNNNNNNNNNNNNNNNNNNNNNNNNNNNNNNNNNNNNNNNNNNNNNNNNNNNNNNNNNNNNNNNNNNNNNNNNNNNNNNNNNNNNNNNNNNNNNNNNNNNNNNNNNNNNNNNNNNNNNNNNNNNNNNNNNNNNNNNNNNNNNNNNNNNNNNNNNNUGAGGUGGGCGGCUAGGGUUUCUAGCCGCGGGAGGGCUAAGUGGCCGACCGGCUGGGCCGGCCCAGGGUAGGGGGCUGGGCCAGGGGUGAGGGGGCCAGGUGGGGGGUUCGGGGGGGCUGGCUGGGCCAGGUGGGGAAGGGCUGGCCCAGAUGGGCCAGUGGGGGUUCCUUCCCCCCACCUCUUUUGUUUUAUUUUCCUUUUUUUAUAUUUUUCCCUUUUCUUACUUUCUGUCUUAGAUUAAUUAAAAUGCCAAAACAUUUUACAAAAUUUUGUGCACCCCACCAUAAUUAGGUUUGCUAUUUUAGACAACCCCCGAACAUUUUAGUUUUAGUUUUUUAAAUCAUAAAGGUUGCACCUAAAUUAGUACCACUAAUUAUACCUCUACUACAAAAAGUUUAGACCUCCAAUUAAAAUAGCUUAACAUUUUAAUAAUUAAAAAAGGCAUUCAAUUAAUUCGUUUGCUGUUGUUUUAUUUAUUUUAGAGCAUUCAAACACUUUUAAAGAUGUUGGUUUCUCCACCAUUACUACUUAUGCAUUAUUUGCCACUACCAUAACAAUUUGGUUUUAAUAUUUGAAAACUUUUAUUUGCUUGCCUUUGUUUUAAAUUUUAACUGGGUUUCAAACAGACACGAGUUUAUCCACACUAACCGAGGUGACGUGGCAUCCUUAGCGAGGGAUCACUGUAGCUUAAUUAUCCGGGCAUCACACUGCCUUCCGGCGGCGGCGUGGCAGCUGCAUCGGCCAAGGGCGGCGAUGGUGGGGUGCGGCAGCCGGCCCUGUCUCGGGCUGCGUGGCGGCAUUCGGCGGCGGCGGCCGGGUCUGCGGCGACACACCAUCUGACCUCGGAUCGGCGAUGGCGGCAUGGAGGGCCUGGUGGUUGGGUCGGCACCAUGCGGGUUGUGCCCUCCGGACAGAUCUGAUCUGGCCGGUGCGGCCUGCGCCAUGUGCGGCGGCUCAGAUCGACGGCGACCCGUGUGCACAAUAUGUGAUGGAGGUUCUUCAAGCGGAUCCGGGUGAAAACGUUGUGCUUGGCUUGAUGCCAAGACCGGCGUUUGGUGGCACCCUGUGGUGUCAUUACCUUCUUGAAGGCAUCGCCGUGGAGAAGCUCUAAACCUCUAUCCGCUACCUCCGGGGGAAAUCCUAGAUCAGUUGAUCGGAUGACGGCGGCGCGUUGGUGUCGUUUCCUCCUUGGGGGCGUCAUUCUUGGAGGCGUACACGGGAUCGAGGGACCAGCGGGCGCCUUUUUGGUGGAGCGGUACUUCAUCCUUCACAUUGAUGACGGCGGAUCUCGGCGGCGUGGUGCAGUGGAGACUCGGCGCCCGAUGCGCGGCGAUGGACUCGCGCAGGUGGAGGCAGUUGUCUGGCGUCAAGGUGGCGUCGAUGACGGAGUGGCCUGACAAGGUAGAAGCCUCAAUAUCUGCUCUGAAGACGGACCCGUGGAAGAUGGCGGCGACGACAGAUGUGAGUGCGUCAGACCAGUUUAUGCCCCAUACCCGGUAUGUGACUCGGCUGGGGCUUCUGGUUUUUGAUGAUAGGCUUAGGUGAGUAGACCGGGUAUAUGGCCCAGGUAGCACCCCUUCAUCAUAUGGAUAGGAGUAGUGGCAUAUGUUGCCAAGAUGGCGGAUUUAGGCAUAUUAUUGUAAUACUUUGUAAGGUCUUCGAGAAUAAUCAAUAAAAUGGCCGUAUGCAUCUUCCAGAUGCAGCGCCCGGGGGUCAUUCUUCUUUUCUAAAAAAAAAAUAGUCGACCAGUCAGCGAGUAUUGGUCAAUUCAUACAUAUGCAUCUCCAUCUCCAUCACACGUGAUUCUUCAUGAGAUUCUCUUCUACUAGUCAUAGAAAACAUCUUGUACUCCAUUACACAUGGGUCACCCGUAUAGUUUAAGAUAUUUAUAUUUUGUACUCGCAAAACGUGUAGAUUUAUCGAGUAUCUUGUAGCUGUUGUAAUCUUAUUAGGUUUAUCAAUACUUACUAAAAAAACAAGUGGCAAGGUUGCGUUUUGGAGGCCACAUCGCUGUCAAAAACGCCAAAUCUUUCAACUUUUGUAGGUGUUACUUUCAAUCUUUUAAUAUAUUUGUCUAUAAGUAGGACAAAUUAAAAAAAUUGACUUAGGACAAAGCUAAAACUUCAAGUAAUCUGAAAUGUAGGGAGUACGAAAAAGUAAUUUGAAAUGAAGGGAGUACAAAAUAUAUAAUCAUGUAAGUUCAUUUGUUUAAAGUUUUUGGAUUUUAAAAAUUGUUCAUACACGUGGGAAUAUAUGUAUGUGGCCACUCCCUCCCAAAAAGCUAGGGUUCGCUGUCUCCGGCCGGCGCCGACAUACACAAGAUCUUGUACUCCAUUACACAUGGGUCACCCCAUUUAGUUUAAGAUAUUUAUAUAUUUUCUUGCGGGGAAAGAUAUUUAUAUUUUGUACUUGCAAUGAAUUGUGUAUAUUUAUCGCGGAUCUUGUAGCUAUUGCAAUUUUUAUUAGGUUUAUUAGUACUCCCUCCGUCCCAAAAUUUUUGUCUUAAAUUUAUACAUAUGUAUCUAUUCACGUUUUAGUGUUAGAUACAUCCGUAUCUAGAUAAAUGUAAGACAAGAAUUUUGGGAAGGAGGUAGUACUUAAGAAAGAAACAAGUGGUAAGGUUGCGUUUCAGAGACCACGUCGCUGUAAAAAAUGCCAGCUUUUCAACUUUUGUAGGUGUUAAUAUAUCUUUCUAUAACUAGUUCAAAUUUAAACAAGUUUGACUCAGGACAAAGCUAGAAUUUCAAGUAACUUCAAACAGAGGAAGUGUAAUAAUAGUAAUAAUAGUACUGUUAUGAUGGAAACAAUUUCUGUCUAAUCCCGUGCGAUCUCUAACGAUCAAAUAUAUAUAUAUCUCUAACACUGACUGUGAGAGCAAUAGCAGUACUAGCUAGAUUGGAUUGCCAUGAUAAAGGUGAGCAAAAUGGCACUAGCUGCAGAAGAACCACCUCAGAGUCUGACGCUUUUCUUGAGCAAGCACUAGUAGAGAAACUUGGGUUGUUAUAUGAUACAAUCAUACCAGGCAUAUAGGAAGUCAAUACUCAAUACACAACCAUAUAUUCCUGCUUGUUGAGUGAUGUACUCCCUCCGUUCUGAAUUGCUUGUCGUAGGUAUGGAUGUAUGUAGAUGUAUUUUAGUUCUAGAUACAUCCAUUUCUGCGACGAGUAAUUUGAAACGGAGGGAGUACAUGCAGAUGGAUCAUGGAUCCCAUCUUGUGAUAUGUAGCUGGCUCACUGAAUUAGGGUCUUGAGCCUGAGUUGCGCGCCGUGCUGCGGCUGCAGCAGGCCGGCGGGGAACGGCGCGUGCGUGUACGACGGCGAGAGCUGCAAGGAGAAGCGGCGCAGGAUGACGGCGAGCCCCAUCUUGGCCUCGAGCAGCGCGAAGUUCUGCCCGAUGCACACCUGCGGGCCCCACCCAAAGGGGAAGAACGCCGGCGCGUCGACGGACGCCUUGGAGAUCCCCUCGGCGAACCUCUCCGGCCUGAACUCGUCGGCGUCGGCGCCCCACACCUCCUUGUCGUGGUGGACGCAGAGCAGCGGCAGCAUGAGCACCACGCCCGCCGGGUACCUCACGCCGCCGAGCUCCAUGGGCUUGUACGUCUCGCGGUGGAUGGCCGUCACCGGCGUGUACAGCCGCAGCACCUCGUGCAGCACCAUGGUCGCCACCCUCAGGCGGCUCAGCCCGGCGUGCCGGCGGCGCCGAAGGCUUGCAGGACCUCCUCCCUGGCCCGGUCCUGCCACUCCGGGUGCAUGCAGAGCAGGAUCAGCGUCCACGUGAGCAGCACCGACGUGGUCUCCGCGCCGGCGAAGUAGAACAGCUUGCACUCCCCGAUCACGUCGUCGGUCGUGAUGCCCAUGCCGGCGCCCUUCGAAUCAUCCCUGCAGUGCGCCGCCAUGUUAGACUCCAGCAGCAGCCCGAGAAGGUCGUCGCUCGUGGCCUCGCCGGCUCUCAUGGCGUUCUCUCUCUUGGCGACGAUGCCCUUGAGGACCCUCUCGAUGUCGGCGGCGAUCUGCUUCAUCCUUCGGUUGGCUCUUGUUGGCAAGAAGAAAUAACCAGGGAUGUGCAUCUUGCUCAUGGCGAGCAGGACGAGCUCAAGCUGCUCCCCCUGAAGCUGGAAGACCCUCCGGCCCUCCAGGUAGCUGCUGCCAAAUGCGGCGCGAGAGAUGACAUCCCCUGUCAGGCUCUGCAUGUCAGGCCAAACAUCCACCUCGCAUGGCUAGGGCUAGACCCUCCCAUCUCUGCACCAGCUCGGUGCAACAUGCUGCGAAGGCCGGCAACAUGCGCUGAAAAUUGAUCCAACACCAGUUUCAUGACUAGCACACACGUCCGUGUGUUGUAACGGAAGAAGAAAAAAAGAGUUACAACUUCAUUGCAAUGAAAACUCCAAUUAUCAUUAAUAAGGGUGGAUAAGUAUAGGAUAAGUUUGAUGAUACCAAAAAUAAUGAUUGAUUAACAAUAGGAUUCGUUGGGGUGCUAGUUUGAAACUUGGGAUAUCCUAGUCAACUAAUGAGAUGAACAACCUGAUCUUUAGAUCAACAUAUUGAUAAUAAAAAAUAUCGUACACAAUGCUUAUUUUGUGUUACUGACACCAAAAACUAAAAAUAUGAUAUAUCUUGUACGACAUUCAAACAUGUGUGUGCUAAUUGGAAGUCCUUGACAUAUAGAUAUUCUAACUUUUUGUUUUGCUUAGUCUGUUGAGCCAGUUCACGGCUAGAUGCAAUUUCCUCUAUUCUAGCUUUAUUGGACGUGCAUAUAUGUUUUUGUCGCGUGUGCCUUAACUAGUGUAUAUAUGUUAGUCCAACAUUGACUAAUCCUUAUUCAUGUUCCUCGUAGCCAGCAUGAGUUCGUGAGGGACAAAAGGUAAUUUAAAUUCAACCAUAAAAUAAAAAGAUGUAGCAUCAAAUCCGAUAACAUAUAUAUGCAUACCCAGAUUUCCAUGACCUUCCUCCCCUCGGAAUGCGUCGCCGCUGGUGGUUGCUCUCACUAUACUGCCCUGCACCGUAUCUCCGGGAUCCCCGCUCUCCUCCUCCGCCGCCGGCAAUGGCGGGCUCCUGCACACUCUUUCGGGAGUCCGACGGCGGCCAUGGUUCCUCCCGCACCGACAGCGGCCAUGCGGGCUCCUACACAUCUGCGCGUUGCCGGGCGGCCAUAAUCUCAUAUCCCACCCCUCUUUUUGUUGGCUUGUUGAUUAUGGCAACUCCAUAUGUAUAUAAGUUGCUAGGAUUUGAUGUGAAGGAGCAGUGUGGGACUAUUAGUUAGAAUAUGAAAUUGUAAUACAUGCAUAAGGAAUUUUUUCCCCUUUGCUGCAGUUGUUUGCUGCCCUCAUAAGGAAGGGGAGGGCAGCUCGUGAGGUCGGACAUUUUUUAUCAGCCGAUAACAAAAAUUCUGGCCCAUUGACUUGUGAAGCUUAUAAACCGGACCGGAUCAAAAUUAUGAGAGCGAGGUGGACGGUCAAAAAAGGGACAAAAUUACGGCGGUAAGAAGCGGUUCUCCUUUUAUAAGUAGGUAGGUAUAGAUUUGCAUCAUCUAGGAGUAAGAGCAUGUACCAUUGACUUCAAUUAAAAGCUCAAGUCACGGGAGAAAAAUCUAAUGCUACAAAAUUCUCCUUCCUAGGGAAAAAAGAAUUAAUGCUCUCUGAUGAGCUUUGAACUCGUAUGACAUUUUUUGGGUUGUGAGAUAUUAUAAGAGUGAAUUUCGGAGGAUUCCAGCCACCGUGAAAGAAAGAAAAAAGAUUGCCGAACUUCAAGAAAUAUUUGCUGUAUGAUUCAUAGGUUUUGGAUUAUUUUUUUAUCCUCUAGAUUGUUUUUUUAUGAGUGUUCUUUGACUCAUAGAAUUUUUUUUAGAACUCACUCAUUCCUGUGGAAUGCAUUAUUGCUGUUGGUUAUAAUGGCAACUCAUUCUCAGUGGAUGGUCAAGGUUGCAACAAAGAAAUAAAUAUUUGACACCUACACCAGUGCCUAACAUCACCGGAUUUCGCCACGCCACGUGUACGGUGUUAGCCGCUGAUGACAUCCUAACUGCCAAGUACCAAAAUUCUUCAUGGAUGACUUUUAUUUUUUGGCGAAUGGCACGCAUGGCUUCUUCUAGAAGCAUAGAACGUUGAAAGGAGAAGAGGACCAUGACCUCACCUCAUGUGUGUGUAGCGCAUGAGAGCCGUGCAGAAAGGGGAAGAGAUCUUGUUUAUAUCCCUGCCCGGUUGCUUUCAGUUUCAGGUUUCAGGUCAGUCAUCAGCCUAAUAAUUUGACUGUUUCUUCUCAAGGACUUGCUGUCCAUCUAUGUACUGUACAGUCGACCAGUCAUCUCCAUCACACAUGAUUCAUGAGAUUCUCUUCUACUAGUCAUCAUUAUUAUGUAGAUAAGAUCUUGUGUUAGACAUGUGAUUCAUAAUUGAAAUUCAUAUGUGUUUACAGAUUUAUCCCGGAUCUUCACAAUAUUACAAUUUUAUUAGGUUUAUUGAUAUGUUAUGAUAAAAACAUGUCAAAAAAAUGAUUUUUUCAAAGAGUGUAUGACUAUUAAUUAACCAUGAUUUCCCUGCUCUUCUUUCAUAGUUCGGUUGAAAUCAGGGCCCCUUUGAACACCAUCAUUCUUUCCCCACUUGCUAAGUAAUGUCGAAACGAAGAAAAAAAAGUAAUGUCGAUACGAAAGAAGGCGGAAACAUACGGCGAUAUCAGCACCAAAGAGGGCAUCCAUUCUUUCUUUCAAUGACAGCAAAACUAGAAUACAGGCUUUAUUCAUAUUAUUAUUCCGCAGAAGGAUAUAUAUAAUCUUAACUUAGGAACAAAGGAACAAAAGAAACAAGGGAAAAAUUAUCCCCAAAUAAUAAUGAGGGGAACUUACAUCCCUCCACUCCACUCCAAUGUACAUCCACUGUCCUCAUCAGUCCAUUCCUUCCUCCCUUUUGUAGCUACUGUCUACAAACAAAAUCAAUAAUCCUCAUCAUGUACAGUUAAACCCUAAUUCGACCGGCGAAACCCGCUCAUCUCUAAACACCUGACCAGGUUAGCAACACUCUGAGAAGCAGCAGGCAAACAAAAGGCAGAAGCUUAGUUUCUGCCAAGCUUAAGCUGCUGCUCAUCAUCAUAUUUACAGGGGAGCUGCAUGCUGCUGAUAUCUAGUGUGUUUGUGUGUGUGCGCGCGCGCUAAGUCAGCUCAACGGUGGCUUGUGAUUGUGAUGAUGAGUCCAAGUGGAAGGCCUUGCUGUUGGUGCGGACGAGCUUGGCGUCGCGGCGCGCCGACACGCCCACCCCGGUGGACCUCACCGAGAACUGGCGCAGGACGACGCCCAGCUCCUCCUCGGGGUCCUCGUGCUUGGCCGUGUGCUGCAGCCACUGGAUCUUGUUGUGGUAGUCCGGGAAGAACCACGUCUUGACCACAGCGAGGGUGAAGUAGGGGAUGAGUGCCGCCACGGCCACCAGCAGGGUCACCACCCAGUAGGCCGGCGCGCCCCCCAGCGCCUCCGAGAACACCAUGAAGAAUGUGGUCGAGAAGGACGGCGUGAUGGCGCCGUAGAUUAUGAGGAACAGGUACCUGCAAGGCAGCACAAAGAGUGGUUGUGUCAGUUUGGUCCAGAAAAAUAGUGAGUGGGUGAGUGAGUUGCUCUGGUUAAUUUAGUUGUCGUCGCUAGAUGGUACGUACCAUAGGAAGAUGCCGCUCCAGAUGCAGAUGUGCUGGAUGAGGGUGAAGUAGUUCACCGUGAUCGCCAUCUGCAUGUUGACAGCCCAGACAACGCACGUGUAGGCGGUCGCGCCGAGGAUUGAGAGGUCUAUGACCUCGCCGUCUUUGCGGAACGCUUGAUGCUUGAGCGACGCGAUGGUGAGGAAGAAGAUGAUCACGGCGCUGCCGACACCGUGCAGCAUCCAGCCUAGGAGCCUUGACCACCGGAAGAGCAGGUUCUGAGGGCCCUCCUGGUAGAGCAUCGGGUACUGCAUUGCAUUGCAUUUCCAGAAACAGUGAGCAAUUCCUUUUUCUUUUUGAUGAUCCAGCGUUGAUUAAUUUUCAGAAACCGAUGUGAGCGCGAGCGUACCUUGAGACAGAACCGGGCGGAAACAUCUUGGUCGAACACGCCCAUGGCGAUCACAGGCAGUGACGUGAAAAGGACAUUGUAGAGAGACAUGGACCAGUCGUUGUACAAAGUCUGGCCGGAGAAUGUCGAAAAGGACUCGUACAGGAACAGGGUCACACCGAAUGUGAUGUUCUUAUACAAGAAGUAGCAUACCUGUUGAUCCAAUACAAAAACAAGGGAGACGCUCAGCAAAACCGCCACAUGCUCUCUUCAUAAAUCAUAGUAAGCAGAAGAGUAGUAAUUCACACGUGCCAAUGAUUUUGCAUUGCUUACCAUUGAUGAGAUCCUGCUAUAACACCAAUGCCCAUGGACAAGCAGCAGGCGCUCAAGGAAGCGGAACUGCGCAAUGGAAACAUCGCUCGCCAUGACAGCCUGCAUCCCUUCGGCACCGCUGAUCCCUACCCCGAUAUCCGCCUCCUGAAUCAUGCCUACAUCGUUCGCACCAUCGCCAAUUGCCAACGUAACUUUACCGGUGCCGGUUUUGACCAGCCUCGUGACCUGAAUCACAGAUGAAGAUAAACAGUUAAGAAUCCACUCUCAUUUCCUGGGAAGAUGGAAGAACACAACAAUUUCUGAGGUGAAAUUUGAGCUUACAAGAGCCUUCUGCUUUGGGGAAGAACGGCAGCAAAUGACUGACCCACAGGCAAUUGCGAGAUCAAGGAACGCGGCCUUGGCAUCGUCUUUGAGCGCAUAUGUAAGUGACUUCCCAUCAAUGAUCAAAGCAAAAGAUUCAUUGCCAGAUGCAUUUAUGAGUUUCUUUCCUUCACUGAUUUGCUGCACCACACUAACCUUCGAUGCCUGCCAUAUAUCAGAAAAAAAUUGGUGUUAGUAUUAUCGUAAAACAGACCAGGUGUUUGAUCAAUAUGCAGGCAGUUAUGUAGUUAAUUUGUCACCAAACGUAAUGCACUAUAGAACCGAUAGAUAGUACAAACUGCAAAAGAAUUGGUCCGUGUACUAUAUAAAGGACUCGGUAACUAUAAUCAGCAAUACUUUAUCUACCUUAUUAAUGGCUCCUUUGUCACCACCUUUCUCCAAGGCAAUGAUAUCUGGUGUAUCCAGUGUGAUGGUUAUUUGUUUCAUCCCUUGUCUGAGUAGACUGCACGCAUAUCUGUGAAGAAAACGAGCAUCAUCGGAUUUUAGUAAGUUCAUAAAAUUGGCCAAAUAUCACUAUAAGCAUCGAAACAUCCAGGACAGAUGCUAUACCCGAUGUUGAUGGCGGUCUCCAUCUUGUCGCCCGUCAGCACCCAUAUCUUGAUGCCAGCCUUAGCAAGUUUGUCGAUGCAGUCAGGUACCUAGAAAAUGGAAAUUAGCACACACAAACCAAAGAUAAGUACUAUUACAAUGUUCCAUUUUACGGCAGCAAAUGACUCACCCCCUUUUGUAGCUUGUCCUCAACGGCGGUAGCACCAAGAAGAAUCAAAUCCCUCUCUAUCAAAUCUGCAGCCUCGUCAAUCAGCUCAUCCCGAUCAGCGCUGACAGAAUUCUUAGCUGCAGUGAACUUCCUUUCGAAUUUUGCGUACUCGAUCUCCUCGAGAUGACGGUAUGCAAGAACUAGUGUUCUGAGGCCAGCAUCCGCGUAAUCAUUUAUGUGCUUCUGCGUCGCUUCAGCAUACGUACUCUCAGAGGUUGAUAGCCUCUCGUACAUUAUGCUGCGCAUGUUGAGAACAAGUCAAGAUACAUCCAUCGUACAAAUACAGAGAGCAAGAGUAGAUGCAUCAGAUUACUGAAGAUAGUACUAACCUGUCGGCACCUUUACUGAAGAUAAAUGUUUUCCCCUCCUCGUCCUUGACUAUCACCGACAUCCGCCUCCGAGCACUGCUGAACUCAAGGACAUGCAAGACCUUAUAAAAUCUGCCAGAAAAGAAAAAAAAAGGUUGAUGUUAGUGUUACAGCUAGAUCAUUCCUGAAUUUUCACGUGAAAAUCUGACGCAAGUUCAAACCCACAUACCUGUCAACCUGCUCUCCAGACGAGGGAUCCAACUCAUGCAGAUAAACACCUGCCUGCGUCCUUUGGUAGAAAGUGAAACCAAGUUCAUGUGCCGCGACAACAAAGGCCGCCUCAUCGGGAGACUCUGCUUCGUACGAAAUCUUCCCUGUUACUUCGUCAACCUCCGGUAUGCAUGUGUGGCAGAUGGCCAGCAACCGGAAGAACAUCUCGAUCACACCGGAGUGGGCUUGGUGAACCCAGUUACCAUCCAUGACACGCUCAUCUCUGAAGUUAAAUCCUUUGAUCGCAGAUCUGCCCUCAGAGUGGAAGUCUUCGACGCCAAUCUCAAAAUCAGAGAUCACGGGGGAACCAUUUCUCUUUGCCAUAGCUCUCUCGACCUCGGUGAUUCCACGUCCAUACGCCGUGCCCGCGAUGGAACAUUUGAUGAACUCCAUGGAGUUGCAAGUCAGAGUCCCGGUCUUAUCGGUGAGAAUGGUGUAGACCUGGCCCAGCUCCUCGUUCAAGUUGGAGGUCCUGGCAUGAGCCGGCGUGUCGCUCUCCUCAUGAUACAUAUGGAUGUCACUGUUGAUGAAGAGAGCCUGCAGCAGCUUGACGAGCUCGAUGGAGACGUAGAGGGAGAUGGGGAUGAAGUAGCCGUAAAGGAUCAUGGCCGUGAAGAAAUGCAGCGCCGCCGACACGGCCGGGUUGUUGGGAUCGUAGAUGUUGUCGGGGUUAUCCGGCCUGAGGUACCACCUCUUCAUCCUGCCAUCCACCAGAUCAUGCUUGGUCGCAAGGCCGAAGACGACCGAGCCGAUGACCGAAAUGAGGACGAGGAUGGACAUGAGGACGUAAAUGGCCCCAUCCAUCUUCUUCUCAAUCUUGCUCCUCUUGGAGGGGGCGCUGGUGGCAUUCUGCAUCACCUUUGUGUCGUGGCCAGUGAAAACCACCACGCCGUACACGUACUCGGUGUUCCGAAGCUUGGAGUCCCUGAGCAGGAGCUGCUGGGGCGACAGAGGGAACUGCUGCUGCUGCUCUUCCACCUCUAUGUUCCCAACAAACGAAUACAGGUUUGCAUUCGGGUCUUCACACCUUAUGACAGCCCCAAAACCACUGAAACUCGCAUCAUCCUGCAAAUGUGAGGUGAGCUCGAGGGACUGCUUGAGCUUGAGGUUGGUCUCGCCGUCGAGGUUCAUGGUCUCGACGUAGCAGAUGGCGUCGUCGUAGCUGGAGGAGAGGAGGACGAGGUCGGCGGGGAAGAACUCGUCCUUCUCGACCUUGACGACGUCGCCGACGCGGAGCUUGGUCCAUUUGGUGCGCCGGAACGCGCCGUCCUGGAACACCUUUGUCUUCCUAUUGUUCACCUCAAUGUCCUGGAUGCACCAAGCAAGAAACAAACAUUCAUCCACUGUUUUUCAGCAAAAAAUAUAUUGGCACUACUAACAAGAGCAGGAGAAAGUACUGGCAAGCAAGAAUCAUAGUUAUGAAUCUGUUGUUUUUAGCAAAGGACUAAUUGUAAUUGGACCACAUCUCCUCUAAGCAAUAUCUUGUACCAGUACUGGAGGAAAUAGAAUGAAGGACUGAGUGGCUAUAACUGCUCCACCAACCCCUGCCUCCCCUGCCUCCCUAUUUUUGUGUUAAUUUUGCUGAAAUUAUGGGUAGCAGAUGGAUUUGGUCCCAUACACUGGUGGAAGGAAAUGAUGUCAUUGCUGAAUGAAUGGGGAUUGGAUUGAAUUGAAUUGAAUAAAAAAUUGCAGUGCAGAAGAAGAAGAAGAAAAUGGAGAUGCAGAUGCAGAUCCAGGAGGAAGAAGAAUGGGGAAAAAUGCGCAAACCUGCUGCUUGCGGCGCCAGUCCUCGAUGGCCUCCUUGAUCAUGGUGACGAGGAGGACGAGGACGAGCGGCCCGACGGCGGUGGCGCCCCGGAAGGGUGCGAUGGGGGUGUAGGAGAGGCAGGCGACGACGAGGAAGUAGAUGUUGGCCACCCGCCGGAACUGCUCGAACAGCGACUUGGGGAUGAAGGUCACCGCGCUGUACUUUGUGGUGGAGACGUAGUUGGACCGGUACCCGCCGGCGGCGGCCGCGUCGGCCGCCGCCGCGGGGUCGUUGGCGUGGACCACCCGCGAGAAUCCCGGCCCGCCGAUCCGGGACCCCUCGUCGUCCACGGCGCUGGGCCGGCGCGCGCAGGCCGCGAAGGUGUAGAGCUUGCUGAGCAGCACCUUGCGCCGCCGGCGCCGGCCCCGGCGCCCGUCGUUGUCCGUGUCGCCGCCGCGGCCGCCCCCGGAGGAGGCCAUUAGGGGCUGCGGGGAGCGCGCCGGGGAGAGGAAAGACGCAAUUUUUGCUUGGCUUGUGUGUCCUGGGUGCUUAAAGCUGCGUUGCAAGAGCAGAGCUGCUGGCUGCUGCAGCUAUAGUGGUUGGAUUUGGAUACUUGCAGGGGAGGAAAGAAGGGAGAUGGGAGAUUGGGAGGGCGGCAAUGGCGGGCGAUUGGAACAAGGGGACGGAGGAGGACAGAUGGCGAGCAGAAGAUCCAAUGGAGAUGUGGCAGGCAGUAGCGCUAUGUGGGUAUAAAUUUGGAGCCAAGAAAGAGGACCUGAUCUUGGAAUGAAAUUAAAAAGGAAACGAAUACGAGGGCUUUGUAGGCUCCGCAGGCCAAGCAGGGGAGACUUAAUCUUCUUCUCCGUGUCCUCUGGUCCUUGUUGUUGUCUCUUGUCUGGUGUGUGUCAAGGGGAGAGGAGAGGAGAGGAGAGGGGAGGAGGAAGAAGAAGGAGAGGAGAAAGUGCUCUGCUGGUGCUGCUGCUGGUGGGCUUUGGUCACUAACAGUGGGAUACAAAUGCAAAUGCUGGUGGCAGCUGCUGAUUUGGUUUGAUUCUCUUCUCUACUACAGUAAUUUCCUUCCUUCCUGCUAAUCUUAAUCUUAAUCUUAAUCUUAACCUGUCAGGGCAAGGGCUGAUUUGGCACAUGCCAGGAAAGAGACGCCACUCUCCUCUUCUCUUCUCUGGUCAUGCAGUCACCAUGGUUGACUUUUUCAUCCAUCCAUUCAUCUGGUGGUGGUGGUGGUGGCGGCGCUGACUUUGAUUGGGCAUGCAUGGAAAUCUGUGAGAAACUAUAUUGGCCAUGUCAAGGACAGAAAUUUAAUAGAAGCUUCCUCCUCCUCCUCCUUACUAGAAUUCUGAAAUACACACUACUCCCUCCGUUUAGUGAACAAGUCAUUUUACAUUGUGCACCGUGAUCAAGGAGGAAGGAAAAACAAGAUAACUUAAUAUUUAUUUGCUAAUUAAUAGCAUUGCAUGCAAGUCUUAAGUCACUGAAAGCAUGCACGCCACACAUCUCUUAUUGGUUGAUAUGUAAAAAAACAAGAAUCUUAUACGUUUUUUUACCUCACAUUUGACUAAUACUCCCUCCGUUUCAAAAUAUAGCGUGCCCGCGUUUUUCAAGGUUCAACUUUGACCAUAAAUCUAACCAACAAGACCGACUGCUGCAGGAGCAAAAAGUAUAUACCAGAGAAUUCGUAUUCAAAAAAAGUUUUCAAUUAUAUAUUUUUUUCUCCCGCCGCAGUCGGUCUCGUUGGAUAAAAUUGUGGUCAGAGUUGAAGCGCGGAAACCGAGGACGCACUAUAUUUUAGAACGAGGGGGUAACAUCUUUAUAACAUGCCAUGAAAAUUAUAUGUGUUAGAAACUACUACUGGGGUUGCACGGAAAUUAUAUGGUGAGGAACUAAAUUUAGGGGUGUGAGGAAAAGAGAAUUAGUACAAGCUUCCUUUUCUUAUUGGAAUUCCUGCAUACAUGCUAGUAGUACUACAAUACAUUUCUGCCUACCCUUGUUUUCAUGCAUUCAGCAAAAAGUAUAUACUUAAAAUUCCCUCAACGGAAUUUCAAAAAUCCUUCUCCUAUUGUAGUUCAUCAAACGCACGUCGUGCCCGCCUUGUUGGCUUCCCUUUCGUGCUUGUAUCUACAAAUGGUGUGCACCAGGAUAACCGCCGAAGCGGAGGAGCACACACUUACUUUCUAUAACAAAACAUUUCUGAAACCGUGUGUUUUCCUUUCCUUUCCCUCGACUUGAGAUUCUAAAUCAGGCACCGUAACCGAACGGCCAAGCGAGGUUUUUUAUAUUCCUGCCUACCUUGUUGACUUGUCUCUCUAGUCACAUUCAAACGCCUCGUAAUCGUGUAUCUAUAACCGUAAUUGUGUGCGUGGAUAUCUCCCAAAAAAUAUAAAAUUUUGUGUGCGUGUAUCUACAUCACUGCUGAUGUAGAGGAGGAGAAGGAGGAACGACUGUUUAUUUUAAUUUAAUUCCAAACAGCGUUCCCAAAGAUCGGGCGACGGAAUGCGGUUUUGACGGCGACGAAGAUGAAAACGUCACAUAUGGCGAGUUUUCACUCCCCCUCUCCGCUUGAAACUCUAAAUCGGACAGCAGAAAGACUUUUUUGUAUGGGGGCUGAAUUUUUCCUCCCACCGCGAAGUCUCCACUUUGAAAUUCCAAAUGGAGGGGCGACGUGGCCAGCUACUAUGUUUCUUCUAGAAGGCCUCUUCCCUGGAUUCAUCACCACCUAAUCUUCUUCUUGUCUUUUUUUUUUUUUUGCGGGUAAUCUUCUUCUUCUUGUCUUGGCUGCUGGAUUAGCAGUCUGGUCAAUUAGCUGCUUGAUUUGCGGUUAACAUGCAUGUACAAGAAUCUCUGGCUUAGCCUGGCCUAACCGAAUUAACUAAUUCAUCAACUGGGACACUUGGAUCAUCAAUUGUUUAUUGAUAAAUAAUUUGUUUAAUACUACUAAUGACAAACAAAUCAAAUCAAUCCGGAGGAGAGGGGAGGGAGGGGUCGACGUUGACAUACGGAGUCACGUGAUUGGUGGCAGGAAACAAGAAAGAGGUUGCUUCUCUCACCGCCUCAGAAGAAUUGGAGCUGCCGGCCUUCACAUGGCCUUGUUGCAACUUUCCUCCCUUUUCCUUAGCACUUUCUCUUUUUUUUUCCUUUUUGCAAAAGAUCUCACUGCCUUUUUACACUUUAAACUGUUGCACACACACCAUAUGGAGGGUAGAUCCAUUGAUUGAUUGACAUAUCACCAUUUUGGGCUGAUGAGUGCUUGCUUUCCAUUUACUUCCUAAUUAAGGCAUACCUUUUGUGCAAUUUCAUUUCCCUCCAUAUACAGCGGAGAGAGACGUCGUUGUAGGUUUUCGCGUUAAGUAAUCGCGGUAUGAGUAUUAUUUUAGAAAUGUGGAAUCAUUGUUGGCACUCAUUAUACAGAUGUUUUAAAUGUGGAACUGUAUAUUUCAUAGGAGACUACGUAUUCCGCAUAGAUGAGGAGGGAAACGCUCCACAUGGCCCUGGAAUGGUGUGAAGCUUUUGGUCGGGUUAAAAUGAUACUCUUGCCGUCCCAUAAUAUAAAAGCAUUUUUCAAGCUAACAUAGUUUGAACAAUGUUCUUACGUUAUGAAACAGAGGGAGUAUUUUGAAGAUAUGCAUAGUUUGAGGGACAGAAGCAAUGGAUUAGGCCGUAGCUGUUGAAUAGUAGCUGCAUUUUGGGAUUACAGUGUGAAGUUUUGAAUAGUCGUAAUCAUAGUCAGCUGGAAUGAAGGAAGAUGACCCGGCCAGGUCAAUUGCUUCCCAUCUUGCAUCGCUCCAAACUAGCCAAACAAGGUAAUUGAUUGGCUGUGAGGGCAAAGAGAGCUUGGGGUCACACGCUUUGUUUUCUAAAAGAGAAAAGAUAUAUUUUCCAAAAUAAUUCAGAAAAAAGUACUCAUACAAGCGACUGGGUAUUUACGAGCAGAUCUUAAGUUCCAUCCAAAGUUUCCGCUCCUCAGUAAUUAUUUUUUAUCAUGCAAACCAGUAAAAAAAUCACUUUUCCAUGAGUUCAGUUUUGGGUUAUUAUUAUCAUCAUUAAAAUUUUGAAUUUUGUAAAGUCGUUCUUUGGAUAUUUAAUCUUAGAAAAUAUUGAGAUACAAAAAAUCUGCGUCCAUAACACGUACACCAUGUGAAAAAUCAGACUAAGAAAUUUACCUUUACAAGUUUUAAAACAAGAACAAAGACUUGGACAUUUUUAUUAAUUAAGAUGAUUUUUUGGAACAAAAACAACAAGGAAUGUACCGAUACGGGCGAUUACUGGUUUUCUCGUAUGGUCAGUUUUUGGUUUUCUUUUCCAUGCAAACUACUACAGCAAGCUACAUAAUGUAUCUCUUCGGGGCAUUUUCAAAAGCAGAUGUAAGAAAAGUAUAUAAUAUUACAAUAAAUAUUAUCAAAUAUGUAAAUUUAGAAAUAUAGAAUAAAAAGUUUGGAACUUUCCUGGACUUAUGUAUUUUCCAAUUUUUCAUCAAAUCCAUUGUUACCAUAAAACUGGUAUUUUUAUGUAUUUAUAGUUUCCUAUAAUAUUUAAUAGAUUUUAUUGAAAUACUUAUGUUUCCUGUUUAGUUUGUGAUUUUUUGGUUUUCUUUUUUUAAUUAUUUUGGGUAAUGGGAUCGACACAGGUGCGAAACUAGUGCCACAUCAUCAUUGAAGUCGCUUUUAACGAGUGUCAAUCUAUAUGGUUUUGGCACUAAGAAGACCAGAUUUUUUUAGAAUUAGGGUUGAAGCACCAAACUUAGGCUUUUAGAAUAGUUUAGGAACCAUUCAAUCUAUAUGGUUGAAGCACCAAUCUAUAUAGUUGGAGCUUUAACUUUCGAAUUAAGCAAUCAGAGCAGGAGUAUAUUUAAACAAUGUGGGAUCAUCUCUGACGCUCGUUAUAUAUGUUAUGUGUUCUAUCUACCAACACGGGGAAAACAAUAAUUUCAAUUGAACGGUUCCAUGUCAAGAUUUGCACGGAAAUGGGCGAUACUCUUGUUUGAAUCAAGAUACCCUAGAUUAGCUUUGAAGCUAUGUGGUAGUACGUAAUUUGCAGUAGCUGUUAAAUAAUAGUAGUACUUCAGGAUUAAUAUACUGUGAAACUUUUCCUUCUGAACAGACCUAGUCAGCUGGAAUGGAGGGAGACGACCUGAUUCUCUCUACACGUUGUUUUUUAAAAGUUGCUCUCUCCACGUUUUGGUUGUAAAGGCAAAGAGAGCUCCUGAGCACACGCUUUCUUUUUUUCUCAAAGGAAAAAAACCUCCAAGAAAUCAGAAAAUUUUAAUUAUACAAGCUACUAUGAAUUAUGCUCAUAUCUUAAGUAAUAAAACAAGACAAAAGAUUUGACGUUUUCAUUAAUCGAGAAGAAUGUCCAGAAUAAUAACAACUAGGAAUCUACCGAUACGGAUGAUUACUAUUUGUAGAGUAAUGUGAAUCAAGAAGAUUUAAUGGUAUUGCAAAAAUAUUAUUAAAAUGUGCAAAAUUCAGAAACAGGGAAUAAAUUAAGGUAAAACCUUUCCUGAAUUUUAUGAUUUUCCAAAGUUUCAUCAAACCUAUUGUUACCAUAAUACUUUUACUGCUAUGUAUUUCAAGAUUCCAAACAACAUAUAUAUUAAAUAACUUUAUUGAAAUAUUUAUGCUCGGUGCUAAGUUUGUGAUGUUUCUCUUUUCCUUUUUUGUAUUAACCGGGUAAUUGGGUUCUCACAUGUGUGAAGCUACCGCCACACUAACAUCGAACCCGCAUUGAAUGGAGCCUCAACCUAGAUGUAUUUGACACUGAAAAGACCAAGAAUUUCCUGUAUUGGGUUUGAAGCACCAAACUUAGGUUUUUAAAGUAGCGUAGGAGCCAAAUUUGUACUCUUUUCCACUUUUAAAACUAUAGAACCAUAGUUGAAGUUCUUUAUAUAUGUUCUUUCUACAAACGCGAAUAAGUAUAGCUAUCGGUUGAAUAGUUUCAUAUUAGAUUUAGCAUGUACAUGAUUGGUGUGACGAUACCUUAAGACUUGAAGCUGGUAGGUAAGACUUUCGGGAGAAAAAGGAAGGAGGGAAGCAAUAAUAGGCUUUGCUAGUGAUUUGAGUAAGAAUUGAAAUGUCUUCUCCCGGCAAUCAUUUGGGCCUGAGAAAAUCAUAGCUUGGGCCGACCUUCUGGUGGCUCUCCCACCGAUUCUCCCGGGCUAUCCGGAUGUCAUAACAUGGCGCUUGGCCCUGUCGGGGCUCUUCUCUGUCGGCUCGGCAUACCGCGCUCUAUGUCGUGCGUCGGCUAUUGCAUUGACCGCACCUUUGUGGAAAGCGCCCCUCCCUUUGAAGAUUAAGAUCUUCGUGUGGUACUGGCACUUGCUCUCUAGAUAGCGGGACCGAGAUCGGUUAUACGGCAUGACGAACAUGCUGGCUGCGGUUGGACGUCGCCUUGCUCCGCCACCUAGCCACUGAUCUGUUGGGCACUUAUUGGACUUUCUUUUAGUAAGGCAUGUUUGUGUUGUUGCCUCAGCAGACUUAUGUUUUCUUUUUCUGUACUUAAGUUUCUUGUAUGGACGUGACGGUUGUUUUAUUAUAUAAAGUGGGGAGAAAGCCCUGUUUGAGUAAUUAUCAACAGUCCAAGUCAACUCAACAUGGAAUGAAGAGGGGUCAGCUGCUUCCGAUCUUGCAUCGCACGGAACCCUGACUAAAUAAUUAGUACAUAGAGAGCACGCGUAAAUUUUAGAGAAAACCGGAAAUCAUAAGUGAGAAGCUUAGAUUUUCAUUUUCUUUCAAAUGUCACCAAGUUUAGGGCUGACGCGUACAAGUACUCAGAGGACACCUACCGAAGACCGAAGCCGGUAAUUUUACAAUUAAAGGGGCCACAAAACUUAUUUAUUUAUUUAUUAUAAGAUAUUGGAGAAACAACAGUUAAUUUAGGAGCAGCUGUCCCAACUCUUUUUUUUAUCAUGAAACAGGUUAACUGCAUCCUUAUGUAUUUUUUGCUCGUGCAUGCGAUAGAGUGGAUGAUUGUGGCUAAGUUGUCAGGUUAUUAGUGUAGGAUUGAUCAAGACGACGACAACGACGAUGACGCAUACGACUUGUCGUAGAUAAUGUAUAUUUGUGCGUGGCUUAGAUAGCUGCUCCACUCCACAUGGAAACACCCACCUAAGCGCUGACGACUGGAUUGAUAAUUUUUGCAGCAUUAGAUUUUUCUCCCGGCCGUGACUUGAGCUGCAAGGAGAAUCUGCUAACGACCGACCCGUUUUAUUCAAAUCCAUGGGCAGCGACCAAGUUCCAUUUUGCAUGCAACCGGCUAGCUGCCUAAAACUUGUUAAUACUACUAGUUUAUGUAGUUUGAAAUAGUUUUUAUUUUUGUAUUUAUGGUUGAAAUAACUUGACGUGCUAAUUUUUUUUAAACAUCAAUAUAAACACAAGCACUCAUAUACACGCGUACACACGCAUCCCUAUGAACGCACACAGCCGUGCUAAUUAAUAUGCUCUUUUUGAUGGGUUGUUUGGUUUUUGUGUAAACUGUGAGGAUUAAUUGAAGUCAAUGGUGUUGUUGAGAGUAGGUUGGUCUAACCUAACGUACCCGUGGGCCGGGGUUGGCUUGGCAUUCCAAGAUGUGGUACUAUUGGCAUUGGCAAUCGCAAUCGCAGCCUCCACUCAUCGCAAUGCAAGCAUCUUUGACCUUGACUGACGUACCACUGACGUAUAUUUCCACUAGCUCAAGGAGCAAGGCAGCGUCUCAUCAUAUAUUAAACGAUGUUACUAAACAAAUUCUUCCACUUGUGCAUGCAUGCUAAUCACCACUACUCCUGCUACCUUGGCUCCAUCUGUCUGCUACCCUACCUUGGUGAGAUAUAUUCAUUAUUAAACUUGAGGUAGGGUAGGGUUAGUCUCCUCCACUUUGCUGGUACUGCUACGAGUACAAUAAUACAUCUUCUCAUGCUUACGUACGUUUCACAACCAAAAGGGUCACAUCUUUCUUAGAGCAUCUACAGCCGCGGUCACCUACUUUGGCACCCUACGCCCCCGGGCGCUUCGUCGGCUCAAGAUGAGCUGACGGAUCUCAUUUCUAGCGUUCGAUAGCCGCAUCCCUCAUAUGUCCUACCCCAUAUUCAUACAAAAGCAUGCAAACGUUGUUCCUAUGUAGAUCAACAUAGAACAUAGCAAUCCGGCAAAGAUAAACAUAGUGUGGUACAAAAGUGUCGUCUGAGUUCAUCACUUAACACUACUAAAACCGAGAAGGGGGGAUUUCACCGCUUCCUCCAUGACGGUCUCUUCCCCUUGGGGUCUCGACGGCUAGACUAGACGUAGGUGUCGGCGGCUCUGGGCGCAUUGUUGUCGUCGUCGCUGUCCGAAGCGGAGGAGGAGGAGGACGAGAUGAUGCCCGCCAUGCGUCGGGCUUCACGGUUUUGCUUCUCCCAGAGCAGUGUGGCUCUCUUCGUUGUCGUCGCUGCUCCAUCGCCAAGCGCUCCGACUCCUCCAGCGCCACACGAAGUGCCUUCACAUCUUUGCUGCGAUGAUGGCGGGCGCCAUCGUUCGUCUCCGCGGACGUGUACAAGCGGUGGAUGGUGAUGCGGAGGGCCUCGCCGUCGUCGCUGGCCGGGGGAAGUGGCUCUGGCGUAGAUCUUGGAGUGGCUGGUAGUCGCCUCCGCCCUCGCUUCUUUGCAAGGCGAUACGCGCGGCCCAUGGACUCCGCCUGCGGUUCAGUGGGCAACAACACACCCAACGGUGCCCCGGAGGGGCAGCUGCGAGUGGUGCUGGGUAGUGCCUGGUAGGGGGCAGCAGGGACCGCGUUGGACGAGCACGGGGGAGCGCGGAGCUGCAGUUGCCCUCCUGGCCCGUCGCCGACGCCAUGGAAGAGGAGCUAUCGCCCAGGUACAUCAGUGGCCGGCAGAGGGCGAUGCAAAGCGCUAGCUUGUCAUUGUCGGGCGCCGACGAGCCAUCAGAAUCCGUGGUGGCCUUCAGCCAUUCCUGGGGGGAGGGGAUUCACUGUCGGACAUGGCGGGCGGGGAAGAACGAAGUGGAUUUGGGGAGAAGCGAAGAAGCCAAGUGAGUACCGACUGAGUUUGACUAGUGUUUGCUCAAGGAUCGACGUCUGAUAUUUAUGAGGGCUGGAGUGGGGUUGUUGCGGGCGAUAGCGGACCAGGCGGACGUGGCAUAUCCGAACGCGUCACAUCCGCCUCAGAUUUGGGCUGGAAUGAGGGGUGCCGGUCAGGGCGUUUGAGUCCCGUUUGAGAAGUCCGUCUGGGUCAUUAUUGUGACGCCCCCGAUUCAAUCGUACACUAAUCAUGCACGCAAACGUGUACGAUCAAGAUCAGGGACUCACGGGAAGAUAUCACAACACAACUCUAAAACAUAAAUAAGUCAUACAAGCAUCAUAAUACAAGCCAGGGGCCUCGAGGGCUCGAAUACAAGUGCUCGAUCAUAGACGAGUCAGCGGAAGCAACAAUAUCUGAGUACAGACAUAAGUUAAACAAGAUUUCCUUAAGAAGGCUAGCACAAACUGGGAUACAGAUUGAAAGAGGCGCAGGCCUCCUGCCUGGGAUCCUCCUAAACUACUCCUGGUCGUCGUCAGCGGACUGCACGUAGUAGUAGGCACCUCCGGUGUAGUAGGAGUCAUCGUUGACGGUGGCUUCUGGCUCCUGGACUCCACCGUCUGGUCGCAGCAAACGGGUAUGGAAAGGGGGAAAAGGGGGAGCAAAGCAACCGUGAGUACUCGCAAGCAAGGAGCUACACUACAUAUGUAUGCAUUGGUAUCAAAUGGAAUAAGGGUAUCAUAUGUGGACUGAACUGCAGAAUGCCGGAAUAUGAGGGGGAUAGCUAGUCCUAUCGAAGCCUAUGCUUCUGGUAACCUCCAUCUUGCAGCAGAAGAAGAGAGUGGAUGGUAAGUUCACCAAGUAACAUCGCAUAGCAUAAUCCUAAUCGAUGAUCCUCCCCUCGUCGCCCUGUGAGAGAGCGACCACCGGUUGUAUCUGGCACUUGGAAGGGUGCGUUUUAUUAAGUAUCCGGUUCUAGUUGUCAUAAGGUCAAGGUACAACUCCAAGUCGUCCUGUUACCGAAGAUCACGGCUAUUCGAAUAGAUUAACUUCCCUGCAGGGGUGCACCACAUAACCCAACACGCUCGAUCCCAUUUGGUCGGACACACUUUCCUGGGUCAUGCCCGGCCUCGGAAGAUCAACACGUCGCAGCCCUACCUAGGCACAACAGAGAGGUCAGCACGCGGGUCUAAAUCCUAUGGCGCAGGGGUCUGGGCCCAUCGUCCAUUGCACACCUGCACGUUGCGAGGGCGGCCGGAAGCAGACCUAGCCUAGCAGGCGUUCCAGUCCAAUCCGGCGCGCGCCGCUCAGUCGCUGACGUCACGAAGGCUUCGGCUGAUACCACGACGUCGAGUGCCCAUAACUGUCCCCGCGUAGAUGGUUAGUGCGUAUAGGCCAGUGGCCAGACUCAGAUCAAAUACCAAGAUCUCGUUAAAUGUGUUAUCUUGAAAUAACCGCGAACGCCGACCAGGGCCAGGCCCACCUCUCUCCUAGGUGGUCUCAACCUGCCCUGUCGCUCCGCCAUAAAGUAAUAGUCGGGGGCCGUCGGGAACCCAGGCCCACCACUAUCUGGAUGGAGCCACCUGCCCCUUCAGCCCCCCAUCUCCGAACAAUAUCAUAAGUAAUGUAACAGUAUAAGUAUAUAUCAUAUGCCCGUGAUCACCUCCCGAAGUGAUCACGACCCAGUAGUAUAGCAUGGCAGACGGACAAGAAUGUAGGGCCACUGAUGGUAAACUAGCAUCCUAUACUAAGCAUUUAGGAUUGCAGGUAAAGGUAACAACAGUAGUAGCAAGGACAGGCUAUGCAUCAGGAUAGGAUAACGGAAAGCAGUAACAUGCUACACUACUCUAAUGCAAGCAGUAGAGAAGAAUAGGCGAUAUCUGGUGAUCAAAAGGGGGGCUUGCCUGGUUGCUCUGGCAAGAGAGAGGGGUCGUCAACACCGUAGUCGUACUGGGUAGCAGCGGCGUCGGUCUCGUAGUCUAUCGGAGAGAAGAGGGGGAAGAAACAAUGAAUAUAAUGCAAACAGGUGCAUAACGAUGCAUGACAAGACAAGUAGCGGUGCUAGGGGUGCCCUGACGCGGUAUGAGGUGGUACCGGUGAAGGGGGGAAACAUCCGGGAAAAUAUUCCCGGUGUUUCGCGUUUUCGGACAGAUGAACCGGAGGGGGAAAGUUGCGUGUUCGCUAUGCUAGGGAUGUGUGGCGGACAAACAGGCUGCGUAUCCAGAUUCGUCUCAUUGUUCUGAGCAACUUUCAUGUACAAAGUUUUUCCAUCCGAGUAACAAAUUAUUUUAUAUUAAUUUAAAAGGAUUUAAUCAUUUUCUGAAAUUAUUAAAUAUCUGACAAUAAAUGGUUAAAUUGCUAGGGGUACACAAAAGUGUACCUAGCAAAGUGCACAGAGGCUAACAGAUGGGGCCCAGCUGUUGGGGAACGUAGCAGACUUUUAAAAUUUUCUAUGCAUCACCAAGAUCAAUCUAUGGAGUCAUCUAGCAACGAGGGAGAGAGGAGUGCAUCUACAUACCCUUGUAGAUCACGAGCGGAAGCGUUCAAGAGAACGGGGUUGAUGGAGUCGUACUCGUCGUGAUCCAAAUCACCGAAGAUCCUAGCGCCGAAUGGACGGCACCUCCGUGUUCAACACACGUACGGAGCGAGGACGUCUCCCGCGCCUUGAUCCAGCAAGGAGGAGGGAGAGGUUGAGGAAGAGGGCUCCAACAGCAGCACGACGGCGUGGUGGUGGUGAAGAUGCAGUACUCCGGCAGGGCUUCGCCAAGCUCUUAUGGAGGAGGAGAGGUGUUGGGGAGGGGAGGGGCUGCGCCUUGGAUGUUGUGUGCAGCCCUCCCCUUUCCCCUCUAUUUAUAGGGGAAGGGGGAAGGGGGCCGACCGCCUCUAGAUGAGAUCCAGAGGGGGGGCGGCGGUCAAGGGGAGGGGGCUUGCCCCCCAAGCAAGGGGGGCGCCCCCUUUAGGGUUUCCCCCCCAACCCUAGGCGCAUGGGCCCAAGGGGGGAUGCGGUCAGCCCAUGUAGGGCUGGUUCCCUUUCCUCUACAUCCCAUUAGGCCUUCCGAGAGAGGUGGCCCCCGAACCUUUCCGGUGACCGUAUGACAACUUCCUACAUAUAAAUCUUCACCUUCGGACCAUUCCGGAACUCCUCGUGACGUCCGGGAUCUCAUCCGGGACUCCUAACAACAUUCGGUAAUCACAUACAAGUCUUCCUAACAACCCUAGUGUCACCGAACCUUAAGUGUGUAGACCCUACGGGUUCGGGAGACAUGCAGACAUGACCGAGACGACUCUCCGGUUAAUAACAAACAGUGGGAUCUGGAUAUCCAUGUUGGCUCCCACAUGCUCCAUGAUGAUCUCAUCGGAUGAACCACGAUGUCGAGGAUUCAAUCAAUCCGUAUACAAUUCCCUUUGUCAAUCGGUACGUUACUUGCCCGAGACUCGAUCGUCGGUAUCCCAAUACCUUGUUCAGUCUCGUUACCGGCAAGUCACUUUACUCGUACCAUAAUGCAUGAUCCCGUGAUCAACCACUUGAUCACAUUGAGCUCAUUAUGAUGAUGCAUUACCGAGUGGGCCCAGAGAUACCUCUCCGUCAUACGGAGUGACAAAUCCCAGUCUCGAUUCAUGCCAACCCAACAAACACUUUCGGAGAUACCUGUAAUGAACCUUUAUAGUCACCCAGUUACGUUGUGACGUUUGGCACACCCAAGGCACUCCUACGGUAUCCGGGAGUUGCACAAUCUCAUGGUCUAAGGAAAUGAUACUUGGCAUUCAGAAAAGCUACAGCAAACGAACUACACGAUCUUUGAGCCAUGCUUAGGAUUGGGUCUUGUCCAUCACAUCAUUCUCCUAAUGAUGUGAUCCCGUUAUCAAUGACAUCCAAUGUCCAUAGUCAGGAAAUCAUGACUAUCUUUUGAUCAAUGAGCUAGUCAACUAGAGGCUCACUAGGGACGUGUUGUGGUCUAUGUAUUCACACAUGUAUUACGAUUUCCGGAUAACACAAUUAUAGCAUGAACAAUAGACAAUUAUCAUGAACAAAGAAAUAUAAUAAUAACCAUUUUAUUAUUGCCUCUAGGGCAUAUUUCCAACAAUCUCCCACUUGCACUAGAGUCAAUAUUCUAGUUACAUUGUGAUGAAUCGAACACCCAUGCAGUUCUGGUGUUGAUCAUGUUUUGCUCUAGGGAGAGGUUUAGUCAACGGAUCUGCUACAUUCAGGUCCGUAUGUACUUUACAAAUCUCUAUGUCUCCAUUUUGAACACUUCCACGAAUGGAGUUGAAGCGACGCUUGAUAUGCCUGGUCUUCCUGUGAAACCUGGGCUCCUUGGCAAGGGUAAUAGCUCCAGUGUUGUCACAGAAGAAAGUCAUCGGGCCCGACGCAUUGGGUAUGACUCCUAGGUCAGUAAUGAACUCCUUCACCCAGACUGCUUCUUGUGCUGCCUCCGAGGCUGCCAUGUACUCCGCUUCACAUGUAGAUCCCGCCACAACGCUUUGCUUGCAACUGCACCAGUUUACUGCCCCACCAUUCAAAAUAUACACGUAUCCGGCUUGUGACUUAGAGUCAUCCAGAUCUGUGUCGAAGCUAGCAUCGACGUAACCCUUUACGACGAGCUCUUCGUCACCUCCAUAAACGAGAAACAUUUCCUUAGUCCUUUUUAGGUACUUCAGGAUAUUCUAGACCGCUGUCCAGUGUUCCAUGUCGGGAUUACUUUGGUACCUUCCUACCAAACUUAUGACAAGGUUUACAUCAGGUCUGGUACACAACAUAGCAUACAUGAUAGACCCUAUGGCCGAGGCAUAGGGGACGACACUCAUCUUUUCUCUAUCUUCUGCCGUGGUCGGGCAUUGAGCCGUGCUCAAUCUCGUACCUUGCAAUACAGGCAAGAACCCCUUCUUUGACUGAUCCAUUUUGAACUUCUUCAAUAUCUUGUCAAGGUACGUACUCUGUGAAAGACCAAUGAGGCGCCUCGAUCUAUCUCUAUAGAUCUUGAUGCCUAAUAUAUAAGCAGCUUCUCCAAGGUCCUUCAUUGAAAAACACUUGUUCAAGUAGGCCUUUAUGCUUUCCAAGAAUUCUAUAUCAUUUCCCAUCAACAGUAUGUCAUCCACAUACAAUAUGAGAAAUGCUACAGAGCUCCCACUCACUUUCUUGUAAAUGCAGGCUUCUCCAUAAGUCUGCAUAAACCCAAAAGCUUUGAUCAUCUCAUCAAAACGAAUGUUCCAACUCCGAGAUGCUUGUACCAGCCCAUAAAUCGAGCGUUGGAGCUUGCACACCUUGUCAGCAUUCUUAGGAUCGACAAAACCUUCCGACUGCAUCAUAUACAAUUCUUCCUUAAGGAAACCAUUAAGGAAUGCCGUUUUGACGUCCAUUUGCCAUAUCUCAUAAUCAUAGAAUGCGGCAAUUGCUAACAUGAUUCGGACGGACUUCAACUUCGCUAUGGGUGAGAAAGUCUCAUCAUAGUCAACCCCUUGAACUUGUCGAUAACCCUUAGCGACAAGCCGAGCUUUAUAGAUGGUCACAUUACCAUCCGCGCCUGUCUUCUUCUUAAAGAUCCAUUUAUUUUCUACGGCUCGUCGAUCAUCGGGCAAGUCAGUCAAAGUCCAUACUUCAUUUUCAUACAUGGAUCCUAUCUCGGAUUUCAUGGCUUCCAGCCAUUUGUUGGAAUCCGGGCCCGCCAUCGCUUCUUCAUAGUUCGAAGGUUCACCGUUGUCUAACAACAUGAUUUCCAAGACAGGGUUGUCGUACCACUGUGGUGCGGAACGUGUCCUCGUGGACCUACGAAGUUCAGUAGUAACUUGAUCUGAAGUUUCAUGAUCAUCAUCAUUAACUUCCUCUCUAGUCGGUGCAGGCACCUCAAGAACAUUUUCUUGAGCUGCGCCACUUACCGGUUCAAGAGGUAAUACUUCAUCAAGUUCUACUUUCCUCCCACUUAUUUCUUUCGAGAGAAACUCUUUCUCUAGAAAGGACCCAUUCUUGGCAACAAAGAUCUUGCCUUCGGAUCUGAGGUAGAAGGUAUACCCAACAGUUUCUUUAGGGUAUCCUAUGAAGACGCAUUUUUCCGAUUUGGGUUCGAGCUUUUCAGGUUGAAGUUUCUUGACAUAAGCAUCGCAUCCCCAAACUUUUAGAAACGACAACUUAGGUUUCUUCACAAACCAUAAUUCAUACGGUGUCAUCUCAACGGAUUUUGACGGAGCCCUAUUUAAAGUGAAUGCGGCAGUCUCUAAAGCAUAGCCCCAAAAUGACAGCGAUAAAUCGGUGAGACAUCAUAGAUCGCACCAUAUCUAAUAGAGUGUGAUUACAACGUUCGGACACACCAUUACGCUGAGGUGUUCCAGGCGGCGUGAGUUGUGAAACUAUUCUACAUUUUCUUAAGUGUGUGCCAAAUUCGUGACUCAAGUAUUCUCCCCCACGAUCUGAUCGCAAGAACUUGAUUUUUCUGUCACGUUGAUUCUCAACCUCACUCUGAAAUUCCUUGAACUUUUCAAAGGUCUCAGACUUGUGUUUCAUUAAGUAGACAUACCCAUAUCUACUCAAGUCAUCAGUGAGGGUGAGAACAUAACGAUAGCCACCGCGAGCCUCAACACUCAUUGGACCGCACACAUCAGUAUGUAUGAUUUCCAAUAAGUUGGUUGCUCGCUCCAUUGUUCCUGAGAACAGAGUCUUGGUCAUUUUACCCAUGAGGCAUGGUUCGCACGUGUCAAAUGAUUCAUAAUCAAGAGACUCUAAAAGUCCAUCUGCAUGGAGCUUCUUCAUGCGUUUGGCACCUAUGUGACCAAGGCGGCAGUGCCACAAGUAUGUGGGACUAUCAUUAUCAACCUUACAUCUUUUGGUAUUCACACUAUAAAUAUGUGUAGCAUUACGCUCGAGAUUCAUUAAGAAUAAACCAUUCACCAUCGGAGAAUGACCAUAAAACAUAUCUCUCAUAUAAAUAGAACAACCAUUAUUCUCGGAUUUAAAUGAGUAGCCAUCUCGAAUUAAACAAGAUCCUGAUACAAUGUUCAUGCUCAAAGCUGGCACUAAAUAACAAUUAUCGAGGUUCAAAACUAAUCCCGUAGGUAAAUGUAGAGGCAACGUGCCGACGGCGAUCACAUCGACCUUGGAACCAUUCCCAACGCGCAUCGUCACCUCGUCCUUCGCCAGUCUCCGUUUAUUCUGCAGCUCCUGCUUUGAGUUACAAAUGUGAGCAACCGCACCGGUAUCAAAUACCCAGGAGCUACUACGAGUACUGGUAAGGCACACAUCAAUUACCUGUAUAUCACAUAUACCUUUCGUGUUGCUGGCCUUCUUGUCCGCUAAGUAUUUGGGGCAGUUCCGCUUCCAGUGACCACUUCCCUUGCAAUAAAAACACUCAGUCUCGGGCUUGGGUCCAUUAUUUGGCUUCUUCCCGGCAGCUUGCUUACCGGGCGCGGCAACUCCCUUGCCGUCCUUCUUGAAGUUCUUCUUACCCUUGCCUUUCUUGAACUUAGUGGUUUUAUUCACCAUCAACACUUGAUGUUCCUUUUUGACUUCUACCUCUGCUGAUUUUAGCAUUGAAUAUACCUCAGGAAUGGUCUUUUUCAUCCCCUGCAUAUUGAAGUUCAUCACAAAGCUCUUGUAGCUCGGUGGAAGCGACUGAAGGAUUCUGUCAAUGACCGCGUCAUCCGGGAGAUUAACUCCCAGCUGAGUCAAGCGGUUAUGCAACCCAGACAUUUUGAGUAUGUGCUCACUGACAGAACUAUUUUCCUCCAUCUUACAGCUGAAGAACUUGUCGGAGACUUCAUAUCUCUCGACCCGGGCAUGAGCUUGAAAAACCAUUUUCAGCUCUUCGAACAUCUCAUAUGCUCCGUGUCUCUCAAAACGCUUUUGGAGCCCCGGUUCUAAGCUGUAAAGCAUGCCGCACUGAACGAGGGAGUAAUCAUCAGCACAUGUCUGCCAAGCUUUCAUAACGUCUUGGUUCUGUGGGACGGGUGCGUCACCUAGCGGUGCUUCUAGGACAUAAUCUUUCUUGGCAGCUAUGAGGAUGAUCCUCAGGUUCCGGACCCAUUCCGUAUAGUUGCUGCCAUCGUCUUUCAACUUGGUUUUCUCUAGGAACGCGUUGAAGUUGAGGACAACGUGGGCCAUUUGAUCUACAAGACAUAUUGUAAAGAUUUUAGACUAAGUUCAUGAUAAUUAAGUUCAUCUAAUCAAAUUAUUCAAUGAACUCCCACUCAGAUAGACAUCCCUCCAGUCAUCUAAGUAUAACAUGAUCCGAGUUAACUAGGCCGUGUCCGAUCAUCAUGUGAGACGGACUAGUCAACAUCGGUGAACAUCUUCAUGUUGAUCGUAUCUUCUAUACGACUCAUGCUCGACCUUUCGGUCUUCUGUGUUCCGAGGCCAUGUCUGUACAUGCUAGGCUUGUCAAGUCAACCUAAGUGUAUUGCGUGUGUAAAUAUGGCUUACACCCGUUGUAUUCGAACGUUAGAAUCUAUCACACCCGAUCAUCACGUGGUGCUUUGAAACAACGAACCUUCGCAACGGUGCACGGUUAGGGGGAACACUUUCUUGAAAUUAUUUCAAGGGAUCAUCUUAUUUAAGCUACCGUCGUUCUAAGCAAAUAAGAUGUAAAGCAUGAUAAACAUCACAUGCAAUCAAAUAGUGAUAUGAUAUGACCAAUAUCAUUUGCUCCUUUUGAUCUCCAUCUUCGGGGCUCUAUGAUCAUCGUUGUCACCGGCAUGACACCAUGAUCUCCAUCAUCGUGUCUUCUUGAAGUUGUCUCGUCAUCUAUUACUUCUACUACUAUGGCUAACGCUUUAGCAAUAAAGUAAAGUAAUUACAUGACGUUUAUGUUGACACGCAGGUCAUAAAUAAAUAAAGACAACUCCUAUGGCUCCUGCCGGUUGUCAUACUCAUCGACAUGCAAGUCAUGAUUCCUAUUACAAGAACAUGAUCAUCUCAUACAUCACAUAUAUCAUUCAUCACAUCCUUUGGCCAUAUCACAUCACAAAACACUUGCUGCAAAAACAAGUUAGAGGUCCUCUAAUUGUUGUUGCAAGUUUUUACAUGGCUGCUAUAGGUUUCUAGCAAGAACGUUUCUUCCCUAUGCCAAAACCACAACGUGAAUUGCCAAUUUCUAUUUACCCUUCAUACAGACCCUGUUCAUCGAGUUCGAUCCGACUAAAGUGGGAGAGACAGACACCCGCCAGCCACCUUAUGCAACUAUUGCAUGUCAAUCGGUGGAACCAGUCUCACGUAAGCGUAUGUGUAAGGUCGGUCCGGGCCGCUUCAUCCCACGAUGCCGCCGAAUCAAGACAAGACUAGUAACGACAAGCAAAUUGACAAGUUCGACACCCACAACUACUUUGUGUUCUACUCGUGCAUAGUAACUACGCAUAGACCUAGCUCAUGAUGCCACUGUUGGGGAACGUAGCAGAAAUUCAAAAUUUUCCUACGUGUCACCAAGAUCAAUCUAUGGAGUCAUCUAGCAACGAGGGAGGAGUUGAUCUACAUACCCUUGUAGAUCGCACGCGGAAGCGUUCAAGAGAACGGGGUUGAUGGAGUCGUACUCGUCGUGAUCCAAAUCACCGAUGAUCCUAGCGCCGAACGGACGGCACCUCCACGUUCAACACACGUACGGAGCAGCGAUGUCUCCUCCUUCUUGAUCCCGCAAGGGGGGAGGAGAGGUUAAUGGAGAUCCAGUAGCACGACGGCAUGGUGGUGGAAGUAGCGUGAUUCCAACAGGGCUUCGCCAAGCGCUACGGGAGGAGGGAGAUGUGUCACGGGAGGGAGAGGGAGGCGCCAGGGCUCAGGUGGGGCUGCCCUCCCUUCCCCCCACUAUAUAUAGGGCCAAGGGAGAGGGGGGGGGGCGCAGCCUUGGCCCUUCCUCCAAGGAAGGGUGCGGCUAGGGAGGAGUCCCUCCUCCCCAAGGCACCUCGGAGGUGCCUUCCCCCUUUAGGACUCUUCCUUUCCUUAUCUCUUGGCGCAUGGGCCUCUUGGGGCUGGUGCCCUUGGCCCAUAUAGGCCAAGGUGCACACCCCUACAGCCCAUGUGGCCCCCGGGGCAGGUGGCCCCACCCGGUGGACCCCCGGGACCCUUCCGGUGGUCCCGGUACAAUACCGGUGACCCCGAAACUUGUCCUGAUGGCCGAAAUAGCACUUCAUAUAUAUAAUUCUUUACCUCCGAACCAUUCCGGAACUCCUUGUGACGUCCGGGAUCUCAUUUGGGACUCCGAACAACAUUCGGGUUACCGCAUACUAAUAUCUCUAUAACCCUAGCGUCACCGAACCUUAAGUGUGUAGACCCUACGGGUUCGGGAAACAUGCAGACAUGACCGAGAUGACUCUCCGGUCAAUAACCAACAGCGGGAUCUGGAUACCCAUGUUGGCUCCCACAUGUUCCACGACGAUCUCAUCGGAUGAACCACGAUGUCAAGGACUUAAUCAAUCCCGUAUACAAUUCCCUUUGUCUAUCGGUACGAUACUUGCCCGAGAUUCGAUCGUCGGUAUCCCGAUACCUUGUUCAAUCUCGUUACCGGCAAGUCUCUUUACUCGUUCCGUAACACAUCAUCCCAUGAUCAACUCCUUGAUCACAUUGUGCACAUUAUGAUGAUGUCCUACCGAGUGGGCCCAGAGAUACCUCUCCGUCACACGGAGUGACAAAUCCCAGUCUCGAUUCGUGCCAACCCAACAGACACUUUCGGAGAUACCUGUAGUGUACCUUUAUAGCCACCCAGUUAUAUUGUGACGUUUGGCACACCCAAAGUAUUCCUACGGUAUCCGGGAGUUGCACAAUCUCAUGGUCUAAGGAAAUGAUACUUGACAUUAGAAAAGCUUUAGCAUACGAACUACAUGAUCUAGUGCUAUGCUUAGGAUUGGGUCUUGUCCAUCACAUCAUUCUCCUAAUGAUGUGAUCCCGUUAUCAACGACAUCCAAUGUCCAUGGUCAGGAAACCGUAACCAUCUAUUGAUCAACGAGCUAGUCAACUAGAGGCUUACUAGGGACAUGGUGUUGUCUAUGUAUCCACACAUGUAUCUGAGUUUCCUAUCAAUACAAUUCUAGCAUGGAUAAUAAACGAUUAUCAUGAACAAGGAAAUAUAAUAAUAAUCAAUUUAUUAUUGCCUCUAGGGCAUAUUUCCAAUACUCGUGAUGUCCGGUAUCUCAUCCGGGACUCCUAACAACAUUCGGUAAUCACAUACAAGUCUACCUAACAACCCUAGUGUCACCGAACCUUAAGUGUGUAGACCCUACGGGUUCGGGAGACAUGCAGACAUGACCGAGACGACUCUCCAGUUAAUAACCAACAGUGGGAUCUGGAUACCCAUGUUGGCUCCCACAUGCUCCACGAUGAUCUCAUCGGAUGAACCACGAUGUCGAGGAUUCAAUCAAUCCGUAUACAAUUCCCUUUGUCAAUCGGUACGUUACUUGCCCGAGACUCGAUCGUCGGUAUCCCAAUACCUUGUUCAGUCUCGUUACUGGCAAGUCACUUUACUCGUACCGUAAUGCAUGAUCUCGUGAUCAACCACUUGAUCACAUUGAGCUCAUUAUGAUGAUGCAUUACCGAGUGGGCCCAGCGAUACCUCUCCGUCAUACGGAGUGACAAAUCCCAGUCUCGAUUCAUGCCAACCCAACAGGCACUUUCGAAGAUACCUGUAAUGAACCUUUAUAGUCACCCAGUUACGUUGUGACGUUUGGCACACCCAAGGCACUCCUACGGUAUCCAGGAGUUGCACAAUCUCAUGGUCCAAGGAAAUGAUACUUGACCAGAAAAGCUACAGCAAACGAACUACACGAUCUUUGAGCUAUGCUUAGGAUUGGGUCUUGUCCAUCACAUCAUUCUCCUAAUGAUGUGAUCCCGGUAUCAAUGACAUCCAAUGUCCAUAGUCAGGAAACCAUGACUAUCUUUUGAUCAACGAGCUAGUCAACUAGAGGCUCACUAGGGACGUGUUGUGGUCUAUGUAUUCACACAUGUAUUACGAUUUCCGGAUAACACAGUUAUAUCAUGAACAAUAGACAAUUAUCAUGAACAAAGAAAUAUAAUAAUAACCAUUUUAUUAUUGCCUCUAGGGCAUAUUUCCAACACCAGCUGCUGAGUCAACAGCUGACUGGGCCGGCCUUAUCCACUAGAAUAGUGGUGGGGCCCCACCUGUCAUAGGCUGACACCUCCAACGGUGUUAAAUUAUAAAACGUAGAUUAAUUAAGGUGUGGGUCCCAUAUGCCAGUGUGACAUUAGUUAAAUUAGUUAUCAGUUUAGUUAAUUAACGGGGCGGGGCCCAGUUGUUAGUGAGAGGGGAAGGGUGAUUAGCGCCCUAAUUAAGCUGGUUAGGCCGAUGGUUAUCUGGAGCACGGCGGCGUUGGCUGUCCGGCCAACUCCGGCAGCGGGAGGGCGCACGGCUAGGCGUGUUAGAACGCCUCCAGAGAGGCGAGUGGGGUGGUGCCCACGGUUCAUGCCAGGGUCGCCGAAGUCGCCGGCGGUGAGCACGAUCGCGACGUCAGCGGGGGGGUCGGGGGCGGCGGUUGCCACCCNNNNNNNNNNNNNNNNNNNNNNNNNNNNNNNNNNNNNNNNNNNNNNNNNNNNNNNNNNNNNNNNNNNNNNNNNNNNNNNNNNNNNNNNNNNNNNNNNNNNNNNNNNNNNNNNNNNNNNNNNNNNNNNNNNNNNNNNNNNNNNNNNNNNNNNNNNNNNNNNNNNNNNNNNNNNNNNNNNNNNNNNNNNNNNNNNNNNNNNNNNNNNNNNNNNNNNNNNNNNNNNNNNNNNNNNNNNNNNNNNNNNNNNNNNNNAACGUGGGGGUAGGGUUUCGGGGGCGUGGGCGUGGGGGUUAAGUGGGGGAGGGGACGGGCCGGCCUGGUUGGAUGGCCAGCUGGGCUAAGGCCCAGCGCAGGGGGGGCCUUUUCGUUUGCUUUGUUUUAUUUAUUUUCUUUAUUUAUUUAUUCUUUCCUGCUUUAUUUUAGUUGCAUUUUAUUCUAGUAAAAUAUACACUUAGUAUCUAAAUUAGUAUUUCAACUUAGUCCAUAGUCACAAAAUGUCUAGACCCCAAAUAACUUAGUUUGACAUUUUAUUAAUUAUAAAAGGUAUUUAAAUAAUUGUUUUUGCUACUGUUUUAUUCAUCUCAUAGUAUUUAAACAUUUUAUAAAUGUGUGGUUUUUCAAUCAUAAUUAUCUAUGCAAUAUUUGGUUCACUCCGAACAUUUUAGUUUUAAUAUUUGAAAACUUUUAUUGUUUGCCUGAUUUUGAAUUUGAAUUUGAAUCGGUUUCGAACUAACUCGAGAUUAGCAACUAUAAUCGAGGGGACGUGGCAUCAUUAGCAGAGGGUCACUGUAGCUUAAUUACCCGGGCGUCACAAUUCUCCUCCACUACAAGAAAUCUCGUCCCAAGAUUUAAGAGGGGAAGUGCGGGGAAGGGAUUAGGUUACGAAAUUCUAACGGGUCUUGUUGGUCUUGGUUACUCUUCUCGAGGAGGUCGAUCCAUUAAGUUGAUCUUCUCCAGGUCAUCAUGAUGAAGUCGGCAUCCUCUCUUCGGAGUCUUCAUCGUACUUACGAAUAGGAAAGGGGCAGCCCGACAUCGAGAGAAUGCUAUCAGGGGAAAUCAUCUGGGGGUUACCCCAUGAAUGAUCACAAGAGUAACUCUCGAAUUGGUCAAGUGAAACACAUCGUGAGCCGAGCAAGAAGGUUCGAUAAGAAGUUUCAAGCGGUUGUCCAAUCGUUCGAUGUCUUAACCAGGGCAUGUAAGGAGUUCAGUGCAGCGAGAAUGGGUAUCAUAUCUGAUACCAGAAUAGAUCGUCUCUAGGAAGGUCACACGUGAACUACAUACGGGGUCAAACGGGAGGAAUAAUUUGGCAACAGGGGUGUACAGGAGAGUCAGGUUUCGAUCCUGGGACCUAUGGGUUAUGGGCCCACCAUGUGAGUUAAAAGUAAAGAAAAAGGCGGUGAUAUUUCACACAGUCAUGAUAACAAGGCAUGUUAAAGGAUAGCCUGUCAGUUAUGUCGGCAACAAUGUUGGUACCAAGGGCGAGGGACGAAGAGAACCAUUUUCCUGCUCGUUGAACGAGGUGGACCAAUAGGAAAAGUUCUCAUCCAUCGGUGGUUACAGGAAUGUCAUCAACAAUAGCAACAAGGUCUUACUGACAAAAUUGUACACCGAGGUGUUUACAUAAGCAGUGAUUCUUUACUGCUUAGAUCAUAUAGAACACCAGAAAGGUUAAACAAAUCAAUGGAAAGGACAAGGUGAUCUUCAGAUUAAACAGAACAAUGAAAAAGAAAAUGUGUUUAAACACAUAUUACAGGGGUAUAUUCUCCCCAAGGACAAGCAGAGCAUGAUAUCCAUGACAGGAUACAAUGUAGAAAACCCUUUAGGUAAGGGGAGAGAAAUCUCAUGACAUUACCCAUCCAACAUUGUUUGGAUAAUUGAGCAAGAAACAUUUAGCAUCGUGCUUCAAAUGUUCUUAUUGAAAAUCGAAGUACCACAGACAUGCUUCGAGAUAUCAUUGACAUGGUCUUCAAGCAAAGGUCAGACUUUGGAUACUCAAUGGAUUCACCAGGACAACUUAUAGAAUAAGUCUUUCAAUUUCCUCAUGGAAGAAUGGUUAACAUUGCUAAAAGGAAGAACUAUAACAAUAGGCCCUCCAGCCAGGUGUGCUAGGCAUGACAUCACCUUACUGGGUCAUAUAAAGACCAACAUUAUAACUCUUGGAAAAUGCGUCCCAACCAUCAUAUCUGACCAGAAUUUAUAUCUGAUUGGUGUUAGGAUAUCUCAGACUCAGGAUGCCUGAUAAUAAGAGGUGCAACACAAUUGACGAGAUGACAUUAUAUCAUUCUCGGGAAAUGAACUAUGGAAGCGAGUUCCGAAACCAGAGUUCAUCAGUAAACCAAGGAGAGGAUGAGGAGGUGGCUGAUGAACUCAGCGACAAUUCAACGAGAUUUCCAAAAGAUGGAUUUCCACAAUUAUGUGAACAAGGAGAUAACAUUUUUCAGAUCAAUGAUAUGAUGAGGUAUACUUGAGGAAAAGAUACUCGAAUUAAACACUGGUUGACAAGUGCGCCCGAAGUAAGGGCAUAGGUAGCCUGAUCAAUUGUUAGAAUGGUGAUCCAAUAAGCGAUAGUCUAAGAAUGAACUAUCAACCAUUAGCUUCAAAGCAACAGGGUUGCUAGAAGUAUAGAAUCCAAGCAACACCGUUCACUUGUUGGUGUCCCGGUUAGAAUCAACAUAGGGACCAAGAAAGAAUGGUGAUAGUGUGAGGUAUCAUUAUAGCAAGGAUUUCUUAAGAGGUGGAGCAAUCCUCACAACAUUCUUGACAUCAAAGAUGGUAAUACUCCGUGGUAGAUCAUAACAUAAGUUGGAUUUCAAGGAACUCAAGAUACAACACAAAACAAGAACAAGUUUUGUGUUGGAGGGAAUGCAAUAAUGUUGUGGAUGAUAACCCAAAUCAUCGAGGGCAAAGGAUGCUAUUUCUCAUCAAGAAUUCGAUAGAUAUCUUGGAAGACCUCAGAAUGUUGAUGAUGAUCACGACACAUUUGUCGAGAGGUUUCAAGAAGAUGUUACUGAUCGGCGAUGACAUCGAGUCAACGAAAUGAUGAAGCAAAAAGUUAUUGGAACCAUGGGUACGACACAAACUCGAAAUCAAGCUUGCUGUUCAAGGACAAACGAUAUGACGAGGAAGAUCGAUGCAUGAUUUGCUCAUCAUCGAAAAUUGUGCUCCGGGAAGAAUGACUAGGUAGCACAGUUAAAAAUUAGCACAAUAAUGAUAUAGUCAAUCAGGCUAGGAAUGACGUGAUGGAGUAUUAACUUCUCGACAACAAAGCAGUGGAAGUACUGAAUCACAGUGUUGAUUUGAUUCACAAAUCGGUAUUCUCGGUUGACGACAACCCAGAACCCAGAAAAAUUGAAAUCGGUGAGAAAUAACAGUUGAUGAAGAACCCAUAAGAAGUUAUGCAGUUCCAUGACAUUAUCAAGAUAUCCUAGUGUAAUACUCGACGGUAGAUCAAAGUAAAGGUUAGACAGGUGCAAUGAUCUGCACAAGACAAGUACUUAACUUGUCCGAUAAAUGAUAUUAAUGAGAAAAUAUGGUCGGAACCAUGAUUGCAAAGGACCAAACAUAGCUACAGGACGAACUUAUGACAAGGGGAUUAAUAUCAUUUACAAGAAGUGUUGGUGUCAAAACCGGCGGAUCUCGGGUAGGGGGUCCCGAACUGUGCGUCUAGGCUGGAUGGUAACAGGAGGCAGGGGACACGAAGUUUUACCCAGGUUCGGGCCCUCUCGAUGGAGGUAAAACCCUACGUCCUGCUUGAUUAAUAUUGAUGGUAUGGGUAUUACAAGAGUUGAUCUACCAUGAGAUCCGAGAGGCUAAACCCUAGAAGCUAGCCUAUGGUAUGAUUGUUGAUGUGUAUGUUGUUCUACGGACUAAAACCCUCUGGUUUAUAUAGACACCGGAUAGGGUUAGGGUUACAUAGAGUCGGUUACAAUGGUAGGAGAUCUGAACAUCCGUAUCGCCAAGCUUGCCUUCCACGCCAAGGAAAGUCCCUUUCGGACACGGGACGGAGUCUUCAAUCUUGUAUCUUCAUAGUCCAGGAGUCCGGCUGAAGGUAUAGUUCGGCUAUCCGAACACCCCCUAAUCCAGGACUCCCUCAGUAGCCCCCGAACCAGGCUUCAAUGACGAUGAGUCCGGCGCGCAGAUUGUCUUCAGCAUUGCAAGGCGGGUUCUCCUCUAAAUUCCGUGUACCUGUUUGAAUAAAGUCCGGUUUCUUGUAGAUGUUGCGCUCCUUGGCUUCUACGCCCAAUAAUGGCCGUUUUCCACAUGUCAAACGAAUAUGAAAAGUCUGAGUGUUUUUAUGUUCACACCCCUAGCCGUGUGAAUGAGUUGCCCUUUUUAAGGGGACGAGGAUUUAGAUCCAAUCCACACCUUCUCCCCUCCACGAGUGUUCAUCAGAGCGCACCCGACAAAAGUCCAUUCCACCAUGGCCAGCCGCCGCAACUCCUCUCGUCCUUCUAGCCGUAAGCCUGGAUAUUGGGAGAGAUGUUCUACUCCGCACAGCGAUCUAGUGACGCUUCAGACCAAAGGAUUUCUCCCCCCCCGGCCUAUAUGGUCCCGGUCCGAGCCGGUCUCGCCGUCUACAACGGCGGAGAGCAAGCAGAGAAUGCCCCUAGUCCAUCUAAAGGAGAGCGGGUGUGCCUUGUUACUUACUUAAUAAGGGGCUCGGAUUUCCCAUCCACCCGUUUCUCCGAGGGCUGCUGGAGUUCUACGGCCUCCAGCUACAUCAUCUCACGCCUGCCUCAGUAUUGCAUAUCGCGGGCUUUGUAGCCCUCUGCGAGCUGUUCUUGGGUAUUGAAGCUCAUUUUGGACUGUGGAAGGAGCUAUUUUGCCUCGUGCCCCGUUCCAAGAAAGGGUCAAUGUAUCAAGUGGGCGGAGCCGAAGUAUGGCGCAUCGCCGGGACUGGAUAUCUGUCCGGAACCCCAAAGAAGGCGUCCGAAGACUGGCACUCGGAAUGGUUAUAUAUAGAAGACGUCCCGCUGCCGGAUCCUGUCCGGAUCGGCCUCCCAGAGUUUGAUAGUGCUCCUUUAAAGAAGCGCCUAAGAUGGCAUCCACGGAGCCCUCAAAGGGAAAGCGAUAGGGACAUCAUUUAUUUCAUGGGCCGAAUAAGAUUGUUGGCCCAUUCCGGACUAACCAUGAUCGGAGUUAUGGCCGAGUGCAUCAUGCGGGGGGUGCGGCCGCUUCAGUACAGAAGCCACCCCAUGUGGGAUUUCAACGGGGAGGACGACGCCACCCGCUACGACCGUAAAGGGCCAGAUUCAGUUGCCGCUCUAUUGAAGAUCUUGUCCACUUUGUACAAGGGGGAAGAGGAGGAAUUUCUCCGUGUCAACCCACAGGGUGGAUUCUCUAUGCACAAUGCCCAAGCUGGGUAAGUGGUCGCAUUUACUUACUCAUCCAUUUAGUGUUCCCAUUGUUAAAUACUUAGUUUGGUGACUUUAACGCAGGAACUGCGACGGGCCGCAAAGGACAUAAGCAGCCCGCCUCCACAACCCGAGGACUCAGGACGAUCUCUCGACCCGGCCUCUCAGGAGGAUCUGGACAUAUCUGUGGAGUUGAUUGAUGGAGUGUUCCAUCAAUUGAGCGAGGACAACGCCUUGGUGGCCAUUACGUCCGAUUAAACAGGGUUAAUCCGAACACCCCAGGUACCUGAGACCAAAGUCCUUGUACCCCGGACAGGGGUCCGUCCACGCGUGUUUAAUUUCCUGAUUGCAACCGAACUUUGCAGGGGAGGUUUUUGAGGCAGAAGGCCGAACCUGCGGCGACAAACCAACCAGGGGCCGCAGGGCCCCAUGGGAAGAAAAGAGGUGCAGUCCGGACCGAGGCGUCAACGCGAAGGUAUGGCGGCGCCCCUUUAUCCCAGUCGUUAUACCUUCGAGGCACACUUGACACUCGUGCCCUUUUCAGGACGAAGAGACCUCGCCGGGCUAUAUCCGGAGAGGCUGCUAAUCGCGCCUCCACCAGCCAGGCUCCUAGGCCUGGUCCGAGGGCGGAAGUGAACGCAAGGCGUGUGCCAGACGUUCCUCCGACGGAAGAUGCGAACGGGUUAUCUGCCACCAACUCAGAGGUGGAAAGUGCCAUGAACCACAGGCGUCGCCGGACAAUUCUUCGCGACGCUUGCUUCUCCCAAGAGGCAUUAGAUUCCUUCAAUUCGGGAGAUGCGCACCUCCGUGCCGCUCAAAAUGGUCUAGCCAGAGCCACGGAGCAAUAUGUAAAAGACAUACGGGUAAGAAAAUUUUGAUAAAUAUAUAUGUAGCAGUAGCCCCCGAGACUGAAAAUAGUUAGAAUAACUGGUUUAAGGAUCAUUUGAAAUGCAGGUUCUUACAGAAAAGUAUUCCCUACUGACCCAGGAGCUAGAAGAGUGCAAAGCCCAACUAGAGGCCGCACUAGCCGCGGCAGGGGAGCCUAAGGAGACCCCCUCUGGUAAUAUUCACUUCGAAAGAUAAGUAUGUGGUGAAGCACGGCUUGUGUGCGAAUCUGACAAAUAAAAUUGCAGAUGGCGCCAGAUUGAAUCCGGAAAGGCAACACCUCGAACGCCAACUAAAGGCUGGUGAGAGGGUGCUGUUAAAGGUGAUGGGGGAUAAGAACGUUCUCCAGGAUGCCAACACCCGGCUGGGUGUCGAGCUAAAAGAUGUUCGUGCCCAGCUGUCAGACUCCGUGAAGGAGAAUCAGCGGCUUCGACGCGGCAUAUUUAGUAAGUGCUUGAACGAACCUUUUUAAAAGAAAGUUCGGCGGUGCCGUUGAUUAACAGAGCAAUAUCCGUAGGUAUGUUAACAGGUCGUCCUGUAGAGGAGAUGCCCGGUUCUACGGGUGACCUUCUUCCCGAGCUCUUGCAAUUGCUCGAUCGAGUUCGGCAGGCGAUGCGAGGCGUUGCCCAAGUCCUGUGGCCAUCCGUCUCCACACCCGAAGGUCUUGGAGAGCUUGCGGAGAAGCUGAGGGGAGCACGGCGGCGAUUCCAGUUGUGGAAGAUAUCGGCCUGCCAUCAAGGCGCUAGGGAGACCUGGGCCAUGGUGAAGACGCGAUAUUCACAGGCCGAUCCCAACCAUAUGGCCAAGGUUGGUCCUGUAGGGCCCGAUGGGAAGGAGAUCCCCGUGAGCUUAGUAUACGGCCAAGUAGAGUUGGCCGCAAAGUAUUCCCAGCAGGACUGUAAAUUGGACAGCCUGUUAGAUGGUAUUGAAGAGGAGUACAGUCAGUCAAAAUGACUAUUGAAUUUUAAUUGACAUUUAUAAUGCCUUCUAGCCGGAUUGUAGAUCAUUUGUCAUGGCCGACCUUUUCGCUUCAUCCUCGGGACCUGACGGUCCGGAGUGUGUCUGAAUUCCCAUGCGGCUAUAUAGGAACCGGGGAAUGCAUGGAGACCAGGCGUAGGGGUCAUUGUGGCAUGAACAGACAAGUGCCCAACUAGUUACGUUAUAUUACAUGGUUAGUAAGAAACAUCUUCCAGGGAGAAUAGUUCCGUUAGGGGUUCCUUUCCCUGGGAGGCAUGCCCUAAAGUGCAUGUCCAUGCUGCGAAGAGAAACGCAGGAAAAACAUCUGGGGGCACGUGGAAAAAAUAGAAAAGAUCGUCUUUAGUUCACCGACCGAAUAUUCCCUUAAGAACGCUAGCUUUCGGCUUCACCCAGUCUGAGGUACACAUCCGGCUGACCCGGCAGUAACAAUCGCAGAGGUGCUCCCUUUACCGCCUAGCCGAACAAUCGAGAACGUAGGGGUAAGCACAGGAGCCAGGCAACCCAGCUUGGCCAAAACUUAAGUCAUAUCGAUUCAUAUAGUGGUGAAUAAAAGGUACAUGCGGAAGUUUGACACAUGUGUUGGGCGUGAAGCCCGUAGAAGUAAGCUUCUAUCGAAAGAAGCCCCCAGGUUUGCUGAGUGCGGAUAGCGCGUCACUUUGUGAGCCUCUAAAGGCUAUAAGAGGGGAAGAGAGAGAGAAGGAGAGAAAUGUAAGACAGAAGGUAUAUAUAAAAAAUGGACAGAGUAAGGAGACGAACACGGGAUCCGGCGCUAGGCAUAGAAUCUUCGGAGGCGGGCGGCGUUCCAUGGGUUCGGCUCGAGUCGGUUAUCCGAUGCACUUCGCAGGCGAUACGCACCACCAGCCAGGACUUGGUCGAUGAUGAAGGGACCUUCCCACUUGGGCUUGAGUUUGUCCUUUUUCUUGUCUAGCAGGCGUAGAACUAGUUCGCCAACGUUGUAAUUUUUGGCCCGUACUUCUCUGCUUUGGUAUCUUCGAGCCUGCUGUUGAUAAAAUGCGGAACGGGCCUUUGCCACGUCCCGCUCCUCCUCUAAUGCAUCCAAACUGUCCUGCCGAUUGAGCUCGGCUUCUCUUUCUUCGUACAUGCGCACCCGAGGUGAGUCAUGAAUAAUGUCGCAAGGCAAAACUGCCUCAGCACCAUACACCAUGAAGAAUGGUGUGUAUCCGGUGGUGCGAUUCGGCGUGGUCCGCAGCCCCCAGAGUACGGAGUCGAGCUCCUCUACCCAGUGCGUGUUAGAUUCCUUGUGGGACCGCACUAACCUGGGUUUGAUGCCGCUCAUGAUAAGACCAUUUGCAUGUUCGACCUGGCCGUUGGUUUGUGGGUGAUAGACGAAAGCAUAAUCGAGCUUGAUGCUCAUGUUUUUGCACCAGAGUUUUACCUCGUCGGCCGUGAAGUUCGUGCCGUUAUCAGUGAUGAUGCUGUGGGGGACGUCGUAACGGUGUAGAACCCCGGAUAUAAAGUCUAUCACAGGUCCGGAUUCGGCCGUCUUAACAGGCUUGGCUUCUAUCCAUUUGGUGAACUUAUCCACCAUGACCAGUAAGUAUUUGUGCUUGUGGGUUCCGCCUUUAAGCGGUCCAACCAUGUCAAGCCCCCAGACCGCGAAAGGCCAAGUGAUGGGGAUGGUUUGAUGGGCAGUAGGUGGCAUAUGGCUUUGGUUUGCAAAGAGCUGGCAAUCGGUGCAUUUUUGGACUAAGUCCUGGGCAUCUGCCCGAGCCGUCGGCCAAUAAAAGCCUGUAUGGAAGGCCUUGCUUACAAGGGACCGACCUACAGCGUGAUGACCACCGAGUCCGGCAUGAAUUUCAGCCAGGAGGUUCCGCCCUUCCUCUUCGGAGAUGCACCUUUGAAGGACUCCGGUAGUGCUUUUCUUAUAAAGCUCUCCUUCAUGGACUUUGUAGGCUUUGGAUCGCCGCACUAUGCAGCGUGCCUUAUUUUGGUCCUCGGGGAGUUCCUGCCUAGUAAGGUAGGCGAGGAAUGGUUCUGUCCACGGGGUGGCUGAGGGUGUUAUUUCAUUGGCAGAGCUGCCGAUUGUGUCAGAAUGUUCGAUGUCGGGCAGUGCGGUUGGGUCCGGGCUAUUGUUGUGCGUCUCCCCUUCCCAUACUACGGAUGGCUUGAACAACCUUUCCAAGAAGAUGUUGGGGGGUGUUGGGGAACGUAGCAGAAAUUCAAAAUUUUCCUAUGUGUCACCAAGAUCUAUCAAUGGAGAAACCAGCAACGAGGGGAAGGAGAGUGCAUCUACAUACCCUUGUAGAUCGCUAAGCGGAAGCGUUCAAGAGAACGGGGUUGAUGGAGUCGUACUCGUCGUGAUCCAAAUCACCGAUGAUCCUAGUGCCGAACGGACGGCACCUCCGCGUUCAACACACGUACGGAGCAGCAACGUCUCCUCCUUCUUGAUCCAGCAAGGGGGAAGGAGAGGUUGAUGGAGAUCCAGCAGCACGACGGCAUGGUGAUGGAAGUAGCGGGAUUCCAACCGAGCUUCGCCAAGCGCUGCGGGAGGAGGGAGAUGUGUCACGGGAGGGAGAGGGAGGCGCCAGGGCUUAGAUGUUGCUGCCCUCCCUUCCCCCACUAUAUAUAGGGCCAAGGGAGAGGGGGGGGGGGCGCAGCCUUGGCCCUUCCUCCAAGGAAGGGUGCGGCCAAGGGAGGAGUCCCUCCUCCCCAAGGCACCUCGGAGGUGCCUUCCCCCUUUAGGACUCUUCCUUUCCCUCUUCUCUUUGCGCAUGGGCCUCUUGGGGCUGGUGCCCUUGGCCCAUAUAGGCCAAGGCGCACCCCCUACAGCCCAUGUGGCCCCCGGGGCAGGUGGCCCCACCCGAUGGACCCCCGGGACCCUUCCGGUGGUCCCGGUACAAUACCGGUGACCCCGAAACUUGUCCCGAUGGCCGAAAUAGCACUUCCUAUAUAUAAUUCUUUACCUCCGGACCAUUCCGGAACUCCUCGUGACGUCCGGGAUCUCAUCCGGGACUCCGAACAACAUUCGGGUUACCACAUACUAAUAUCUCUAUAACCCUAGCGUCACCGAACCUUAAGUGUGUAGACCCUACGGGUUCGGGAAGCAUGCAGACAUGACCGAGAUGUUCUCCGGUCAAUAACCAACAGCGGGAUCUGGAUACCCAUGUUGGUUCCCACAUGUUCCACGAUGAUCUCAUCGGAUGAACCACGAUGUCGAGGAUUCGAUCAAUCCCGUAUACAAUCCCCUUUGUCUAUCGGUACGAUACUUGCCCGAGAUUCGAUCGUCGGUAUCCCGAUACCUUGUUCAAUCUCGUUACCGGCAAGUCUCUUUACUCGUUCCGUAACACAUCAUCCCGUGAUCAACUCCUUGAUCACAUUGUGCACAUUAUGAUGAUGUCCUACCGAGUGGGCCCAGAGAUACCUCUCCGUCACACGGAGUGACAAAUCCCAGUAUCGAUUCGUGCCAACCCAACAGACACUUUCGGAGAAACCCGUAGUGUACCUUUAUAGCCACCCAGUUACGUUGUGACGUUUGGCACACCCAAAGCACUCCUACGGUAUCCGGGAGUUGCACAAUCUCAUGGUCUAAGGAAAUGAUACUUGACAUUAGAAAAGCUUUAGCAUACGAACUACAUGAUCUAGUGCUAUGCUUAGGAUUGGGUCUUGUCCAUCACAUCAUUCUCCUAAUGAUGUGAUCCCGUUAUCAACGACAUCCAAUGUCCAUGGUCAGGAAACCGUAACCAUCUAUUGAUCAACGAGCUAGUCAAGUACAGGCUUACUAGGGACAUGGUGUUGUCUAUGUAUCCACACAUGUAUCUGAGUUUCCUAUCAAUACAAUUAUAGCAUGGAUAAUAAACGAUUAUCAUGAACAAGGAAAUAUAAUAAUAAUCAAUUUAUUAUUGCCUCUAGGGCAUAUUUCCAACAGUCUCCCACUUGCACUAGAGUCAAUAAUCUAGUUCACAUCGAUAUGUGAUUAACACUCAAGGUCACAUCCCCAUGUGACUAACACCCAAAGAGUUUACUAGAGUGAAUAAUCUAGUUCACAUUCACCAUGUGAUUAACACUCGAUGAGUUCUGGGUUUGAUCGUGUUAUGCUUGUGAGAGAGGUUAUAGUCAACGAGUCUGAACCUUUCAGAUCCGUGUGUGCUUUACAAAUCUCUAUGUCAUCUCCUAGAUGUAGCUACCACGUUCUAUUUGAAGCUAUUCCAAAUAACUGUUCUACUUGGAGCUAUUCUAAAUUGUUGCUCCAUUAUACGUAUCCGGUAUCUCUACUCAGAGCUAUCCGGAUAGGUGUUAAGCUUGCAUCGACGUAACCCUUUACGACGAACUCUUUUACCACCUCCGUAAUCGAGAAAAGUUCCUUAGUCCACUAGUUACUAAGGAUAACUUUGACUGCUGUCCUGUGAUCCAUUCUUGGAUCACUCUUGUACCCCUUGACUGACUCAUGGCAAGGCACACUUCAGGUGCGGUACAUAUCAUAGCAUACUGUAGAGCCUACGUCUUAAGCAUAGGGGACGACCUUCGUCCUUUCUCUCUAUUCUGAUGUGGUCGAGCUUUAAGUCUUGACUUCAUACCUUAGAACUCAGGCAAGAACUCCUUCUUUGACUGAUCCAUCUUGAACACCUUCAAGAUCAUGUCAAGGUAUGUGCUCAUUUGAAAGUACCAUUAAGCGUUUUGAUCUAUCCUUAUAGAUCUUGAUGCUCAAUGUUCAAGUAGCUUAAUCCAGGCUUUCCAUUGAAAAACACUUUCCAAAUAACCCUAUAUGCUUUCCAGAAAUUCUACGUCAUUUCUGAUCAACAAUAUGUCAACAACAUAUAUUCAUCAGAAAUUGUAUAGUGCUCCCACUCACUUCUUUGGAAAUACAAGUUUCUCAUAAACUUUGUAUAAACCCAAAAUCUUUGAUCAUCAUCAAAGCACACAUUCCAACUCCGAGAUGCUUACUCCAAUCCUCAGAAGGAUUGCUGGGGCUUUGCAUACUUAUUAGCAUCUUUCAGGAUUGACAAAACCAUCCGGUUGUAUCACAUACAACCUUUCCUCAAGAAAAUCGUCGAGGAAACAAUGUUUUGACAUCCUAUCUGCAAGAUUUCAUAAAUAAUGCAGUGACUGCUAAUAUAAUUCCAACAGACUCUUAGCAUCGCUACGAGUGAGAAAAUCUCACCGCUGUCAACUCCUUGAACUUGUCAGAAAACAUCUUAACGACAAGUCGAGCUUUCUUAAUGGUGACAUUUACCAUCAUUGUCCGUCUUCCUUUUAAAAUCCAUCUAUACUCAACAUCCUCACGACCAUCGAGCUGUUCUAUCAAAGUCUACACUUUGUUUCCAUACAUGGAUCCUCUCUCGGAUUUUAUGGCCUCGAGCCAUUUAUCGGAAUCCGGGCCCACCAUCGCUUCUCCAUAGCUCGUAGGUUCAUUGUUGUCUAGCAACAUGACUUCCAUGACAGGAUUACGUACCACUCUAAAGUAGUACGCAUCCUUGUCAUCCUACGAGGUUUGGGAGUGACUUGAUCUGAAGUCUCAUGAUCAAUAUCAUAAGCUUCCACUUCAAUUGGUGUAGGUGCCACAGGAACAACUCUUUGUGCCCUGCUAUACAUUAGUUGAAGUGGCGGUUCAAUAACCUCAUCAAGUCUCCACCAUCCUCCCACUCAAUUCUUUCGAGAGAAACUUUUCCUCGAGAAAGGACCCGAUUCUAGAAACAAUCCCUUAUUGCUUUCGGAUCUGAGACAGGAGGUAUACCCAACUGUUUUGGGUAUUCUAUGAGGAUGCAUUCAUCCGCUUUGGGUUUGAGCUUAUCAGCCUGAAACUUUUUCACAUAAGCGUCACAGCCCCAAACUUUUAAGAAAUGACAGCUUAGGUUUCUCUAAACCAUAGUUCAUACGGUGUCAUCUCAUCGGAAUUACGUGGUGCCCUAUUUAAAGUGAAUGUGGUUGUAUCUAAUGCCUAACCCAUAAACUAUCAUGGUAAUUCGAUAAGAGACAUCAUGGUAUGCAUCAUAUCCAAUAGGGUGCAGUUAUGAUGUACGGACACACCAUCACACUAUGGUGUUCCAGGCUGUAUUAGUUGUGAAACGAUUUCCACAAUGUCUUAAUUCUGUGCGAAACUCAUAAUUCAGAUAUUCAUCUCUAUGAUCAUAUCAUAGAUAUUUUAUCCUCUUGUCACGACGAUCUUUCAACUUCACCCUGAAAUUACUUGAACCUUUCAAUAAUUCAGACUCAUGAUUCAUCAAGUAAAUAUACUCAACAUUUACUCAAAUCAUUCGUGAAGUAAGAACAUAAUGAUAUCCACUACACGCCUCAGCACUCAUUGGACUGCACACAUCAAAAUGUAUUACUUCCAACAAGUUGCUUUCUAGUUCCAUUUUACUGGAAACGAGGCUUUCAGUCAUCUUGCCCAUGUGGUAUGAUUUGCAUGUCUCAAGUGAGUCCAAACGGUCCAUUUGCAUGGAGUUUCUUCAUGCAUAUCUACCAACAAACAUGGUUCGCAUGUCUCAAUCCUUUCAAAAAUGAGUGAGUCCAAAGAUCCAUCAACAUGGAGCUUCUUCAUGCGUUUUAUACCGAUAUGACUUACAUGGUAGUGCCACAAGUAGGUGGUACUAUCAUUACUAUCUUUUGGCAUGAACAUGUGUAUCACUACGAUCGAGAUUCAAUAAACUAUUCAUUUUAGAUGCAAGACCAUUGAAGGUAUUAUUCAAAUAAACAGAGUAACCAUUAUUCUCCUUAAAUGAAUAACCGUAUUGCGAAAGACAUAAUCCAAUCAUGUCUAUGCUCAACGCAAACACCAAAUAACAAUUAUUUAGGUUUAACACCAAUCUCGAUGGUAGAGGGAGCGUGCGAUGCUUGAUCAUAUCAAUAUUGGAAACACUUCCAACACAUAUCGUCAGCUCACCUUUAGCUAGUCUCCGUUUAUUCCGUAGCUUUUAUUUCGAGUUACUAACACUUAGCAACGGAACCGGUAUCUAAUACCCUGGUGCUACUAGGAGUACUAGUAAAGUACACAUCAACACAAUGUAUAUCCAAUAUACUUCUAUCGACCUUACAAGCCUUCUCAUCUACCAAGUAUCUAGGGUAAUUCUGCUCCAGUGGCUGUUCCCCUUAUUACAGAAGCACUUAGUCUCGGGUUUGGGUUCAACCUUGGGUUUCUUCACUAGAGCAGCAGCUGAAUUGCCGUUUCAUGAAGUAUCCCUUCUUGCCCUUGCCCUUCUUGAAACUAGUGGUUUCACCAACCAUCAACAAUUGAUGCUCCUUCUUGAUUUCUACUUUCGUGGUGUCAAACAUCGCGAAUAUCUCAAGGAUCAUCAUAUAUGCCCCUGAUAUAUUAUAGUUCAUCACGAAGCUCUAGCAGCUUGGUGGUAAUGACUUUGGAGAAACAUCACUAUCUCAUCUGGAAGAUCAACUCCCACUUGAUUCAAAUGAUUGUUGUACUCAUACAAUCUGAGCACAAGCUCAACAAUUGAGCUUUUCUCCUAAGUUUGCAGGCUAAGAAAAUUGUCGGAGGUCUCAUACCUCUUGACAUGGGCACGAGCCUGAAAUCCCAAUUUCAGCCCUCGAAACAUCUCAUAUGUUUCGCGACAUUUCAAAACGUCUUCGGUGCCUCAACUCUAAACCGUUUAACUGAACUAUCAUGUAGUUAUCAAAACGUGUAUGUCAGAUGUUCGCAACAUCCACAGACGACGUUCGAGGUUCAGCACACUGAGCGGUGCAUUAAGGACAUAAGCCUUCUAUUAAGCAAUGAGGACAAUCCUCAGUUUAUGGACCUAGUCCGCAUAAUUGCUACUAUCAACGUUCAACUAAAUUUUCUCUAGGAACAUAUCUAAACAGUAGAACUGAAGCGCGAGCUACGACAUAAUUUGCGAAGACCUUUUGACUAUGUUCAGGAUAAUUAAGUUCAUCUUAUGAACUCCCACUCAGAUAGACAUCCCUCUAGUCAUCUAAGUGAUUACAUGAUCCGAGUCAACUAGGCCCUGUCCGAUCAUCACGUGAGACGGACUAGUCAACAUCGGUGAACAUAUUCAUGUUGAUCGUAUCUACCAUACGACUCAUGCUCGACCUUUCGGUCUCUUGUGUUCCGAGGCCAUGUCUGUACAUGCUAGGCUCGUCAAGUUAACCUAAGUGUUUCGCGUGUGUAAAUCUGUCUUACACCCGUUGUAUGUGAACGUUAGAAUCUAUCACACCCGAUCAUCACGUGGUGCUUCGAAACAACGAACUGUCGCAACGGUGCACAGUUAGGGGGAACACUUUCUUGAAAUUAUUAUGAGGGAUCAUCUUAUUUACUACCGUCGUUCUAAGUAAACAAGAUGCAAAAACAUGAUAAACAUCACAUGCAAUCAAAUAGUGACAUGAUAUGGCCAAUAUCAUAUUGCUCCUUUUGAUCUCCAUCUUCGGGGCUCCAUGAUCAUCAUCGUCACCGACAUGACACCAUGAUCUCCAUCAUCGUGUCUUCUUGAAGUUGUCUCGUCAUCUAUUACUUCUACUACCAUGGCUAACACUUUAGCAAUAAAGUAAAGUAAUUACAUGACGUUUAAGUUGACACACAGGUCAUAAAUAAAUAAAGACAACUCCUAUGGCUCCUGCCGGUUGUCAUACUCAUCGACAUGCAAGUCGUGAUUCCUAUUACAAGAACAUGAUCAUCUCAUACAUCACAUAUAUCAUUCAUCACAUCCUUUGGCCAUAUCACAUCACAUAGCAUACCCUGCAAAAACAAGUUAGACGUCCUCUAAUUGUUGUUUGCAUGUUUUACGUGGCUGCUAUGGGUUUCUAGCAAGAACGUUUCUUACCUACGCAAAGACCACAACGUGAUAUGCCAAUUGCUAUUUACCCUUCAUAAGGACCCUUUCCAUCGAAUCCGAUCCGACUAAAGUGGGAGAGACAGACACCCGCCAGCCACCUUAUGCAACUAGUGCAUGUUUGUCGGUGGAACCGGUCUCACGUAAGCGUACGUGUAAGGUUGGUCCGGGCCGCUUCAUUCCACGAUGCCGCCGAAUCAAGAUAAGACUAGUAACGGCAAGCAAAUUGACAAUAUCUACGCCCACAACUACUUUGUGUUCUACUCGUGCAUAGAAUCUACGCAAUAGACCUAGCUCAUGAUGCCACUGUUGGGGAACGUAGCAGAAAUUCAAAAUUUUCCUACGUGUCACCAAGAUCUAUCUAUGGAGAAACCAGCAACGAGGGGAAGGAGAGUGCAUCUACAUACCCUUGUAGAUCGCUAAGCGGAAGCGUUCAAGAGAACGGGGUUGAUGGAGUCGUACUCGUCGUGAUCCAAAUCACCGAUGAUCCUAGUGCCGAACGGACGGCACCUCCGCGUUCAACACACGUACGGAGCAGCGACGUCUCCUCCUUCUUGAUCCAGCAAGGGGGAAGGAGAGGUUGAUGGAGAUCCAGCAGCACGACGGCGUGGUGGUGGAAGUAGCGGGAUUCCAACAGGGCUUCGCCAAGCGCUGCGGGAGGAGGGAGAUGUGUCACGGGAGGGAGAGGGAGGCGCCAGGGCUUAGAUGUUGCUGCCCUCCCUUCCCCCACUAUAUAUAGGGCCAAGGGAGAGGGGGGCGCUGAUGGGGUCACGUACCUAGGGUAGGGUCAUGGACCUGAUCUAAGUACCUUACCCAAGGACACCCUUAGAAGAGGUCGCCUUCCAGUCGACCAACGAGGGACUCACUCGACUGACUUGAAGGACUCGACCACGAAGACUCACUCGACCACCAGAAGGUCAAGAGGCACUCUACACUGCAACGGCCUGUAAUUAAGUAGACUUUAUGGUAGUAAAGACACUUUAUGUGGGGCGUUAUCAGUAACGCCCCGGACUUAACUCACCUUAAACCCUCUCCUACGUGGGCUGACUGGGGUCCCGGCGCACUCUAUAUAAGCCGCCCCCCUCCACAGGUAGAAGGGUUCGGCACCUUGUAACUCAUAUACUCAUAAUCCACUCGACCGCCUCCGGGCUCCGAGACAUAGGGCUAUUACUUCUUCCGAGAAGGGCCUGAACUCGUACAUCCCUUGUGUUUACAACCUCUCCAUAGCUAGGACCUUGCCUCUCCAUACCUACCCCCACUCUACUGUCAGGCUUAGAACCACGACAGUUGGCGCCCACCGUGGGGCAGGUGUUUUAGCGAUUUUGUGGAGAAGUUGCGAUUCUUCCGAGUACUUUCAUCAUGGUGUCUGCUGGAGUUUUGGUCGAAGGUCGAGAGAUCUGUCUCGGCACUCUCACCUUCAUCGCCGACGACUCCGCCUGGCUCCAGGAGGCUCCACUCGACGUUGAUGCGCUCCCCGUCCGCGGUGCGACGCAUUUUCGCGCAUGUGUCCGCGGCGUUCUGCUGCGGCAACCGUCGACCCCGUAUCGGACGACUCCUCCAUCGUCCACCCUCCCGGUCUCCCGCCAGCGCAAGCACUCGGGCCGGUCGAGGCUUCAGCAAUGGGUGAGGCACGCGGUGGCUCGCCAAUUGGCCACCACCCAAGUUGCGGCAAUCGAGCCCGACGAAUCUCUCUACGGCUUGUUCGAUCUGUCGACUGGCUCCGUAGAGACUACAUCCGAGUGCGGUAGCAGUGAUCCAGCGGCGGAAAUCUUGAUGGUCGACGGGCCCCGCAGUCCCCCUGGCUUCGCCCGUGAUGGUGGAGCAGGUGACGGAGGCGACCCCGCACGAGGCCACGAAGAGUACCAGCCUGAGCCACUCGACUCUCUGCAAAGAGAGGAACUUCGCCGCAGGAACAUGGAUGCUCUGCGUACUCCCAUCGCAGGAGAAACCCCCGAGGCUCGUGCCUUGGAGGAGGCACGUCUGGCCAAUUUGGCCGAACGCACUCGACUGGAGAAUCUUCAGCGAGCACUCGACGAGCGCGCGCGGCAACGAGUUCCCGACACCAGUCGACGUCAACUCUUCCCGCCGACUCAGGUAUAUCGAACCCCAAUCCAGAAUUUAGCAGCUGCGACCCGUAUAGCAGAGUCCAUCCAGCCUUCGCAGUCGGAAGCUGGCAGAGGUUUGCUGCAGAUCAGGGAUCUGCUCCGGGCAGCAGGAGAUCAAAAUUCAGCCGUGUCUCAGUCGUGCAACAGAAUUCACAGUCGAUCCGUCACUGCGAAUACGGUUCAGUCGGCUCACAGCCCCAGAUCGCCUCCGCGGCGUGAAGGGCGCGAGAAUCAGCGAGAUCAAUAUGGCGACCGACUCGACCGAGAUGAUAGGCGUCGAGUGCCCAAUUCCCCUCCGAGGGGUGGGUCUUACGCUCCUCGAUAGCAAGAUGACAGGCGUCAGUACAGUACAGGGCGAAGGGUUCCAGUCGACCCCAGAGAGCCAGGCUUCGACGCGCGAUCCAUUAUCGUGCAAGGUUUGGUCGACCGGAACAGAGCCCAUCGAGGCGGACUCGACAGAGAUGCAAGUCUACGUGCACCCACAAGCAGUCGAGUGCAUGUUUCUGGUCCUGAAUGUUUCAGCAGAGCUAUCAGAGCCGCAGUUAUCCCUCCCAAUUUCAGGUUGGCAACAGGAGUCAGCAAGUUCACUGGUGAGUCUAAGCCUGAAACUUGGCUUGAGGACUACCGAGUGGCAGUUCAGAUCGGUGGUGGGAACGACGAGGUGGCCAUGAAGCAUUUACCCCUCAUGCUGGAAGGUUCUGCCAGGGCAUGGUUAACUCAAUUACCGCCUAGCAGCAUUUACACUUGGGAAGAUUUGUCCCGAGUGUUCAUCAGAACGUUUGAAGGAACUUGCAAGCGACCAGCUGGACUGACAGAGUUGCAAGUCUGCGUGCAGAAGACCAAUGAGACUCUCAGAGAGUAUAUUCAGAGAUGGAUCACUUUGCACCACACUGUGGAGAAUGUGUCUGAUCAUCAAGCAGUCUGCGCCUUCAAAGAUGGCGUCAAGGACAGAGAACUGAGUUUGAAGUUUGGUCGAACCGGUGACAUGACCUUGAGUCGGAUGAUGGAGAUUGCUACCAAGUACGCCAACGGCGAAGAAGAAGACCGACUCCGAAUCGGCAAGCACAAGCCGAGUCAGUCGGAAAAAGGAAACACCAGUCGGAAACAGAAGCGGAAGGCUGAACCGGCAGCUCCAGGAGAGGCUCUGGCCGUGACUCAGGGAAAGUUUAAGGGGAAACCAAAAGGAUCCUGGAACCCCAAGAAGGUAAAGGAUAAAGAAGGGAACGACGUAAUGGAUAUGCCAUGUCACAUCCACACGAAGAAAGACGAAGAGGGGAAUAUCAUCUACCCGAAGCACACCACUCGCCAAUGUCGACUCCCGAUCCAGCAGUUUCAGGGAAAACAGUCUAAGGACAAGGAGAAGGAGUCGGGCAAGGCUAAAGACAAGGAGGACGGUGAGGAAGGAUAUCCGCAUAUAAACUCCACUCUGAUGAUCUUUGCAGAUGUGGAAAGCAGGAGUCGACUGAAAGUCAUUAACCGAGAGGUGAACAUGGUUGCCCCAGCAAAAGCAAAUUAUCUGAAAUGGUCUCAAAUACCCAUCACAUUCGACCAAUCUGAUCACCCGACUCAUAUUGCCACCCCUGGGAGGCAAGCUUUGGUGGUCGAUCCAGUUGUCGAAGGCACUCGAUUGACAAAAGUGCUGAUGGACGGUGGAAGCGGGCUGAAUUUGUUGUAUGCAGACACACUGAAAGGAAUGGGCAUUCCGAUGUCCCGACUGAGCACUAGUAACAUGAGCUUUCAUGGAGUUAUACCAGGGAAGAAAGCCGAGUCACUCGGCCAAAUAGCUUUGGACGUGGUGUUUGGUGAUUCGAAACAUUUUUGCAAAGAAAAGUUGACGUUUGAGGUCAUGGAUUUUCAGAGUGCAUAUCAUGCCAUUUUGGGGAGACCAGCUUACGCACGGUUCAUGGCUCGACCAUGUUACGUGUACCUCAAAUUGAAGAUGCCCGGCCCCAAAGGAGUGAUCACUGUCACCGGUGAUCGGAAAAAGGCAGAAGAGUGCUUUCAGAAGGGCUCAAAGAUUGCCGAUCCCCAGGUGACAGCGGUCGAGUUCGAGGAAUACAAGCAAAACGCAGAUCCGAGUGACUUGCUGCGAUCAAAGAAACCCGCCACAGAGUCUGCAUUCCAGUCGUCCGGUGAGACGAAGCCUGUUCACAUUCACCCGACCGACCCCGAUGCAGCUCCGACCCGCAUCUCCACAACACUCGACCCAAAAUAGGAAGAAGCGCUCAUCCAGUUCCUCCGUGAGAACUGGGACAUUUUUGCAUGGAAGCCCGCUGACAUGCCAGGUGUUCCCAGGGGACUGGCUGAGCAUCGCCUAAGAGUCGACUCGUCUGCAAAACUAGUCAAAGAGCAUCUUCGGCGGUCCGCCGUCCAGAAGAGAAAAGCCAUUGGUGAGGAAGUGGCUCGACUGUUGGCGGCAGGAUUUAUCCGAGAGAUAUACCACUCCGAGUGGCUCGCUAAUGUCGUCAUGGUUCCUAAGAAGGACAAGUCGCUCCGAAUGUGCAUUGAUUUCAAGCACAUCAACCGGGCCUGCCCGAAAGAUCAUUUUCCUCUCCCUCGCAUAGAUCAAAUUGUUGACUCGACCGCGGGAUGCGAGAGGCUGUCUUUUUUAGACGCCUGCUCUGGGUACCACCAGAUCCGUCUGUACGGACCCGACGAGGUAAAAACAGCUUUCAUCACUCCAUUCGGGUGCUUCUGCUAUAUCACCAUGCCAUUCGGCCUCAAGAAUGCCGGAGCCACAUUUAUGCGAAUGAUUCAGAAGUGUCUACUCACUCAAAUCAGUCGGAAUGUGGAAGCAUAUAUGGAUGAUAUCGUUGUCAAGUCACGAAAAGGUUCCGACCUGCUCGCUGAUCUCGCCGAAACAUUUGCCAACCUCAGAAGAUAUGAUAUCAAGCUCAAUCCAUCAAAGUGCACAUUUGGAGUUUCUGGUGGCAAGUUACUCGGUUUUCUCGCUUCCGAACGGGGAAUCGACGCUAACCCAGAGAAGAUUGGCACUAUUCUCCGAAUGAAACGCCCUGUGCGAGUGCACGAUGUCCAGAAGCUUACUGGAUGCUUGGCCGCAUUAAGUCGAUUCAUUUCACGACUCGGUGAAAAGGCAUUGCCUCUUUACCGACUGAUGAAGAAGACAGACAAGUUCGAGUGGACUUCAGAAGCUGAUGCAACCUUUGCCGAGCUAAAAGCUCUGCUCUCCACCCAGCCGGUGCUUGCUGCUCCAAUCAGCAAAGAGCCUCUGUUGCUCUAUAUCGCAGCCACAGGACAAGUCGUCAGUACUGUGCUUACGGUCGAGCGGGAAGAAGAAGGAAAAGCUCUCAAAGUUCAGCGCCCAGUGUAUUAUUUGUCUGAAGUCUUGACUCCAUCCAAGCAGAGAUAUCCUCAUUAUCAGAAGCUUGUGUAUGGAAUAUACAUGACCAAAAGAAGGUUGCUCAUUAUUUUUCUGAUCAUUCCAUCACAGUCGUCAGUGACGCUCCACUAUCAGAGAUUUUGCACAACAGAGAUGCAACUGGUCGAGUGGCCAAAUGGGCGAUUGAACUUCUUCCCCUUGAUAUCAAGUUUGAGGCAAAGAAAGCCAUUAAGUCCCAGGCAAUAGCAGAUUUCCUCGCCGAGUGGAUUGAACAACAGCAGCCGACUGAAGUUCACUCGGAGCAUUGGACCAUGUUCUUUGAUGGCUCUAAGAUGUUGAAUGGUUCCGGUGCUGGGGUUGUCCUGGUUUCCCCCAGAGGAGAUAAGCUCAGAUAUGUGCUCCAGAUUCACUUUGAUUCCUCCAACAAUGAGGCAGAAUAUGAGGCCCUCUUAUAUGGGUUGCGCAUGGCCAUUUCACUCGGCGUCCGUCGCCUGAUGGUCUAUGGCGACUCAGAUUUAGUGGUCAACCAGGUGAUGAAAGAGUGGGACGUGAGAAGCCCAGCCAUGACUGGAUACUGCAGUGCAGUGAGGAAGCUGGAAAAGAAGUUCGAGGGGUUGGAGCUCCAUCAUAUACCCCGACUGAAAAAUCAGGCAGCUGAUGAUCUAGCAAAGAUAGGUUCCAAGAGAGAAGCCAUUCCGAGUGGUGUGUUCUUGGAGCAUAUACACACUCCGUCAGUCAAAGAAGAUCCUUUCACCGAAGAAACUCCACAGCCCAAGAGUGCCACAGAUCCGACCGAGGUUGAAGUCCCAGCAGUGGUCGACUUGAUCAUGGAGGUCUUGGUGGUCAUUCCCGACUGGACAGUUCCAUACGUCGCGUAUAUCCUGAGAAAAGAGCUUCCGGAGGAUGAGGAAGAGGCUCGACAGAUCGUCCGUCAGGCCUUUACCGUAAUCAAAGGACAAUUGUACAGAGAAAGCGCGACUGGAGUUGGUCAGAAGUGCAUAACACCAGAAGAAGGUCGACUCAUCCUCAAUGAUAUCCACUCGGGAACCUGUGGUCAUCAUGCGUCCUCUCGGACCAUCGUGGCCAAAGCAUACCGAGCCGGAUUUUACUGGCCAAAGGCGAAUGAGAAGGCAAAAGAGAUAGUGGAUAAGUGCGAGGGAUGUCAGUUCUACUCGAAUAUGUCGCACAAGCCUGCGUCGGCUCUGAAGACCAUCCCACUCGUCUGGCCUUUCGUAGUAUGGGGACUGGACAUGGUCGGUCCUUUGAGAACAGGACGAAGUGGCUUCACGCAUCUACUGGUGGCAGUCGACAAGUUCACCAAGUGGAUCGAGGCUAAACCAAUCAAGAACCUUGACACCGGUACUGCUGUUAGCUUCAUCAGGGAACUAAUAUUCAGAUAUGGAGUCCCGCAUAGCAUCAUUACGGAUAAUGGUUCGAACUUUGACUCGGAGGAAUUCAGAGAUUUCUGCAACUCCCAAGGCACACGGGUCGACUACGCUUCAGUCGCCCAUCCGCAGUCGAAUGGACAAGCAGAGCGAGCUAAUGGACUGAUUCUUAAGGGAUUGAAGCCCCGACUGAUGUGUGAUCUCAAACACGCGGCUGGAGCUUGGGUCGACGAACUUCCCUCAGUGCUUUGGGGGCUGCGGACCACACCUAAUCGGUCGACCGGAAGAACUCCAUUCUUCUUGGUCUACGGAGCUGAAGCAGUCUUGCCGAGUGAUCUUCUCCACAAUGCUCCUCGAGUUGAAAUCUACAACGAAGCAGAGGCUGAACAAGCGCGGCAGGACGCAGUCGACCUUUUAGAGGAAGAAAGGGAGAUGGCUCUGAUCCGGUCGACCAUCUACCAACAAGAUUUGCGUCGUUUCCACGCCAGAAAUGUGAGAGGUCGAGCCUUCCAAGAAGGAGAUUUAGUUCUCGGAGUGGAUCAGCACAAACCACACAAGCUUGCUCCUUCUUGGGAAGGUCCCUUCAUCGUCACCAAGGUUCUCCACAAUGGGGCGUACCGUCUUUACAACGUCGAGCAUAAUAUCGACGAGCCCCGAGCUUGGAACGCGGAACUACUCCGCCCAUUUUAUACUUAAGUUUUAUCACUCGGAUGAGUUGCAAUAAAGUACUUCUGUAGUUCAUGGACCUCAAAAUAAUAGUGUCAUAGUUCCUCCAUAAUUUCUGUCACUUUUUAUUUUUGUCCAAUAAAAUUCCCCCUCAGUGGGUGACUUAGCCGCGAAUCCGUUUCGCCUAAGUUUGUAAAAAUCCUACCGAGUGAUGAGCCAGACUCCCACUCGGAGGCUUAGCCGCGAAUCCGUUUCACCUAAGUUUGUAAAAAUCCUACCGAGUGGUGAGCCAGACUCCCACUCGGAGGCUUAGCUGCGAAUCCAUUUCGCCUAAGUUAUCAAAAUCCUACCGAGCGGUAAGCCAGACUUCCACUCGGAGGCUUAGCUGCAGUCCAAGGACUCGCCUAAGUUAUAAAAAUCCUACCGAGUGAAGAGCAAACCUCUCACUCGGGGGCUUAGCUGCAGUCCAAGGACUCGCCUAAGUUAUAAAAAUCCUACCGAGUGAAGAGCAAACCUCUCACUCGGGGGCUUAGCUGCAGUCCAAGCACUCGCCUAAGUUACAAAAAUCCUACCGAGUGAAGAGCAACCCUCUCACUCGGAGGCUUAGCUGCAGUCCAAGCACUCGCCUAAGUUAUAAAAAUCCNNNNNNNNNNNNNNNNNNNNNNNNNNNNNNNNNNNNNNNNNNNNNNNNNNNNNNNNNNNNNNNNNNNNNNNNNNNNNNNNNNNNNNNNNNNNNNNNNNNNNNNNNNNNNNNNNNNNNNNNNNNNNNNNNNNNNNNNNNNNNNNNNNNNNNNNNNNNNNNNNNNNNNNNNNNNNNNNNNNNNNNNNNNNNNNNNNNNNNNNNNNNNNNNNNNNNNNNNNNNNNNNNNNNACCGAGUGAAGAGCAACCCUCUCACUCGGAGGCUUAGCCGCAGUCCAAGCACUCGCCUAAGUUAUAAAAAUCCUACCGAGUGAAGAGCAAACCUCUCACUCAGGGGCUUAGCUGCAGUCCAAGCACUCGCCUAAGUUACAAAAAUCCUACCGAGUGAAGAGCAACCCUCUCACUCGGAGGCUUAGCUGCAGCCCAGUGCUAGCCUAAGUUAUCAAAAUCCUACCGAGUGGUAAGCCAGACUUUCACUCGGGGGCUUAGCUGCAGCCCUGUGCUCGCCUAAGUUGUAAAAAAUCCUACCGAGUGAAGAGCAACCCUCUCACUCGGAGGAUUAGCCGCAGCCCAGUGCUCGCCUAAGUGGACUAAAGAAUAAGUCGAUUGCAGUAAAGGCGCCUUGCUUUGAACCUGCAAAAGACAUUUCGAGCCAAAAGCAAUCGUAUUCAAACACCAAAUUCAAGUUUGAAUCGAUAUCUAAAAGAACUGAAAGUGCUCAGGCGUUAAGCCUGUUAAGGUUUAUCGGUUACAAUUUCACUCGGCAUACCGAGGCAAAUUUAAAGCGUCGAGCCAGAAGAAGUUUUUUACCCCUCCUGUGGAGGGCUGGAAGGUGCAACGAAUUCAUCAAGGUCAAUUCCGUCGGCGAUCCGACUGGCAGCCGCAAGGAAAGUUUCCAUAAAGGACCUGAAGUCGUGUUUCUUGGUGUUGGCCACCCGAAGGGCCGCCAGCUUCUCUUCUCGCGCAUCUUUACAGUGGACUCGGGCCAGACACAGAGCAACAUCUGCACCACACCGAGCCGAGGACUUCUUCCAUUCCUGCACUCGACCAGGGAUCGUGUUCAAGCGGGCCAUCAACGACUCAAGGUCAUUCUGAAGUGUCUCCUCAGGCCAGAGCGUCGAGUCGAUGCGAGAUGUGGCGGCCUUCAGCCUUGCGAGAUAGUCCACGACAGCUGCAACACGAGACUCUAGUCGGAAAACAUCCAUGGCAACUUCGUCGUUCACCGGAGAAUUGACGGGGUCGAGGUUUGGCUCUAGCCGGCUAGUUUCUUCUUCAAAGUUUUGACAAAAUUCUGCAAGGAUCAUCACUAAGUCAAGGGGAUGGUCGAAUGGAAAAACCACAAUUGGAAAUGUUUGCCGAGCAUAGAGGUUUACCUUCAAGCAUAAGAAACAGCUUCUUGGCAAGACCACUCAUGAAGGCCUCCAGAUCAUUUUUCUUCCCAGUCAACUUACUGACUUGGUCGGUCAGGGCAACUUUAUCAGUUUUUAGUCGACUGACCUCCUUGUUGGCGAUCCCAAGAGCAGCUUUCAGAUUGGUAUUGUCUUGUUCAAGCUUGGUGACUGAAGCUAACUUCUCGUCAGCAAGCUUGAUCUUCUCAUCUAGUUCGAGGUCUUUCUUCUGUUGGGCCUCCCUUACCUUACCUGCAAGUUACAGCAAGAUCAGAUUUUAAAACAAGCAAGGGGAAAAGCAGUCGUCAGGGUCUCACCAAACAUACCUUCGGUCUCCUCCUUUGCCUUCGUCAGCUUCUCCUGAACCAGCUUCAAGCUUAGCUCGAGUUGAGUGUGCUUGUUUUCUAGCUCAGAGUAGCGAGCCACAAGAUCACAGGAGUUCUGCGAAGAACCAAUCGACUAAAUGUCAAAUAUAAUUCACUUCCGAGUGAAAAAGGAAAAAUCACACGUUUCUAAGACUACAGCCGAAUACAAGCAUUCGACCGUAGUCUCGGGGACUACACCCAGUGGGUGCACUCAGCGUGCCCCCACUAAUCCUGUUGAAGACAAAGUCGACCAGUCGACCUCAAAAAAAAAA